rnacentral:lncRNA from 1 species
GCUUGGGGGAGAGCACCCCCAUUUAUCCAGUUAAGUGUUCUACUCACGUUUAUACUUUACUCAAAUAAUAAAAAGAUGCAUAAUCAUAAAAACCCAAAUAAAGAUUUUGUGCUUAUACAUAUCUUUGCUUAGUUUGCUAAAUAAAUAAAUAAAUAAAGUUUGCUAUGAACCCUCAAGAUAAGCUCUCACAUGGAAAUGAUGAAUAGUUUCUCUGCCAUGACUAGUUCUCAAAAUUGAAAUCUCUCUCAAGUUUAGGCAUGACUGUUAUUAAUUAAGAUUUGCUCUAAACCUGAACUUGUGGGAAGAGUACUUGAUCUAAAGUCUAAGUCGUUAACGGAUACGAUAUGGGAAGGUUGAGCUGCUGUUUAUCUGUUCCUAGAUAUGCUAGAAUUCUGGAGAAUUUUAUCUUUGAAAAUCUUUAAAAUGUUGCAUGAUGAGUUCCUAUAUGAUGAGAGUUUAAAAUCCUACCACAACCAUAUAUACAUGCUUAUUAGACUAUGAACCAUACAUUUACUUUUUACUGCUUAUGAGCAUUGAGUGUGGUCAAGCUGUGUAGACCCCUAGGAGCUUGUCAUGCGGUUAAAAUCAAGAUUCACUUGCACGUUCACUCAUACAUGCUGCUUCUACUCCGGAAGUACGCAUCCACAUACAUCCACUCAUUUCCAUAUCCAGAUUCACCCAAAAUUAUUCUACUCCAAUCUAGGAGAGAAUAGCCAAAAACAUUAUCCUAUCCCUGUUAUUCCCCGUUAAAUAAAUGCUCGAGAUAUUUUGGUUACUACCACUUGCUACAUUAUUCCAGGAGGAUGAGUGCUAUGAAAAAAAUAGUGAAUACGAGGAAAUAAAAAGGGGCAAGUGCCCGAAACCUCGAAAAAAGAGAAAAAGUGAGACGAGAGGUAAAAAUGGACAAGUGUCCGACAGUAGAAUUAGGGGUACAAGAUACCCACCUGAGAGAAAAGAAAAAUAAAAUAGAGAGCAUCUCAUUCCCCUCAAAAGCCUCAAGUGCAAGGAAGGUAUGUACCCCCUCAGAAGAGCAAAAGUAGAAUUAGACUUUCACCACUGUUUUCACCAUCAUCACCAUACACAAUUCAUUCGCCACACAUGUGUUGACGGUUCUUAAGUAUCAAUUUUAAUUAUCAAAUAAACAAGGGAAAGGACCCAUAUAUAAACAACACCUAGAAUUAGGGUUUGAUCUGACAGAAUUCCAUGAGUUUCGUUGUUUAUCUGUUUCUGUAGGGGGUUAUCAGGAAAUAGGGAAGAAAGGCCCACAUGUCAGGAUUACAUAGAGAUAUUAACGUACCGCGCAAUUUUCUAUCAUCUAGAAGACUCCAGAAGCCACGGGAACGAACAGGAAGGCGAUCGGGCCCGGGGGCAGGGUGCCCGCCCUCCCUCCUAGGGCGCCCGCCCAGGUGUUUCGGCAAAUCGCGUUCACCUUCGCGGAUCAUGCUCCACCGACCUAAAGGAUCAAGGAUAACCAUUCAAUCAAUGUCGGUUUGAUCCGACGGCCCACGUUCACCUGAGGGGACUAUAUAAGCAGACCCCCUGGCCCAUGGAGGAGGAGAAGUUCAUCAUAGAGUUGAGAGGUGCCCUCGAAGGAUAACCUUUCCUCUAAAUAGACUUAGGGCUUAGCAUCCAAUGUGAGAGUAGACCUAGUUCUACUAGAUUGAGAGAGAUAGAGUGGAGGUGUAGAUCGGAGGAAGCCCGGCCUGUUGUUGUCUACUCCGAGGUUGUACCUGCGGGAUCAAGUCUUCUAACCCGAGGCUUGCUCCUAGGAUUCUUCAGUAUUUUGACUUCUAAAUUCUAGUAAGUUCUUGUUUUAUUGUUCUUUGGUUUAUGAGUUUACUUUGAUCUCUUCGCGUAGAGUUUAGAGUAAUCAUCUCUAGCAUAAACGUGGUGUUUGGGCUAGGAUACACAUAGAUAUCCCCUGACUAGCUGGACCGUGGUAGUAGCGAGGAACGUGACUUUUCCGAGUUACCUUUGAAGCCCAUAUCCCGUUAGUAGGAUCGAUAGGGUUUAUAGGUGCGGGUCGAACAUCCUCUGUGGUGUCUAGAUUCCAUGAGCCUCCCCAACAGAAUAGUAGAUCAUCCUUACCAAGGUUAGAAUGAGAUUAAGGUUGUAGUCUUCUCUAUACAUCACUCACAUCGAGUCACAUUCUUUGUAGCCUAAAGGUUAGUAGUAAUAGACCGGGUUAGUCAGAUGCACGCUUUCUCCUAGUGGUAAAAAUAUAAAUACGAUACUCUGGAUAACAUCCCAGGUGAAGUGCUCACUGAUAUCCGUGCGCUUGCGGAUCAAUUCCUUAUUGCGUUACCAAAUAUCAACAAGCAUUUCUGGCGCCAUUGCCGGGGAGAAAGACCGUUUGCUGAGAUAACCUUGAGUCUUACUACUAGCUUGUAUUUAUACUUUUAUCUUUUCUUAUCUUUUUAUAUUCUUUAUUUUCUUUAUUCUUGUCUUAUGGAAAACCAAGAUUCUAAAUCAAUCUAUCAAUUUGCAACACCUUCGGAAACUGACCUUUUACCAUGGGAGUCAUCACAGCCUAUCCAAACAUCCCAGUAUAGGUUAAGUUCUAGGUUGAUUGCCAUGAUUCAAAACCUAUCCUUUUUGUGAAAGGAAGACGAAAACCCUUACCUACACAUUAUUGAUUUUGAGCAAACAUGUCAUUGUCUUCGCAUUGAAGGCAUUUCUGAUAAGACUUUACAUUGGAAGCUUUUUCCUUUUUCUUUAAGGGGAGAAGCUAGACAAUGGUAUAAUCAGAAGGUAAGUCAACAACGAGGUGAAUGGGGAGUUUUACGAGCCUACUUUUGUCUAGAUUUUUAUUCCCUCGACCGUAUCGGCGACCUUAGACUCGAAGUCCUAUCUUUAAAAAAAAAAGAUAAUGAAACUUUUGGAAAAUCCUAGAAACGUUUUUCUGAUCUUUUAGAAUCUAGUCCAAACCUUAAUCUUGAAGACCCUGUUCUUUUAUUUCACUUUUUUCGAGGUCUUCAGAAAGAUCAUAAACAAAUGCUACAUACAAUGUCUAGAGGUUCUUUCUUUCACAUCCCUACUGAUGACGCUAGAGCGAUCCUAGAUAGAAUCCUAGAAGCUGAGAUGGAUAAUACCCUUCAUGAUGAAACCCACGAAGCCAAAGUAGACACUCUGCCAAAUUCUCCAUCUACUUUAGCUAUCCCAAGUUCUGACCCACAAAAGGAAGAAAUUCCACCACCUGAUUUCAUGCUGGAUAUAGAAUCCGAUCUUUUUGCCGAUUUUGGAAACAUUUCAAACUACCAUUCUAUUGACAGACCCCAAAAUGGCCAUUUUAGCAUUUGUUUGCCAACUGACCAUCAAUUGGGAGAGCUUAUCACAGUCAUGAGUAGCGAAUGGUUGGAGGAGUCAGAGCUUUCCUCUGAUGUGAUCCGUUUGGACACACCUCCUAUAACUAUAUGCUGUGCUUAUGAUUUUGAUCAAUUUGAUGCUCUCUAUAAUCCUGUUGUGGGGAUCUACAUCAUGUCUGAAUCUUUUGCACUUAAAUUAUUUCAAAAUUUGGUCCUAACCCCCACAACAAAGGUCAUAGAGGAAUCUUCAGGACGAUUAGUCCCCAGUCUUAGAAUUAUUAAUGUUCUACCUCUUAUGGUAGAAGGCUCCAUGGUUCAUUUAAACUUUUAUAUCUUUGAUACAUGGGACUUCGACCUGUUGAUAGGACCACCUUUUAGAAGACUCCUUUAUGAAGGUCAUAUUGGAAAGCUACACAUUUAUUUUGGAAAAACUUUUAAAUUUCCAAUAACGAUUUCACACUCCUUAAAUAAUAAGGACGAGUCAUAUCUUUUGUCUGAUCCUAUGGAGGAGGUAAAGGCUGCAUCUCUAGAGCUUUUAGAUGAACCAGACUUAGAAGACGAAGCUCCUUUCUUCACAGAAGAAGAGGCCGAACCUUCUGAACCUGAACCCUUAGACGAGUUUGUAGAAACACCAAGACCUCCAAUAGAGCUUAAAACUUUACCACCCGGUCUUACCUAUGCUUUCCUAAACAAUAAUCCAGAGUUUCCUAUGAUCAUUAGUGAUAAACUAACUUAGGAGCAAACUCUGCGAUUGAUGACCAUUCUUGAGAAACAUCACUCAGUUUUCAGCUACUCACUCCAAGAUCUUACAGGAAUCAGUCCUAUGAUUUGUACUCAUCGUAUUCCGACAGAUCCUUCUAUUUCACCUUCUCGAGAGCCCCAACGUAGACUUAACAACGCGAUGAGAGAGGUAGUUAAAAAGAAAGUUAUAAAGUUGCUGCAUGCAGGGAUUAUAUAUCCUAUGCCGCACAGACAGUGGGUAAGCCCAGUUCAAGUUGUACCUAAAAAGGGAGGCAUGACUGUCGUUAUGAAUGAAAAGAAUGAGCUAAUUCCGCAACGCACCGUCAUAGGGUGGCGGAUGUGCAUAGACUAUAGGAAACUAAACAAAGCCACGAGAAAGGAUCAUUUUCCUUUACCUUUCAUAGAUGAGAUGCUAGAGCGAUUAGCGAACCAUUCGUUCCUCUGUUUCUUAGAUGGAUAUUCAGGGUAUCACCCGAUCCCAAUCCAUCCCGAUGAUCAAAGCAAAACCACUUUUACAUGCCCAUAUGGAACUUAUGCUUACCGUAGAAUGUCUUUUGGGUUAUGUAAUGCACCAUCUUCUUUUCAAAGAUGCAUGAUGUCUGUAUUUUCUGAUAUGAUUGAAGAGAUUAUGGAAGUUUUCAUGGAUGAUUUCUUUGUAUAUGGAAAAACUUUUGAUAGUUGUCUUGAAAACUUAGACAAGGUUUUGCAAAGAUGUGAAGAAAAGCACUUAGUCCUUAAUUGGGAAAAAUGUCAUUUUAUGGUUAGAGAAGGAAUAGUGCUGGGACACCUAGUGUCUGAAAGAGGAAUUGAGGUAGACAGCUAAAAUUGAAGUAAUUGAACAACUACCUCCACCUGUGAAUAUAAAAGGAAUUCGAAGCUUUCUUGGCCAUGCUGGUUUUUAUCGCAGAUUCAUAAAAGAUUUUUCAUUUAUUGCUAGACCACUUACUCUUUUGCUAGCCAAGGAUGCUCCUUUCGAAUUUGAUGCUGCAUGCCUAACAUCUUUCAAUUUAUUAAAGAAUGCACUCAUCUCUGCACCAAUCAUUCAACCCCCUGAUUGGUCGUUGCCUUUUGAAAUUAUGUGUGAUGCUAGUGAUUAUGCUGUGGGGGCAGUUUUGGGACAAACUAAAAAUAAGAAGCACAAUGCAAUUGCUUAUGCCAGUAAAACUUUUACAGGAGCUCAACUUAAUUAUGGAACAACUAAAAAAGAGCUUCUGGCUGUUGUCUUUGCCAUUGAUAAAUUUAGAUAUUAUUUAGUUGGAGCUAAAAUAAUUGUUUACACUGAUCAUGCUGCACCAAAAUAUCUGCUCACUAAAAAAGAUGCUAAACCUUGCCUGAUUAGAUGGAUCUUAUUACUUCAAGAAUUUGACUUAGAAAUAAAAGAUAAAAAGGGAGUAGAAAAUUCUGUUGCUGAUCACUUGUCUAGAAUGUAUUUUAAGAAUCCACAGGAAACCCCCAUCAAUGAUUCACUCCGGGACGACAUGCUCUACGGGAUUAACAGGUCUGACCCCUGGUAUGCAGAUAUUGUUAAUUUUAUGGUUUCAGGGUAUGUACCACUAGGAGCAAACAAGAAGAAGCUUAUUCAAGAAAGUCGUUCACAUAUAUGGGAUGAGCCAUACCUCUUUCGAGUAUGCUCUGAUGGCUUACUCAGGAGGUGUGUGACCACUGAGGAAGGAUGGACGAUCAUCGACAUAUGUCAUUCAUCACCAUAUGGAGGUCAUUAUGGAGCAUUCCGUACACAUUCAAAGAUCUAGCAGUGUGGAUUCUACUGGCCUACAAUGUAUGAAGACACGAAGCAAUAUAUCAGAAGAUGUGGGCCAUGUCAAAGGCACAGAAACAUAAACACAAGAGAUGCCAUGCCACUCACCAACAACCUUCAGAUUGAGCUCUUUGAUGUCUGGGGAAUAGACUACAUGGGUCCAUUUCCCCCAUCAAAGAAGUGUGAGUUCAUCUUGGUGGCAGUCGACUACGUCUCCAAGUGGGUAGAGGCACUACCUUGCAAGCAUGCCGACAACAUCAGUUCAAAGAGGAUGUUUGAAGAAGUUAUAUUUCCAAGAUUUGGAGUUCCCAGAGUAGUGAUAAGUGAUGGAGCAGCACACUUCAUCGACAAACGCUUCAAGCAAGAUCUAUCAAAACAUGGAAUCCGUCACAACGUCGCUACCCCCUACCAUCCUCAGACAAGUGGCUAAGCAGAGACUUCCAACAAGCAAAUCAAGAAUAUUCUUCAGAAAACAGUCAAUGAGAUGGGAACAGCAUGGAAAGACAAGUUACCCAAUGCACUCUGGGCAUACCGAACAACAUACAAGACUCCAAUUGGAAUGUCCCCAUACCAAUUGGUGUACGGGAAGACUUGCCACCUACCUGUUGAACUAGAAUUCAAAGCACACUGGGCCAUAAGGAGAUGGAAUAUGGACCUAGAUGUCGUUGGAGAUCAUUUUAGAAUGCAACUAUCAGAAUUGGAAGAAUGGCGAGAGAAAGCAUAUCACAAUUCGAAGAUCUAUAAAGAAAGAGUCAAAAGGUGGCAUGACAAGAGGAUCAAGAAGAAGGAGUUCACACCCGGAGAUAAGGUAUUACUUUUUAAUUCCAGGGUGAAGCUUUUCGGGCAUGGAAAACUCCAGAGUAAAUGGAAAGGACCAUUCAAGGUAAUCAAUUCAUCAUCCCACGGAGCUAUCACACUUCAAAAUGAUGAAGGUACGUUAUUCAAGGUAAAUGGUCAACGUCUUAAAUUAUUUUUAGAGCCCAAUAAAGAAUUAGAAGAGAUAGACGUAAUCCAUUUCUACCUUCCCAUGGAGAAUUAGAGCCCAACCUUUUUAAUCUGAUGUUUUUGGGCCACAUAUAUAUUUUCCGAAUAAAGUCUGCAUCUAGAAGCACGCUCGAGGAAGCGGGCCCACAGAGGGGCCAGGCACAAGGCGGGCGCACUGAUGAAGAGGGCGGGCGCCCAGCCCCUGUCCCCUCUCAGUCCCGAUUUCCUCCGUCGUGAUAAACACAUUUAUGGUAAACCAAAUAAUCAUACAGAUUGAACAUUUCGCACUCACGGCGGCGGGAGUAGCCCGAGCAAACCCUAGAGACACUUUUUGAUCCUAUAUAAACAGACCCCUGACGUCAGUUUUCAAACACCAAUUUAUUCAAGCCUUCUCUCCUUCUUCUAUUAGAGCUUGCUUAGUCCCUCGCUGCUCCAAUGGCCGAAGAGUUCCACGACGAUUGGGAAGUCGUCCCCUUCAACCUCAACAUGAAGCCCAAGGAAGAUCCCGACGCCUACGCUCUCGUCCCGGCCAACAUAGAGCGACAGCUAGAAGCCAUGCCAUUACACCAGCGCAGCUCCGCCCAGUCCUACCAUGCUCAACCAGUUCUCACCGCACCACCGCAACCCCUACUUCUCAAGGGACCAUCAGCCAAGAAGGAGGCCACCGUCAAGGUGCCAGCCGGCACGAGGAUCCUACCACCCAAACCCAAUGAGAGAGUCGUUAGAGUCAAGACCAACCGGAGCGGCGAGAUCAGCAGUAUCCGCUACACUACGGAAGCAGAGAGGCCUUACUUUGAGGGGAUUAGAGCAGCCAAAGUCCGUUUCAUCCCUCCAAAGGCAGCCCCAAAGCACGCUCUCAAUGCUCUCGAGACACCUCCUAAGCGUCGCAAGACUAUAGUAGAUCUUGAUGAGGAUGUUCGUAGGCUAGACACGGUCAUCAUAGAGCUCUAGUCCUCGAUUAACUCUAUCACUAUGCAGCUCUCUAACCAUAACACCAUGAUACUAGGUCUUAGGCAUGAUCUUGCUAGUGCCAAUAAGAAGAUCAGGGAGUUAGAGCGCCGCUAAGUUAUCUAGAUUAGAUCUUGAGGCAAUGCAUCUUAGUUAUUUAUCUUUAAAUUCGGUUUAGAUCUAUUAUUAGCUUAAGUUCAUUACUAGUCAUUUGUAAUAAAUGCCUCGAGAUUAAUAAUAAUAAUAAUUAUUAUUAUGUCUUGUGUGUCUCUACUUUAUUAUGCAAGAAAGCAGAAAACAAGUAUGGGGGAGAUCCCUCGACAUGCCAAACACACUUCGACUACACCACUCCACGAUUCAGGUACAUACUCUGCACACUUUACACAUACACAUAUAUCUUGGAUCAUACAGAAUAUUGUCUCCGACAUGAUAAAUUAAAAAGAUUAAAAUGUUUCUAAUCAUGAUUAAUCUCACUCUGUGAUAUUUCCUGAAAACCUACAAUUAUUGAAAAAUCAUUUUAAAACUCUGUGCUGCUUAAGUCAUUGUGGAAUGUGAGAUGGUAGAGUAUGAGUACAUUAUUCUUGAUAUCAUUGUUGCUUGGAGAAUUUACUUCAAAAUCUUAAAAAAUUCUAGCUACCAUUCUCAGUGUUUUAUAUGCCUGAUAAACCUAAAAAUAUUAUUAUGAUAAUUAGGAAAGCUAUCGGGUCUGUAUUGAGUUUGUUCAAAAUGAGUUAGACCCUUGUUGAGAGAUUUAUCAUGCUCCUAAGAUCAAGAUAUUUAUUCAGAAAGAUUCACUCUUAUGAAGUAUUAUUGCGUUAGAGGCAUGGGCUAUGCAAAAAUAAGGAUAUUUCGAGGAAAUAAAAAGGAGCAAGUGCUCGACAACCUCGCAGAAAAAUGGACAAGUGUCCGACAGUAGAAUUAGGGGUACCUCGGUAUCCACCUGAAAAAAAAGAGAGAGAGAAAAGAAAGAAAAUGAUAGCCCAUGGUCCCUCUAAUAAGCAAUAUACCAGUAAGAGUUGACAAGUUUUUAAUUUCCAAAGUCUUUGAUCUAAGAGUAUGACAUUCCUUUCCUCGGAUCCUGUUUUGAUCAGGCGAUAAAUGCAAAGUAAGUAUGCUUGAAAAUUUUCGCAAAUUAAAACAACCUCAAUGAGAUAUAUAAAAGAUAAUGAGUGACCUGAGAGAACCUAUGAGGAUAAAGGUAUGCUAAAUUUCUUUUCAAAAAUAUACAAAAACUCCAAGUAACAGGAUUGAGAAGAAAGGAUCUCUACUCUUGACCAUAUAUUUCUCUGACUACAGUACAAAGUGAAUUUUUACAACACCCUGCGGGUAUGAAGAGAAUGUUUUACAAUGUUUUAACCCCAGAUAUUUUUCUUAACCUCGUUUUCUCGAGGACGAGUAAAAGCCUAAGUAUGGGGGUAUUUGUUGACGGUUCUUAAGUAUCAAUUUUAAUUUUCAAAUAAACAAGGGAAAGGACCAAUAUACAAACAACACCUAGAAUUAGGGUUUGAUCUGAUAGAAUUCCACGAGUUUCGUUGUUUAUCUGUUUCUGCAGGGGGUUAUCAGGAAAUAGGGAAGAAAUGCCCACAUGUCGGGAUUACAUAGAGAUAUUAACGUACCGCGCAAUUUUCUAUCAUCUAGAGGACUCCAGAAGCCACGGGAACUAACGGGAAGGCGAUCGGGCCUGGGGGCAGGGCGCCCACCGUCCCCCCAAGAGCGCCCGCCCUGGUGUUUCGGCCAAUCGCAUUCAACUUCGCGGAUCAUGCUCCACCGACCUAAAGGAUCAAGGAUAACCGUUCAAUCAAUGUCGGUUUGAUCCGACGGCCCACGUUCACCUGAGGGGACUAUAUAAGCAGACCCCCUGGCCCCUGGAGGAGGAGAAGUUCAUCAUAGAGUUGAGAGGUGCCCUCGAAGGAUAACCUUUCCUCUACAUAGACUUAGGGCUUAGCAUCCAAUGUGAGAGUACACCUAGUUCUACUAGAUUGAGAGAGAUAGAGUGGAGGGGUAGAUCGGAGGAAGCUCGCCCUAUCGGUGUCUACUCCGAGAUUGUACCUGCGGGAUCAAGUCUUCUAACCCGAGGCUUGCUCCUAGGAUUCUUCAGUAUUUCGACUUCUAAAUUCUAGUAAGUUCUUGUUUUAUUGUUCUUUGGUUUAUGAGUUUACUUUGAUCUCUUCGCGUAGAGUUUAGAGUAAUCAACUCUAGCGUAAACGUGGUGUUUGGGCUAGGAUACUCAUAGAUAUCCCCUGCCUAGCUGGACCGUGGUAGUAGCGAGGAACGUGACAUUUCGUAUUUACAUUUGAAGCCCAUAUCCCAUUAGUAGGGGUCGAUAGGGUUUAUAGGUGUGGGUCGAACAAUCUCUGUGGUGUCUAGAUUCCGUGAGCCUCCCAAACAGAACAGUAGAUCAUCCUUACCAAGGUUAGAACGAGAUUAAGGUUGUAGUCUUCUCUAUACAUCACUCACAUCGAGUCACAUUCUUUGUAGCCUAAAGGUUAGUAGUAAUAUACUGGGUUAGUCAGAUGCACACUUUCUCCUAGUAUAAAUAUAAAUACGAUACUCUGGAUAACAUCCCGGGUGAAGUGCUCACCGAUAUCCGUGCGCAUGCGGAUCAAUUCCUUAUUGCGUUACCAAAUAUCAACAACAUGCACAUAUUGAUUUGACUUAUUGACUUGUUCUUCUGGAUCCAUGGUUUGACUAUGCAAUAAAUGUCUUGUAAGUAUGUAUUAGUUGUCUCCCACCUAUGAGCUCCAGAUAUCAAAACCUUAUUAGAGUAGGGUGAGAGAGAAGGCAAUGCCACUAUGCCUCAUACCAAAAAUACCACAUACUUUGAGAGAAGGCAUACACCACUACUACCUUGGUAAGGAUCUAGAAAUACCACAAAAGAGAGACUAGAGAGAGUCAUACAAGGAAUCUCUGAGUUUUAUUUGAAAAUCUGCCAAAACUCCAGAACUAUAUUUAAUCGAAGAACAAGAGACAUGGCGCUUGACUAGACCGUUCUAUCUUUUAACUACUCAAGACACAAGUGAUGGUUGCAAGCCCCAUGGUGGAAGGAAAAAUGAGUAAGUUUAUAUCUUAACAGUUUACCCUAACCCAGAGAUGAGAUCUUGUUUGAACGCAUGUGUACCUUUAAGGCAUGAAACCACUGUAGAAACUCUUGAGUCCAUCCUUACUUAGGGACGAGCAAAGUAUAAGCUUGGGGGAGCUUGUUGACGGUCCUUAAUGCUGACAUUUAACCGUCAACUAAUCAUGGAAAAGGACCUAUAUGCAACCAACAUCCAAAAUUAGGGUUUCAUCUGACAGAAUUCCAUGAGUUUUGGUGUUUAUCUAUUUCUAUAGGGGGUUAUCAGGAAACAUGGAGGAAAGGCCCACACGUCGGGUUUACAUAGAGAUAUUAACAUGUGUGCCAAUUUUCUAUCAUCUAGAAGACUCGAGAAGCCACGGGAACGAAUGGGAGGCCGAGCGGGCCCGAGGGCUGGGCGCCCGCCCUGCCCUGGUGACCAAUCAGGGCAGGUCUCGCAGAUCAUGCUCCAUCGCCAUUGAGGAUCAAGGAAAACCGUGUGAUUAAGGUCCGUUUGAUCCGACGACCGACGUUCAUUUGGAAGGGCUAUAUAAGCAGGCCCCCUGGCCCCUGGAGAACACACCUCUUCUACAGAAUCAAAGCUAGGGUUUCAAUUAUUCAUGCAUGUAGAGAGGAUCCCUCUAGUUCAUUUAGUUCUAGUUCUAGUUCAUCUAGUUCUAGUUGUAGUUAGUUCUAGUUGUAAUCUAGAAAAUAGGGAGAGAGAAUAGGAGAGCGGAGGAGGAGCUAGAUCUGUCGGAUCUUCCUCAACAUUGUACUUUUGUAGCAACUGGUUCGUUCUUCAUCGUUCUCCAAGUUCUUCAAUUCAUAAUUCCUGAGUUCUUUAAUUACUUUUAUUUACAUUCAAGUUAUUUAUUGGAUUCCUGCUUGCAUCAAGUGCUCUAGUCUUUGAAACGCUAGAGUAGUAAUUAAUAGAUUAGACGUGGUGUUUAGUCUUGCAAUUACCUAGAAUUGCACCCAAUCCUACGGAUUGUUGUGGUAGCCAUAGGGUAGUGAUAGCCCUAACGCUCGACGUAUUCCACCUCGUGCGGAUCGGUGUUUGUAGGACUGUAGUCAGACCUUCCUAGCCCCCUUCUCAUCUCUUUCUGUGGUUAGUGUUCUGAUGUCCCGAAAUAAAUAAUCUUUGAAGUAAUUCUUGAUUCUUAGAUCAACUAGAGAACUCUCAGGAAACUUCCUCUCUUCUCACCAAAAAUAAUUAUAUAGUUAUCCUUGGGCGAUCUUGAAUCUAAAUUAGUACACUCACGUUCCCUGUGGAAAAUCGAUACUCUGGAAUACUCUCGGGUGAAAGCUACAUCGGUAUUCGUGCACUUGUGGAUUUUUCUGUUUGCGUUUAAAAUACCCAGCAAAAGGAUUACUUGAUUUGGACAAAGCAUGGAGAGGGUAGCUCGGCGCCUUAUACAGUUGGGGACCCAGCAAACAUCGACGACACCGAUGGUCUAGGCAUGCCUCCUGAUCAGUUUUUCCACGGCACACCCCAGAGUGAACAUGUUGUGCCAAAUGUUACCGCUGGUGGAUUUGCUGGGUGAAAUGAUGGUGCAAGAACUCAUGUCUUACUAGAUGAUACGGCUGCGGAAGAUGCAGAAUUCUUGGAGGCAAUGUUGCGUCGUCAUACUAAACCAUCAAUGUUGUUAAUGAAAGGGAUGGAGGCCUUGAAGAAGGCAGCAGAAGAGCCUUUGUAUGGUGAGUCUAAGGGUUGUACCAAAGAGUUUACAAUGUUGCGAGCUGUGCAAAAACUGUUGAUGGCAAAAGCCAGGUAUGGUUUGUCUGAUGCUAGAUUCGAUGCGUUCUUGAGUAUUAUCAGAGAUAUGCUUCUAAAGGAGAACAAAGUGUCUGCUAACACAUACUAUGCAAAGAAGCUGAUCAGUCCGCUGACUAUGGGUGUCGAGAAGAUCCAUGCUUGUAGAAAUCAUUGUAUCCUAUACCGAGGUGAUGAUUACAAGGACUUGGAUAGUUGUCCAAAGUGUGGUGCAAGUCGGUACAAGACAAACAAAGACUAUCGAGAGGAUUGUGCUGCCUCCAUGUGUAAAGCGGGGAAGAAGCGAAAGAAGGCCCAAAAGAACACCCAACAGAGUUCAAAACCCAUGAGCAAAGAUAAAGAAGAGGUUGACUGUUAUGCGCAGAAAAAGAUUCCUCCUUUAGUGAUAUGGUACCUUCUAGUGGUAGAUCGACUAAGGAGUUUGUUUGCUAACCUUGAAGAUACAAAACUUAUGAGUUGGCAUGCUUCUGAUGAACACAAAAAUGAUGGCAAGCUUCACCAACCAGUCGAUGGAAAGCAGUGGCAAGAUUUUAAUGACAACCACCGAGACUUUACCAGCGAACCUAGGAAUGUUAGGUUCACACUAUGUACAGAUGGAAUGAAUCCAUUUGCUGAGAGGAGCAGCAAGAAUAGCACAUGGCCGGUGAUUCUCACCAUCUACAACCUCCCUCCAGGGUUGAUGCAGAAGAGAAAAUACCUUUUGCUAACCAUACUUAUCUCUAGACCAGUCCAACCUAGAGUUGACAUGGAUGUUUUCUUGGAGCCGUUGAUGGAGGAGAUGAAAACGUUAUGGGAAAAAGGUGUUCCAAUGUUGGACGAGUAUCGCAAAGAUUCAUUCAAGCUGAGAGUAAUUAUUUUUGUUACGAUCAACGAUUAUCCUGCUCUCUUUAUUUUAUCAGGGCAAUUCAAGGGAAAGGUUGGUUGCAUGGUGUGCAUAGAUGGAACCCAUUAUGUGUCCCUUAAUGCAUCUAAGAAGAUAGUGUACAUGAGGCACAGCCGCUUCUUAUUGAAAGGACAUAAGUUCGCCUAAAAAAGAUGGAUAAGUACUUUGACUAUAAUGAUGAAAGGAACUCAGAUACACCAUUAGGUAAUAGCAAAGGCCAUAGAGUUUUCAAAAUAGUGAGCAACAUUAAAUUUGUGUUUGGAAAGAAAACAAAGGACGGAAAAAACAAGAAAGGAUGUCAAAUCAACUCUAGGAGAAACAUUCACGAAGAAGUCCAUUUUCUUCGAGAAUUUGCCAUACUGGAAAGACUUGGAUGUACGACACGCGAUCGAUGGUAUGCACGUCUAGAAGAAUGUGUUUGAAAGUCUAAUUGGCACAUUGCUAGACAUCAAGACCAAGACAAAGGAAGGACUCAAUUCACGCUUUGACAAGGUGCAGUUAGGCAUAAAAAAAGAGCUUCAUCCUGUUCUUCAAGAAAAUGGGAAGUACCAUCUCCCAGCAGCAAGCUACAACCUCAACAUAGAAGAGAAACAUGCGAUGUGUGAGUGGUUGAAGAAAUUGAAAGUCCCAUCUGGAUUCUGCUCUAGCAUACGGAGUUUUGUGUGAAUGAAAGACCUAGCACUCACCAACUACAACUCACAUGAUUGUCAUGUCAUGAUGACUACUUUCCUCCCUAUUGUAAUAAGGGCUAUAAAUCCAGUAUUCUUAAAGAUGGCAGUCACACAAUUGUGCUACUUUUUCAACAAGAUCAGACAAAAGGUAAUUGCCCUGGUGAGGUUGAAUCCUUUCGGAAUUUGGUACGGAAACAGGUUCCCAUUUGAAAAGUUGUUUCCCCCCCUCCAUUGUGAAUACCAUGGCGCACCUUUGGGUGCACUUGGUUCCACAAAUCCAGGCAUUGGGUCCCCAUGUUCCUGCAUGAAAUGUGGACGUAUGAGCAUUUUAUGUCAUUACUAAAGGGCUAUGUAUCAACCCGUGCUCAUCCCAAGGCGUCCAUGAUAGAGGGGUAUUGUACCGAAGAGGCGAUUGAGUCUAGAGGACCAUUCUGCAAUAAUGUCCUAAAAGACCAGGUUGCAAUAGGUUUGCCUCCGUCAAGACAUGAGGGUAGGCUGCAUGGAUGUGGGAGGAUUGGACAGAAAUCAUUCAUCCCACCUGAUUACAAUACAGUACUUGGGGCACAUCACAGCAUCUUACAUCAGCUCUCGAUAAUGGAGCAUUUGAUUGAACAACACAUGAAUGAGGUUCGAGAACAUAAUCGUAGGCAAACAAACGAUUGGGUAAUGAAGGAACACAAUAAACAGUUGUACACAGGCUAAGGGAGCAGGACAUUCCAUAUGGGGAAACAAUUGAGAAACAAACCAUCAAGGCUUUGGCAUCUACCAUCAAGGCUUUGGCAUCUGGACCAUCACGCCAAGUCAUAACAUGGCAAACCUAUGACAUAAGUUGAUUCACAUUUCAUACCAAGUCCAAGGACAAAAGGAGCAUGACACAAAAUAGUGGUGUUCAAUGCGAGGCCAUAGACGACAAAACUGGUGAUAUUAUUACAUACUUUGGCUACAUCGAGGACAUAUGGGAAUUAGACUAUGGUACAUUUCAGAUCCCCAUGUUUCGAUGUCAAUGGGUUGAAGAUAAACAUGUCACAGUGGAUAAUUAUGGGGUCAGAGUUCUUGAUCUAAGUAAGGUGGGAUAUAAAGAUGACCCGUGGAUCCUUGCUAACCGUGUUGUACACGUUUUCUAUGCUGAACAGAUCCUUUCUAAGAAUGAGAAGAAAAGUACCGACAAACCGAAGCAUAUAGUUUUUCCUGGAAAGCAACAAGCAGUUGGAGUUGACGGUGUAUCAGAUCUGGAGGAGUUUAACAAGUUCAGUGAUAUGUCCCUCUUUGUGGACCAUCCUAUGAAGAUAAAAAAAUAUUGAGCGAAGCAUCCCACAAAGUUCUUUUUCCUGGGUGCGCCCUGAUGGACAAGGAAGAAUAGUAGCGGCCUAGAUUGUAUCUGUGAUUCAUCAUGUAAGCUCUGGUCAAAUGUCCUAUGUAUGAAAUGUAUGUGAAUCUCACAUAAACUUUAUGAAACUAUACGUGAGACCUGUGGAUUUAGAACUACACUUUUGUAACGCUUUGUCAAAUGCAAAAAUGUUCUACGUAUGAAAUGUAUAUCUUUAUGAGUGGAACAAACUUUGUAUUCAUGACUUUUUGAGUUGGGGACGUCUCGUGUUUCGAAAACGGUGUGUAGUUGUGGAAAUUUGAAAUUUCAAAAUUUGAGUGGUCCAAACUCUCUCAGAUGAAAAGUUGUCCAUUACACACAAUGUGUAUCUUGAUGAGCUGGACAAACUUUAUAUUCAUGACUUUUGUAUCUGAGACUACCAAGGGUCCGGUCAAAGUGACUUUUUAGAAAAAUCCAAGUUUUGACUUGGUCAAACUAGGUCAAACUAGGCACUAAAUGACCUCAAAUGGAAAAGUUUUGAAUACAGAGGAGUUAGAGCUCAUCAAGCUCUUCCUUUCAUACAUAGCCCAUUUUUGCAUUUCAAAUUGUUUCAGUAAACCGUAGUCACAUGUUUUAAAAAUCAAUGGUUUACUUGGUCAAACCUAGUCAAACAAGGCACUAAAUGACCUCAAGUGAAAAACUUUUGAAUACAUGGGUGUCAGAGCUCAAGAUAUACAUUCCAUACAUAGGAUAUUUUGGUAUUUGGGAAAGGAUUGGUAAACUCUAGUCACAAUGUCUUGAAUCUCACACAAACUUUUAUGAAACUAUAUGUGAGACCUGUGGAUUUAGAACUACACUUUUGUAACGCUUUGUCAAAUGCAAAAAUGUCCUAUGUAUAAAAUGUAUAUCUUGAUGAGUAGAACAAACUUUGUAUUCAUGACUUUUCGAGUUGGGGACGUCUCGGGUUUCGAAACGUGUGUGUAGCUGUGGAAAUUUGAAAUUUCAAAAUUUGACUUAGUCAAACUAGGUCAAACUACGCACUAAAUGAGCUCAAAUGAAAAAAGUUUUGAAUACAGAAGAGUUAGAGCUCAUCAAGCUCUACCUUUCUUACAAUAUGCAAUAUGCAUUUGAAAUUUAAAAUAAUAUACAAAUAAUAUAUAGGUGUGAAACAAUAUUAUUAUAUUAUAAUAUCAUUAUACAAAUAAUAUAUAAAUAAUAUAAUUAUGUUACAAAUAUAGAAUAUAGAAAUAAUUAUGUUAAAAUAUUAUUAUAUUAUAAUAUCAAUAUGCAUUAAAAAUAGUUACAAAAAAUAUAGAAAACAAUAAUGAGACAAUUACAAAAAUCUUUGUACAGGCGGGUGGUAUUGACCACCGCCUGUAUAGUGCUAUUUAUACAGUCGGUGGUCAAUGCCAACGGCCAGUAGAAAUCAUUUUCUACAGGUGGUUGGCAUUGAGAACCGCCUGUAGAAAUAUGUGCCAUAUAAAGGCCACGUCCUGCCCCCGAAAUUUUCUAUGUCUGAAGGCGCGUCAUUCGUUCGAAUCCACACCGGUAGGCUGCUGAAAUUUUACGUCGAGCAUCCAUCGCCAUCCGUCGUUCCCGUCGAGGUAAGCUCACUCGCUGGCGUCUUGGUAGUUCGGUGCGGGAGCGCACAGGGUCAAGGAGAGGGAGGCACCGCGCGUGCGGCUGCUGCUCGCCGCCGGCGGCGCGGCCAGAGGCGGCUGGGCGCCCAUCGUCGGGGGUGGGGUUGCGGCUGCGGCUCCACGUGGGGGAAGUCUCAGGGCUGCGCGCAGCCGGCUUGGAGGGAGCGUCGCGGCGGCAGCAGCAGCGGCAGUGCGCUGGGGGCCAAGCGGCGCGCGGCAGCGGCGGUGGUGGCGCUGCGUUUUCGGCCGUUGCUGAGAGGAGCGAGGGGGAGGGGCAGGUGGGCCGCCUGAGCAGCUGGGCCGGCCCACCAGCGGCCGAAGAAUUUUUUUUUAUUUUUCUUAUAUGAAUGUAUAUGAUGUAUUAACUGUCCUAAAUAAAUGUAUACGAUGUAUAUAUAUGUGUUGAUUAUUUUUUUGUAAUAUUGUUAUUUAUAUACAUAUGUAUAAAAAUAAUAAAAUAAUUAAUAUUUACUUUUAGUUUAAGUGUCUAUGUAUAUACAUUAUGCAUAUGCUAAGUAAUUAUUAUUUCUUUAUUAUAAUGCAAUUAUUUAUAAUGCAACUAUUUACAAUGCAAUUAUUUAUAUAUAUUUAUAAAUAUAAUAAAAUAACUAAUAUUUACUUUUAGUUUAAGUGUCUAUGUAUAUACAUUAUGCAUAUGCUAAGUAAUUAUUAUUUCUUUUUUAUAAUGCAAUUAUUUACAAUGCAAUUAUAUAUAUAUAUAAGUAAUAAACAAUUACAUUUAGUUUAAAUAUCUAUGUAUAUACAUUAUGCAUAUGCUAAGUAAUUAUUAUUUUUUUUUUAUAAUGCAAUUAUUUACAAUGCAUAUAUAUAUACAUGUAUAAAAAUAAUAAACAAUUAAUAUUUACUUUUAGUUUAAGUAUCUAUGUAUAUACAUUAUGCAUAUGCUAGGUAAUUAUUAAUUCUUUUUUAUAAUGCAAUUAUUUAUAAUGCAAUUAUUUACAAUGCAGUUAUAUAUAUAUAAUAAACAAUUAAUAUUUACUUUUAGUUUAAGUGUCUAUGUAUAUACAUUAUGCAUAUGCUAAGUAAUUAUUAUUUCUUUUUUAUAAUGCAAUUAUUUUUAUAUAUAUAUAUAUGUAUAAAAAUAAUAAACAAUUAAUAUUUACUUUUAGUUUAAGUGUCUAUGUAUAUACAUUAUGCAUAUGCUAAGUAAUUAUUAUUUCUUUUUUAUAAUGCAAUUAUUUAUAUAGCUUAUUGCGAUGACUUCUCCAACCCUAAACCAAGCGUCAGGGUCCGACCGCAUCGAUCAAGCACCGGAAAAAGGUUCGGACCACACAGAGAAGGUGCAAUGGUCACACAACACUAAGCAAGCACAAGAGUCCGACCACACGGAGCAUGCAGAAGAGGAUGAAUCAAGUCCUUCGUACGAGACCUCCCCUAGCGACAUUCCAGAUCCUCACAUAGAGAGGAACGCUCGUCGUGAAUUAGAACGUGACCAGAUUACAUUUCAGAAGGAGAUGAGGUGAAUUACUCAUCCAUAAUUAAAUCUUUCUAACUUUUAUGUCCCUCAGUAUAUCUACAAGAAUGAUUUAUGUGUUUAACUUUUAACAUGAACAGGAGGUGUUAUCUUAGUUUAAUGAACUGAAAGAGAUCCUAUCCCAGGAAGACUUCGCACAUGAAGGUGCAUACGAGCCGAUGACGGAGAUGACCACCGAUAAGACCAUCGAGAAGACUGAUGAUAGGAAAAGGAAACGAGGUGAAAGAGGAUUGAAUCAGUUUCCAAAAGUAACGUUUAGAAUUACAGAUGUGAGCGCGACAGGACAACCCCUAGCUCCUCUAGAGGCCUUACCUAAGUGGCGUAACGCACUGGGAUUCUUAAUUAGGGACCAUCUUGACAUCACAGUCAGGGAGUGGGCAAAAGUGGACCAAGUCAGAAGAAUAUGGGACAAGCUACUUACAAGGUUUGUUUUACCUUAGGGUUCAGAAGACCUAGUAAAGGAGUACACAUUGAAGAAGUGGGCAAUCAUGUUCAGAAAUUACAAGUCCGGGUUGAAUUCAAAGUUGGCAAAGAAAGGGUUGGACCCGACAAAGAGGUAUAAAAUCUCUGCUGGUCAGUGGGUGGUGUUUCUAGAGCAGAGGAGUACUGAGGAGUUCAAAGCUUUGAGCGAACCCAACUCCGAGCUCGCAAAAAGGAACAAGUACCACCACAACCUAGGCACAGAUGGUUACCAGCGUAAGCUUGCCCAAUGGGAGCAAGAGGAUGAAGCGCAGAGGGCUAAGGGUCUCCCAGCGCUCCCUGACCAACUUGGUCGCAGGGGCUCGAGGUGGGUUCAUGCCUGUGUACCGGCGAAGGAAGCCAAGUCUGGCUUAUCAUUUUCUGACCCAAUGGUCGAAGAGGCUGCGAAGAAUAUUUUUGCGGUGGCAGCUAAGCAGCGAGCGGGCGAAUUUAAGCCUCAAAGGGAGAAAGAUGUUCUUACUAUUGCUUUGGGUAACCCAGAUCAUCCUGGUCGUGUCUGAGGCAUCUCAUCCAAAGAAGGAUGGAAGAAGGAUUUGGACCAGAGUGGGAAGCAAUGUAUAGGAAACGGGAUCGCUACAAGGAAGAAAUGUCUAAUUAUUUUAAGGAGGAGGCUAAGAGAGAAGUCAAAGAGGUGAUGUCUAAAAUCCUCUCCAAUCCUCCUCCUGAGUUGAUGCAGCGAUUGGCGACCGCAAUGUCUAGCCAAUUAAGUGGUCAGCCUCCUCAAAUGCAUCUUGUCGUCGCCACGACAACAACAGAACAAGCUCCGGUUGUCCUAAGUAGUAUUGCAUCUAUCGGAGACAAGGUCCGCUAUCCAGUUGAUGAGAUCGAUAGUCCUGUGCCUUGCUCCCUUGUCAUAAGGUAUAGUUUUAACAAUAACCGUACAAGGGAAGUAGCCACAGGACUUGCGAUCUCGGGGCGCCAAUUCCAUGGUAGUGAGAUCCCUGAGGACUAUUGUAGGGUGGAAGUGUUGACAGUUGUCUAAGGAUAUGAGGACGACAUGCUAGACAUCCCGGUCGUGAGGGCAUUGAGAAACUCAGACAAGCUAUCAAGAAUUUUAUUCUUUGGCCUCAAUGGGAUGUCCUGCUGUCUCAGCUACCAGAACCAUCACCUCGAGAAGUGUCGUAGACUCAGGAGUCGUCCCAUCCCACAUCUCUUCCCAGUCCACCAACCUCUCCGAUCUUGCAUGCACAAUCCCCUCCUCCACCAUCACCAAUAAUGCCUCAACGACCAUCCGUGCCACCAUCAAAACCCACUCCACCACCAUCACCUAAACCCCAUGCUUCACCACCAUCAUCAACACCGCAAUCUUCGACACCACCAGCACCCAAAAAUGACGAUAAGACACCACCACAACCAAAGAAAACAAAAUUCUCGGUCCCCAAAUUGGUUUCCCCUUAUGAGCCAAAGAAGGCCACUGGUACGGCCCUAUUUUUGUCUGGAAUUGCAAGGAGCCACACUUCAAAACUUGUUGACUUGGCAGAGCAUGAGAAGGAGGCGAAAAGCUUUGAAACACCUAUUGUUAAUAUUAGGCCACCAACGAAGGAUUAUUACAAAUUUGUCCCUACUAAAUAUGAGCCGGGCAGACCACUACUUAGUUGGGACAAACUCAAAAAGAUCCCAGCUAGUAUAAAAACGAUGCAUGACUGGUAUAUGAGAGCAGCUUCUGUAGGCAUUGACACGAUCAAUGUGAUUAUACCACCAAAAGCAUUCAACAGUGAGCAUACAAAGGCAAUCAUUACCUUCGAGGACAUGUGGCUAAUGAUGAACUUCUGGAGACUAGACGUGUAGCUGGUAACCGUGUUUGCAUUGUAAGUGUCACUCGUACUAUCUUGUGUUAUUAUUCAUGAGUUGCAUCAAUUUUCAACAUCUAACAUACAAGUGCUCCUUGCAGAAUAAAUUUUGAACAACAAGAGAUGUGGUACGGUUCGGAUCCAGAUAGGUCUGCCAGUAAAAGGGUUGCGUAUCUGAGCCCGAUGAAGAUAUGCGAGGAGCAGCACAACUUCAGAAUCGGAGACAAUCACGAGUCCUUACAAAGUUUGGAUCCCGCUGAGCGUACAAAGGUAAUAGAUGAAAAUCGACUAAAUAUGAAUGUAAGUACGACCUCUACAUAGCCUUGGCACUGCUCAAGUAUCAAGAUCAAGAAUGUGUUGUGGCCCCAUACAACUUUGGGUAAGUGUCAGUUUGUAUGCAUCAUCGUAUUAGUAAUUUCAAUGGGCACUUGCAUCAUAAAUUCGAUUCUCUCAUGGACCAUUAUAUCUGCCUCCUCAUUAAUCCUAGUCUAGGAUGUGUGCUAGUCCUAGACUCUGCAGACUAUGAUCCUUCAAGUUAUGCAAAAUUCAUUACACACUUGGAACGAUAAGCUGAGUAAAUUAAAUAUUCAUACCUACUUUUAUAAGAGUUUCAGAAUAACUUGAGGAUUAUGUAUUCAAUACUAUAGGGCCUAUAGGUAUUAUAAGAUCAAAGGUGGAAGGUGCGAUUCAUCACAACCGGGGCAGCCAUUGAGAUUAUUUUAUAAAUGGUCGGUACGUACCAAAAUAUCACAAGCUGUCUUUGUUUUUUAUAAAUAUAAUAUGCAUAGGACGAUUUUGCAACUAAUAAAUAUCCACUUUUUCAUCAUACAUCAGUGCCAUAAGCAACCAGUCGGAUCGGUCCACUGUGGAUUCUAUGUCUCUAAGUUCAUGAGAGGGUUUGGAAGAUUUGUAAUUAACCCUUCUAAGGUAAUGCUCUAAUAGUUGUUUACAUAAUUGUGUCAUUUUUUGUUGCUAAGCAUGUGUUAUAAACUAUAAAUAUAUGAUGUUUAUAACUUCCUCCAUAGCAACAUGAGUUUGAAAAGGCAAAGAGCGUGACUCAAGCUAUUUUAUACAAUAUAGUUGAGGACCUCUGCACUUUCCUCUAGAGAGAAGCCAUUCCCACCGAAGGGAAAUAUCACGACCCGACGAGCAUCCUAGCAAAGCCUGAGUUUAGAGUGCUAAGAGAUAUUAGUAGGCUAAAGCUAUCUCAAUCGGGUUAUUAGAGUAGAGGUUUCAAAUGUGAAACCUCAUAUGUGUGUAAACAAAAAACUUGAUGUGUGAUGUUUGUAAUUAAUGUAAUUUUAUGUACAAAGUAAUGGUAUAUAUAAAUAUAUUGCAUGUUGCAUUGGUUGACAUGAUCCUCUAGGCUUACAUAGUUUCAAUAUUAUGUAUAUUAUAUAUAUAUAUAUUAUAUAUUAUAUAUAAUAUAUAUACUAUUAAAAAUAGGGUUUGCAGGGAAAAUUUGGAAAUUGGGUUAAAUUUGAAAAUCUUAUCACAGGCGGUUUGUUUAUGAGAACCGCCUAUAGAAAUGCAUUUUUACAGGUGGUUCAAUUAUGUAAACCACCUAUAGAAAUGCAUUUCUACACGUGGUUCUCACUUACCCGCCUGUGGAAACGUUUAUUUCCACAUGCUGUUGACGGUCUUUAAUGCUCACAUUUAACCAUCAACUAAUCAUGGAAAAAGACUUAUAUGCAGCCAACACCUAGACUUAGGGUUUUAUUUGACAGAAUUCCACGAGUUUUGGUGUUUGUCUAUUUCUGCAGGGGGUUAUCAGGAAAUAUGAAAGAAAGGCCCACACGUCGGGUUUACAUAGAGAUAUUAACGUGCCGCGCAAUUUUCUACCAUUUAGAAGACUCCAGAUGCCACGGGAACGAACGGGAGGCCGAUCGGGCCCGGGGGCAGGGCGCCCGCCCAAGUCCCUUGGGUGCCCGCCUAGCUACAGUAACCAAUCAGCUUCAACUUCGCGGAUCGUGCUCCACCGACCUAAGGGACUAAGGAAAACCGUGCGAUUAAUGUCGGUUUGAUCCGACGGCCCAGAUUCAUCUGAAAAGACUAUAUAAGCAAGGCCCCAUGGCCCCUGGAGAGCAUACCUCUUCUACAGAAUCAAAGCUAGGGUUUCAAUUCUUCAUCCAAGUAGAGAGGAUCCCUCUAGUUCUUCUAGUUCUACCUCUAGUUCAUCUAGAUCUAGUUCUAGUUCAUCUAGUUCUAGUUCUAGUUCCUCUAGUUCUAGUUCUAGUUAGUUCUAGUUGUAAUCUAGAAAAUAGGGAGAGAGAAGAGGAGAGAGGAGGAGGAGCCGGAUCUGUCGGAUCUUCCUCAACAUUAUACUUUUGCAGCAUCUGGUUCGUUCUUCAUCGUUCUCCAUGUUCUUCAAUUCAUAAUCCUUAGUUCUUUAAUUACUUUUAUUUACAUUCAAGUUAUUUAUUGGAUUCCCGCUUGCAUCAAGUGCUCUAGUCUUUAUAACGCUAGAGUAGUAAUUAAUAGAUUAGACGUGGUGUUUAGUCUUGCAAUUACCUGGAAUUGCACCCAAUCCUACGGAUUGUUGUGGUAGCCUUAGGGUAGUGACAGCCCUAACGGUCGACGUAUUCCACCUCGUUCGGAUCGGUGUUUGUAGGACCGUAGUCAGACCUUCCUAGCCCCCUUCUCAUCUCUUUCUGUGGUUAGUGCUCUGAUGUCCCGAUAUAGAUAAUCUUGAAGUAAUUCUUGAUUCUUAGAUCAACUAGAGAACUCUCAGAAAACUUCCUCUCUUCCCACCAAAAAUAUUCAUAUAGUUAUCCUUGGGCGAUCUUGAUUCUUAAUUAGUACACUCACGUUCUCUGUGGAAAAUCGAUACUCUGGAAUACUCCCGGGUGAAAGCUACAUCGGUAUCCGUGCGCUUGCGGAUUUUUCUGUUUGCGUUUAAAAUACCCAACAAGCUUUCUGGCGCCGUUGCCGGGGAACGGUAGCUGUGCUAGUUUCGAACCAAGUCGUCCGUGUAUCCUUUUUUCUUUUCCUUUUUUACCACACUCUCCUUAUCAUUUUCACCAUACCACUUGGAUUUACUCUAAGCAUUAAUGAGCAUGGAAUCUAUUUCAUAGCCACUUCAUUUACUCCAUGCUCAUAUGCAACAUCUUCACAAUCCAUUGGUCUCUCCAACAUCACCACAUUCGAGAUCUCCAACCCCCUCUUCCUUUCUAUUCAUAAAACUUUACAAGGGCGGUUGUCGAUGCAUAUGUCUAUAUUAAAUAUUGCAGAUCUCGUUGAGUUGAUCUUGAUAUAGGUCAGCGUUGGAGGGGAAACCACUUCGCCGACAUAAAUUGAUGGUUUCCCAAGGACAAGCUUAGUGUCCUAAAAUAAGCACUGAUCAGAUCAUAACAUGAGCUUUUAAUUAUUUGCAAUAUUACCUUGUGUAUUGAGCAUAUAAGGAUAAUUGUAAAAAAAUUCCUUCGGGUAUUCUUGUCACUAACCUUUCCAGGAUUGGAGCAAGAAGACCGGAUGAAUGACAAGCACAAGGUAUGUCCAACCAAUCAUCAUACAACAUUGAAUUAAAUUCAUCCAAACUUGAAUUUUGCAAAAUUCAAGCUUGGGGGAGUACUUUACAUAAAAACAUCCUUUGCCAUGUUGCUAUGUUGGUUGUCCCUACCUUUGAGACAUGCUCAAUUUGUUAAAUACUAAUCACACUACUUCAUAUCCACUUGAGUAGAUCUCUAUAAAUACUCUCAUGCUACCUUUAUUUGCUUUAGUAUAUGUCUAGGUUUGGAGUAGUUUCAUUUAUCUCUUAAUUAAGCUUGGUGCUUAGUUUAGGAAUGAUGAUCUUACUUCCAAGGAGUUUUAAAUUAAGCAUGGUGCUUAGGUUAAAAUGCCCUCCUGAAUCAAAUUAGACAUGGUGUCUAGGUUGAUUUUUGAGCCGAUAGUAUGCUAUAGUAGAUAUUGGAUAUUUUGUUGGACUAACCCCCACAGGAAAACUUUCAUUAUCGACCUGGGAAGUCCUGGGAUAAACUCACAUUGGAGACAAAGAGAGAGACACAUGAAGUUUAACAAUUUGCACUUGGAAGGCAUAGAUCACAAGAGAUGAUCCAUGGAGGGUGCCACAAACACGAUGCACAACCGCAAAGAAAGGAAAGCUUCCACAAGGAGAUACUGUACCAUCACUCUUCAAGUAAGGUAACAUCUUAAGGUACUUGACUAUCACUUUUAUAAGCUUCUCCUUGGUUCUGGCGUUCACAUGAAUAAAAGAGACAAACAUGUAUGAUUUACAACUCUAAAAUAACCAACUCAAUUAAUUGAACAUGUUUAGUCCUUUAAUCUUUGUUUAUAGUACUACCUUCGUGAUCCCACACACAUAAUCAUAUAAGCUAAAAUGUUGCACAUUCAAUCUCUGGAAGAUAUAAUCAAAACAUAAGUAUACAUAGAUUAUCUUUCCAUUAGGUUGAGCGAUGUGAUGUGACAAAUGUUUUAAAUAUUACACUCAUGAUCUUAUUAUCCAUCAACUUGGUCUUGCUCAUUAUGCUUAAGGAUAGAGAAGAAUAAAUACACUUUUAGUUCUGUUGGUGUUUUCCACCAACAGGGCCCAUGCACUUGAUCUCUGCCUUGUCUCUAUGAGCAGGUACACUUUAAGCAAAACAUGGAAGAGUUUUACAACUCCCAGACUCCACCAAGUGAAGAACCUAGAUCUACGAGCUCAAACACACUGGAGAUACUGGACACUCAGGCAAUCACUGCCCUAAGAUGCUUAAGGACGUAACUUCUGGAGUAACCCUGUUGUGGAAGUAAUUACUGACCUUCUGCCAGUCAAGAGAGGCGACCCACGAUGCCCCGUCAUCCCGAUCUCCAUCGGCAUGGUGGACUUCCUAGAAGCAUUCUACGACUUUGGCUCCAGCGUCAACAUUAUGGUCAGGGUACUCUAUGAAAAAUUCUUUACACAUCCUUUCGUAAAAACAACCAUGUGUUUGCAGCUUGCAGAUCAGACACUAAGUUUCCCAAAGGGAAUAUUGAAGAACCUCUACGUCCGAGUUGGUACCUUGUACGCCCCAGCAGACUUCGUGGCAAUAGAGACUGGUACUGAUGAGAGGGCACCCAUCAUCUUAGGGAGGCCAUUCCUGAACACCUCGGGAGCUAUCAUCUACGCUAGUGCUGCCAAGAUCAGUUUCUACAUCAAAGGGAGGAAGGAGACGUUUUCCUUCACGAGCAAGACUACACAAAUCUCAGAGCAAUCCCGACAUGAACCAAGGAAGAGGACCAACAAGAGGAACAGGAACAAGCAAAUGUGGACCAAGUCAGCAAAGAUGGUCACUGCAGUUCAAGGAGGUCAAGAUCGUCGACUUAAGUCACCGUUCGUAACCAAAAAGGACGAUCCAAGUAUGCCAAGCAUCCAGUGCUCCAUUGAUGGAUACAACUUCCAGAAGAUGCUUUGCGACACCGGGUCAGGCGUCAACAUAAUGGCCGCCAGUCACCUAUCAGCUCCUAUUCGGAACCAUGCCCCUAAAACCGACAUACAUUCAGCUUCACAUGGCAGAUCAGACAUUCCGAAAGGUUAUAGUCAUGGGAGAAGACGAAUUCAAUCCACUCGUCACCAUUGGGAGACUGUUCCUCAGCACCGUUAAAGCAAUCUUCUACAUUGGAACUAGAGAAGUCCACAUGCACUUCCCCUCUGAGAAGGUACGCCGCUAUUUUACUGAACCUAACUAUAGAGUUGAAGACUCUAAGCAGAUCAGGGCAAGAAGAAGACGACGCAACCGCAACCAGAGGAGGCAAAUCAUCAAGGACGGACGGGCAGACUAUGAAGGAGAAGUCGUAAGGUCUGAAGACAUACAGCUUGAACAGAACUGUCCUGAGGAGACCGUAGCACCGAGUUAGGUGUGGAGAGAGAAGAUAGUUAUACACGAAGAAGAAGCGUCGCCGGAACCACCGACUACGCCAUUCAACGAAUCCUAGGACGACUGAGAAAACGGAGAGUCCCGUUCGGAGGACUUAAAAACACCGAACGCCUUGCCAAGAGGUAAACUUAGUAGUUAUCUAUUUCCUUUCAAUUAUUUAAAAUAGUUUGCUUAGUUAAUCAUAUUCAUACUAUCUUGAAAAGAAAAUAAAAAUGUUAAAAAAUAGUAAGCCCCAUAUGAGUAUGCUCAUGGCAUAAAACCCAUAAGUACAUUCACUGUGGUGGCAUAAAAAUAAAAUAAAUAUAUUUAUGUUCUAUAAAAAUGAAAAUAUAAAAAUAAAUUUAUGAUCCUACCAAAGAGUGUAAUAUUUAUUGAGGAGGCUCAACAUGAUAAAGGCUAGAUAUUUAUGCUAACACUUAACCAGUUCCACAGAGCUUUGUUGUCUAUUUGAGCUCCACAGAAUUCAAGGAUCAAAGAAGACUAGCAGACAGAGGACAUCCUAAUCACUGUCAGUGUGCUGCCGACAUGCAAAUACACCUCCGCCACCUGCUACAUCAGAAGAAAUUACGUCAAAAUCCAGCUUGGGGGAGAGUACCCCUAUUUAUCCAGCUAAGUGUUUCUACUCACGUUUAUAUUUUACUCAAAUAAUAAAAAGAUGCAUAAUCAUAAAAACCCAAAUAAAGAAUUUUGUGCUUAUAUAUAUAUCGUUGCUUAGUUUGCUAAAUAAAUAAAAAAUAAAAUUUGCUAUGAACCCUCGUGAUAAGCUCUCACAUAGAAAUGAUGAAUAGUUGCUCUGCCAUGUACCUAGUUUUCAAGUUUAAGCUUUCUCUCAAGUUUAGGCAUAACUGUUAUAAUUUAAACCUGCUCUAAACCUGAACUUGUGGGGAGAGUACUUGAUCUAAAGUCUAAGUCGUUAACGGAUACGAUAUGGGAAGGUUGAGCUGUUGUUUAUCUGUUCCUACAGAUGCUAGAAUUCUGGAGAAUUUUAUCUUUGAAAAUCUUUAAAAUAACACAUGAUGAGUUCCUGUAUGAUGAGAGUUUAAAUUCCUACCACAGCCAUAUAUACAUGCUUGUUAGACUAUGAACCAUACAUUACUUUUUACUGCUUAUGAGCAUUGAGUGUGGUCAAGCUGUGUAGACCCUUAGGAGAUUGUCAUGUGGUUAAAUCAAGAUUCACUUGCACGUUCACUCACACAUGCUGCUUCUACUCCGGAAGUAUGCAUCCACAUAUAUCCAUCCAUUUCCAUCUCCAGAACCACCCAAAUAUAAUCUACUCCUAAUCCGGGAGAGAAUAGCCAAAAACAUUCUCCUAUUCUUGUUUUCCUCUGUGAAAUAAAUGCUCAAGUUAUCUUGGUUACUACCACUUGCUAUAUUAUUUCAGGAGAUGAGUGCUCCAAUAAAAAAAAAGAAAAGAGAAAAAAAAGAGAUGCGAGGAAAUAAAAAGGGGCAAGUGCCCGGAACCUUGAAAGAAAAAAAGUGAGACGAGAGGUAAAAAUGGACAAGUGUCCGACAGUAGAAUUAGGGCUACAAGAUACCCACCUGAGAGAAAAGAAAAAGAAAAUAUAGAGCAUCUCAUUCUCUCCAAAAGUUUCAAAAGAGCAAGAAAGGUAUGUAUCCCCUCAAAAGAGCACAAGUGGAAUUAGACUUUCACCAUUGUUAUCACCAUCAUACACCAUUCAUUCGCCACACAUGCACAUCUUGAUUUGACUUAUUGACUUGUUCUUCUGGAUCCAUGGUUUGACUAUGCAACAAAUGUCUUGUAAGUAUGUAUUAGCUGUCUCCCACCUAUGAGCUCCAGAUAUCAAAAGCCUUAUUAGAGUAGGGUGAGAGAGAAGGCAAUGCCACUAUGCCUUAUACCACAAAUACCACAUACUUUGAGAGAAGGCAUACACCAUUACUGCCUUGGUAAGGAUCCAAAAAUACCACAAAAGAGAGACUAGAGAGAGUCAUACAAGGAAUCUCUGAGUUUUAUUUGAAAAUCUGCAAAAACUCCAGAGCUAUAGUUAAUCGAAGAACAAGAGACAUGGUGCUUGACUAGACCGUUCUAUCUUUUAACUGCUCAAGACACAAGUGACGGAUACAAGCCCCAUGGUGGAAGGUAAAAUGAGUAAAUUUAAAUCUUGAAAGUUUACCCUAACCCAGAGAUGAGAUAUUGUUUGAACGCAUGUGUAUCUUUAAGGCAUGGAACCACUGCAGAAACUCUUGAGUUCAUCUUUGCUCAGGGACGAGCAAAGGUUAAGCUUGGGGGAGCUUGUUGACGGUCCUUAAUGCUCACAUUUAACCAUAAACUAAUCAUGGAAAAAGACUUAUAUAUAGCCAACACUUAGACUUAGGGUUUUAUCUGACAGAAUUCCAUGAGUUUUGGUGUUUGUCUAUUUCUGCAGGGGGUUAUCAGGAAAUAUGAAAGAAAGGCCCACACGUCAGGUUUACAUAGAGAUAUUAACGUGCCGUGCAAUUUUCUACCAUCUAGAAGACUCCAGAAGCCACGGGAACGAACAGGAGUCCGAUCGGGCCCGGGGGCAGGGUGCCCGCCCAGCUACAGUAACCAAUCAGCUUCAACUUCGCGGAUCGUGCUCCACCGACCUAAGGGACCAAGGAAAACCGUGUGAUUAAUGUCGGUUUGAUCCGAUGGCCCAGAUUCAUCUGAAAAGACUAUAUAAGCAAGGCCCCCUGGCCCCUGGAGAGCAUACCUCUUCUACAGAAUCAAAGCUAGGGUUUCAAUUCUUCAUCCAAGUAGAGAGGAUCCCUCUAGUUCUUCUAGUUCUACCUCUAGUUCAUCUAGAUCUAUUUCUAGUUCAUCUAGUUAUAGUUCUAGUUCCUCUAGUUCUAGUUCUAGUUAGUUCUAGUUGUAAUCUAGAAAAUAGGGAGAGAGAACAGGAGAGAGGAGGAGGAGCCAGAUCUGUCGGAUCUUCCUCAACAUUAUACUUUUGCAGCAUCUGGUUCGUUCUUCAUCAUUCUCCAGGUUCUUCAAUUCAUAAAACUAAGUUCUUUAAUUACUUUUAUUUACAUUCAAGUUAUUUAUUGGAUUCCCGCUUGCAUCAAGUGCUCUAGUCUUUAUAACGCUAGAGUAGUAAUUAAUAGAUUUGACGUGGUGUUUAGUCUUGCAAUUACCUGGAAUUGCACCCAAUCCUUCGGAUUGUUGUGGUAGCCUUAGGGUAGUGACAGCCCUAACGGUCGACGUAUUCCACCUCGUUCGGAUCGGUGUUUGUAGGACCGUAGUCAGACCUUCCUAGCCCCCUUCUCAUCUCUUUCUGUGGUUAGUGCUCUGAUGUCCCGAUAUAGAUAAUCUUGAAGUAAUUCUUGAUUCUUAGAUCAACUAGAGAACUCUCAGGAAAUUUCCUCUCUUCCCACCAAAAAUAUUCAUAUAGUUAUCCUUGGGCGAUCUUGAUUCUUAAUUAGUACACUCACGUUCUCUGUGGAAAAUCGAUACUCUGGAAUACUCCCGGGUGAAAGCUACAUCGGUAUCCGUGCGCUUGCGGAUUUUUCUGUUUGCGUUUAAAAUACCCAACACAUGCCAAUAGCACUGGCGGCUCGUCAAUCCCCCUCCACAAAGGGGUUGUGAACCGCCUCUAUAGUACCUUUCUGUACUAGUGUCAGGGCACCAAGAGUUUGACUGAGUAUCUUCAUGCUUUCAAUAACUUGUCUCGCUAUGCUACUGAGUUUGUAGACACUGAUGCCAAGAAUCUUGCUAGUUUCAAGAGGGGACUCGGCCCAAGCUAUCAAAAAACAUGGCUGGUAACAAGAGUACCACCUUCAAUGAGUUCGUGAGUGAUGCCUUGACUGAAGAGAACUCUAAUGCGAUCUAUGCUGCAUCCAAGAACCGCAAGAGGGCCUAUGAAGCAGGUGCUUCACAGUCCAAGGCUCUAGUGGCAACCAAGCCGACUUAUCACCCGCCCAAUGUUGUGACCAGGUACAAGCCACCACAGAAGAAGUCUAACGUGAAGAUGGGGAUUUGCAAAUCUUUCACUAUUGCUCUUCCUAGGGGCGCCACAGGUCAAGGGAGCUCCAAUACUCCCCCUGCUAAUCGUCCCUACUUUAACUGCAAGCAAGUUGGUCAUUGGGUGAGAGAUUGCCGUUAUUCUAAGAGGAAUUCUGUAGCUAGAGGCAAUGUACAUCCCAGCCAAGUGCACUACACCACCAUUGAAGAAAUUCCUACAGGUGAAGUGGUUACGGCUGCUAUGUUUCUUGUCAAUCAACACCCUACAGUUGUCUUGUUUGAUUCUGGAGCUUUGCAUUCUUUUAUGAGUCAAGCAUUUUCAUCUAAGCAUGGGCAAAAUGUAGUGGAUAUUGAUAAGGGCAAAUUUUGCAUUAGUGCUGCUGGUAAUCAAAUCUCUACUAACCAAUUGGUUAGAAAUGUACACCUUGCCAUUGAGGGGCGUAACUAUUCAGCCGAUCUUGUAAUUUUGCCUGGCUUAGGAAUAGAUGUUAUUUUGGGGAUGAAUUGGAUGAGCGGCCAUGGUGUGUUAAUAGAUACCUCAACAAGGGUAAUCAUGUUGAGGGAACCUGAUAGUAAAGAAGAUUUCUUAGUCCAUCUUCCUAGAGAUGAUGACAUCCGUCAUGCUGUGAAUGCUAUAAGACCACUCAUUGUGGCAGAAAUCCCUGUAGUGUGUGAGUUUCCGGAUGUUUUUCCAGAGGAUCUACCUAGGUUGCCUCUAGACAGAGACAUCGAGUUUAAAAUUGAUCUAAUUCUUGGCACUGCACCUAUCUCUAGAAGGCCAUAUUGAAUGCCACCAAAUGAACUAGCAGAGUUGAAGAAGCAAUUGCAAGAACUCCUAGAGAAGGGUCUUAUUAGGCUUCUCCAUGGGGUUGUCUCGCUCUCUUUGUCAAGAAGAAGGAUAAGUCUCUCCAUAUGUGUGUAGACUAUCCUCCACUGAGUGCCGUCACUAUCAAGAACAAGUAUCCCUUGCCUCACAUUGAUAUUCUGUUUGACUAGUUAGCCAAGGCCAAGGUAUUCUCAAAGAUUGAUUUGAGAUCUGGAUAUCAUCAAAUCAAGAUCUGACCUGAAGACGUUCCUAAAACAGCUUUCUCUACCAGGUAUGGGCUAUAUGAGUAUUUAGUCAUGUCCUUUGGUCUAACUAAUGCCCCUGCUCAUUUCAUGUACCUAAUGAAUUCGGUGUUCAUGCCUGAAUUGGAUAAGUUUGUGGUGGUGUUCGUCGAUGACAUAUUGGUGUAUUCUGAAAAUGCCCAAGACUAUGAGAAGCACCUUCGGAUUGUACUCACCAGAUUGCGUGAACAUCAGCUCUAUGCCAAGUACAGCAAAUGUGAGUUUUGGCUGAAGAAAGUGCCUUUCCAAGGCCACAUUUUGUCCGAAGAUGGAAUCUCUGUUGACCCAUCAAAAGUGCAAGAGGUUCUAGACUGGAAAGCCCCGACUUCAGUACAUGAGGUUCAAAGUUUUCUCGGCCUAGCGGGUUAUUAUUGUCGCUUUAUUCCAGACUUUGCUAAGAUAGCCAAACCUAUGACCAAGCUGCUGCAAAAAGAUGUGAAAUUUGUGUGGUCUGAGGAGUGUGAAGUCACUUUCAGUGCUUUACGCCACUUGCUGACCACUGCCCCUGUUCUAGCACAACGUGACAUUGAAAAGUCAUUCGAUGUUUUUUGUGAUGCCUCUGGCAUCGGUUUGGGCUGUGUGCUUAUGCAAGAAGGCCGAGUCAUUGCCUAUGCCUCUCGGCAGCUGAGGAAGCAUGUAGUCAACUAUCCUACUCAUGAUCUAGAGUUAGCGGCAGUUGUGCAUGCAUUGAAACUCUAGAGGCACUAUCUAUUGGGUAAUUUGUGUCAUAUUUACACUGACCAUAAGAGCCUCAAGUAUAUCUUCACCUAGCUCGAGCUGAACAUGCUGAACAUGAGACAAUGAAGAUGGUUAGAAUUGAUUAAGGAUUAUAAUCUUGAAGUGCACUAUCAUCCAGGCAAAGCCAAUGUUGUAGCCGAUGCCCUUAGCCGAAAACAACACGUUAGACCUCUCCUCAAAGAAGGCUUCAAUUUGUUGCACCCUGUAGUCUUGCAUAACAUCAUGGCCAGUUGUUCUCUAGAAAGCCAAAUCAUAGAACCACAAAAGACCGACCCUGGUAUCUUCCAUAUCAAGAGAAAAAAAGAAAGAGCAAGACACCAAGCAUUUCAGGGGUGAUGAGAAAGGUGUGCUGUGGUUUGAUGAUCGACUUGUAGUACCCAAAGACCGUGAGAUCCAAAAUAAAAUACUAGAUGAAGCUCACUCCUCUAAGCUAUCCAUCCAUCCUGGUAAAAGCAAGAUGUGUCAGGACUUGAAGCCUCAUUUUCAGUGGACCAAGAUGAAGAAAGAAAUAGCAGCUUAUGUUGUUAGGUGUGAUACCUGCUGCAGGGUAAAGGCAAUUCACCGUAAACCUAUAGGUCCGUUGCAACCUUUGUCAGUUCCAGGGUGGAAGUGGGAAGAAAUCAGCAAGGAUUUCAUUGUUGGGCUUCCCCCUACCAAAAAAGGUCACGAUUCCAUAUGGGUGAUAGUGGAUCGCUUGACCAAGUCAGCUCAUUUCAUCUCGGUGCGAUCUAACUACCGUCCAUCCGACUAUGCUGAGUUGUAUUUCUCCUAGCUCGUUAAAUUGCACGGAGUGCCUUGAACCAUUGUUUCAAAUAGAGGUCCUCAGUUCACCGCUCGCUUCUAGGAACAUUUACAUUCACUCCUUGGUACAAAAUUGAUUCACAGUUCGGCUUAUCAUCCUCAAACUUCUGGUCAAACUAAGCGUGUGAAUCAAAUUUUGGAGGAUAUGUUGAGGGCACGUGUCAUCUCUUCCAAGGGAGCUUGGGAGAAAUGGCUACCCUUAGCUGAAUUCUCUUACAAUAAUAGCUAUCAAGAGAGUAUUCAGAUGGCUCCUUUCGAAGCUUUAUAUGGCCGCAAAUGUAGGACUCCUCUGAACUAGGUUGAGCCCAGGGAAAGGAGAUACUACGGCAUUGAUUUCGUCAAAGAAGCCGAAGAGCAGGUUCUCACCAUCCAAAAACACAUGGAAGCUGCACAGGCUAAACAGAAAAGCUACGCCGAUCGAAGAAGAAGACCACUCGAGUUUGAAGUAGGUGACUUUAUGUACCUAAAGGUAUCCCCCAUGAAGGGAGUGAACCGCUUCGGUGUGAAGAGGAAGCUUGCUCCUAGAUAUGUGGGUCCCUACUAAAUCAUCGAGAAGAGUGGCAAAGUGGCUUACAAGGUGUAGUUACCUUAUGAGAUGAGAGCUAUCUUCCCUGUAUUCCAUGUGUCUCAACUCAAGAAAUGCCUUCGUAUUCCCAAAGAAAGAGUGGAAACGGGAGGCCUUAAGUUACAAUCAGACCUAUCCUAUGAAGAAAAGCUCGUGCAAGUCCUUGAUGUCAAAGAAAGGGUUACCCAAAGGAGAGUGAUCAAACUUUAUAGGGUGCUAUGGAACCACCAAAGUGAGAGAGAUGCCACGUGGGAAAGGGAAGAUUAUUUAAAGUAACUUAUCCCUCCUUCUAUGAAAAAUGGUAUGCCUUUCAAAUCUCGGGACGAGAAUUUUGUAAGGGGGGGCUUUAACACUCCUAGUGUUAGCUUGCAUGUUAAGCAUGAGCAUUGCAUCAACAUGAGCAUCAUCAUUGUUGACGGUCCUUAAGUAUCAAAUUUAAUUAUCAAAUAAAUAAAGAAAAGGAUCCAAAUGAAAUCAAGAUCUAGACUUAGGGUUUUAUCUGACAGAAUUUCACGAGUUUUGGUGUUUGUCUAUUUCUGCAGGGGGUUAUCAGGAAAUAUGAAAGAAAGGCCCACAUGUCGGGAUUACGUAAAGAUAUUAACGUGCUGCGCAAUUAUCUUACAUCUAGAAGACUCCAGAAGCCACGAGACAGAAGCGGAGGCAAAACGGGGCCAGAGGCAGGGCGCCCGCCCUCCUGCCCUGGGUGCCCGCCCACCUCCUGUGUCCAAUCAGGACUCUGCUUUGCGGGAGAUCUCCACCGACCUAAAGGAUGAAUCUAAACCAUACAAUCUAUGUCGGUUUGAUCCAAGGGCCCAUAUUCACUUGGAGGGACUAUAAAACCAGACCCCCUGGCCCCUGGAGGAGAGAGCCUCUCAACCCUAAUUCAUUGUUCCAUCAAGGGAGAAGAAGCCUCUGAUCAAGAUUAGAGCCACCACAUCAAUUAGACAUCUAGAUUAGCAUAGCUACAUAGGAUUAGAACUAGAAGGAGUCAAUCUUCGAUUGGUUCCUGGAUCUGUCAGGAGGAUUCUUGGUAAUUCUCUAAUUGUGCUUCUAAUUGCUUUCUAAUUAUCUUUGUUCUUCAAUAUUAUGAAUAUGACUUUGUUCUACUUCAAUAUAUUGCUUAUGACUUUGCUCUACUUGCUUAUAUUCAAGAUUAUAUUGUUCUUAGUUUAUCAUAGUUAUGUACUUGGCUUAGUUAGAUUCGAUCUAUAUACAUGCUUAGGAUCGUAUAGCGUUUAUCCAUCGGAUCCAUGGGUAAAUGAUAGAUAUUGUGUAGGCGUGGUGCUUAUACCGUAUUUAUCUGCGAUUGUACCCAAUAUGCCAGAUCGUGGGGUGGUUCGUGAUAGUGACAGCUUCAUUGAUUCUUAUAUAGUCCCCCUCUCGUGUAUUGGGCUGGCAGAGCAACAUUAUUACAGGGGAGUGAUUGCUAUGUUUCUCAUAUUCCUUGCUAAUAUCACUAUGCAUGGGCGUAGUCUUGUCUCACAAUGAUUGCUAAGUAUGCUUGCACUAACUAUGAUAAUGCUAGACUAUAUAGUUAAGAAUAACUUAGGGAAUAUUCUUGUAGUUCGUUCUAAUACCAUGCUAAUGACUCUCUAGAGUAUCUAAUUGAGGUGCUUAUCAUAUUUAUUAUGUGGCUAGAUCAGAUUAGUUAUCCUUGUCACUAUUAUUAUUUCAUAUAUCUUUUAUGUGACACUUAUCCCUGUAUGAUGAGUUAGAUAUAAUGUUCUCAAUUAUACAUGCAAUGACAGAUGCUCAAUCUCAUAUUCUAUUCUGUAAUCAAUAGUGAUGAUUGCUAAUCCCUUCUCAGUGGUAAAAAUAUAAAUAACGAUACCUGGAAUACUUCCCGGUUAAAAUGCUGCAUCAUUAUUAAUCUGUGCGCUUGCAGAUCCCAUUCAUUAUUUAUUUAGAAGAGCAAUUGCAUAUUUCAAUACCGCGUCUCUUAUAUCAUGCUGGGGAUGACAACUUGGCUUAAGUGGUGUGAGGGAUAGGUUUUUUAUUUUUGGCACCGUUACUAGAUUUAGAGAACUUAGUGUACUUUUGGUAAUGAUGUUAAGAAUACCCAACAAUCAUACUCACCCAUAAGCAUCAUACCAUGAUCACAUGUCAUUUUGUGUGUACCCUAUCUGAGUUGAUUGCUUAUAUUGCUUGUUAUGUGUAUAAGUAAUGUAUGACCAAUGUAUACAAGUGCACAUUGUCUUCCAAAAUACUUUAUUCAUGCUUAGAAUAUCAUUUGGAACAAUGUUCAUGUUGGAGGUUUCUACCAAAAAUGCCCCUAAGUCAUGGUUAACCCUAGGUUGACCUAGUUUGACCCACAAACCUCUUUUCAAAGGUCCUUUAUGAAAACAGUGUUAGAGACCUUGCAUGUAAAUGGCAUCUAAAGCAAAGUUGUAGUAAAUGUUAUAAGCUACAAAAGUUGUUUUGAUACAUUUUCAUGAAAAUGCAUGGAACAUACGCAAACUUUUCUCACAAGGCAAAAAUAGGGUCUGCUUUUCCACUUAGCCAAAUUUGCCUAAGUUAGAAUCGACGCAGUUUCGAGGUAGGUCUCUUGGGAGCCUUGUAGUUUGAAUUCUAGACCAAACCAGACCUUGAUGCUUAAAGCAAACAUGUAGAACUCGUGUAGCUCUAUCCAUUGGGACAAAUAUGAGCAAAAACCACCAAGUGAAUCGUGAGUAAAACGUCGAUGAAGAUCGGGUUUCAGUCGGCCAUUGGAGCCCUGAUCAACGUGAUUCGGUUUGGACAGAGCGUCGCCCGCCGCCACGUGUUGAGCUAGCUGUCGGCCGUACGUCGCUGACGGUCUCUCCUGUCAGCCCCAACGGCGUCCUCAAGUCGCCAUGCACCCCCUAAAUGCCUCAGACGCGCCCUUCGUCCACCCAGCGCACCCUAUUUCCCUCCGCCAUCGUCCUCGGCGAGCUCCGACGCGUUUCGGGGAGCUUCCCCGCCCACACCACCGCGUCCCAACUCGAGCUGCUCCGUCCAGAGCUCCACCAUGACGUCAUCUACCUCGUCGUCCACUCCAUUGCCACAACUGAGCUCAGGUGAGGCGGCAUUGCCGAGCCCCGCAUGGUUUCCACCUCGUCGGAGUUCGCAGAGAUCACCAGCAACGUGGCUAGACCUCUCUGGUCCACCUCUAGCCGUGAUUCUUAUUCCUACAACUUUCUCUUGCUUCACUCUUGCUCGUCCUGAACCGCUACUGGGUCGCCAUGGCCCAUGUUCGCCGGCGUAUCACCACGCAGCACCGCCGCUCCGCCAUUCCCGAUGGCGAGCACCCUAUGAGCCAGUAGAGCGCGAGCCAAGUAGGUCAAUAGGUCCGCCUCGAAGUGAGGAACACGACAGUGCCCUCGGUUUCCCCAGAGACCUCGCCGUCGUUGAGAUCUUCGGCGACCGAGCUCGCCUCUGUCCUUUGUGUCACUGACGUGUGGGACCCUUCUGUCAGCCUCUCUCCCUCUCUCCCCCUAUUUCUGUUUUUGACAGAUUUCAAUGCUAUGCUGUAAAAAUCAUAUCUCGAGUUUGGCAAGUCCAAUUUGUAUGUUUCAAAUUUUUUCAUACUCCUGAGUAGAUCUAGUUUUUAAUAAAAAUAUGAGACAUGCCAUGUUUUUGCAGAAAUAAAUAGUUAUGAUUUAUCUCUUUUAAUCCCUAAUAAAAAGAGGGCAAUUAUAUCUGUAGACCUGUAAUCCUAUGACCAUGCAAAUUUAGGAGGUUGUUACUUAUGCCAUGAAUAGGCUUUGAUAAAUUUCUCAUGAUUUUUGGAUGCCUUAUGAUGAAGUUAUAAAUACCCCUUAUUUAAAUAGGAGGUUAUUGUGGUAUUUUGAAUAAAUAGGUUAGAACUCCUUUUGUGAUGAAACUUGCUGGGUGAUGCAAACUCAUGAAGCUAAAGCCAAGAAAAAUCUGAAAUCUGUUAUUUGACACUUUUUGACAGAGUUUCACAUAUAUGCCUUUAAUGCCUUUGGUAGCUUGUCAUUUUUGUGCCCUACAAUCUACAUGCUCAAUGGCCAUGAAACGUUUACAGUAACCAUGUUGUAGCAUGAGUAGCUUACUGUAAUUUUGCUAGAAUGUUUGGAGCACUGGUACUAUAUGGUCAUUAAUUCACCUUAAUAACCAAAUAAAUAGAAAAGGGGAUAUUAAAAAUAAGUUUUUACCUUGCCAUGAUGUUUUAUAAAGUUUCUUAGACAUGUUCUAACUACUGGUACUUUUGGUUUGGACCAAUGUUACUUUCUUACUAUGUGCUAAAAUAUUAUUUUGCUAUUUAUGCCUUGUCUAGAGCAUAUUCUGUGUAGCUGAUAGAAGUUCCUUAAAAACUGCUUGGAGAUGUAGUUUGCUGGGAAACUUAUCUAUAACAAACUUGUAGCUAACUUACUUAUCUACCUUGUAUCCAAUGUUCAUAGCAUCUGGCUGAGUGAUUUAAAAGUUAUGGCUGUUGCAAGUAGCUGCUACGAAGUGAUUGUUCUCUGGAUUUUCCAGAGCAGACCUGAAACUUUGUCUGUUUUGACCUGUUUCUGUUGGGAAUCAAGCUGUGAUAUCUAAAAGUAAAUUGUAGACAAUUUGUUAAGAUUUCCAGAAAGUGCUCACUUACUUAAUUUGACCAAUAGAUGACUAAGUUAUGGCUGAAACUUAUGACCACCCAAUCUGUCCCUCAACCCAGUUGCUGUGUAUAAGUAGUUAAGGUUGAAUAGCUUGUAUAGUUAGCCUCUCUACCGGAUAAGAAGUAUGCACUUACCUAUUAAUCUGUUGCUUACUCAAUUUUAGAAGCUUGUGAUCAUGUUUGCACCGUGUUACCUGUUUCUUUGCUCCUCAUCAUGACAUAUUGCAUCCUAUGUGCAUUCCCUAUGUUUAUCACCUUGUCAUGCAUACUUAGGUGCAACCAAAAGCGUGACGGUCAUGGAGUUCGCCCCACCCGAGCCGGAGGAGCAGCAGUCGGAGCAACCUCAAGAGGAAGGAGCUGAGGAGGAGGAUUUGCCGGAGUGCCCUGACCACCGUCCUUCUACGUACAUUGAAGGCAAGCCGCGGAGUAUUAUAAGCAUCCUAUACUAUUUUUGUUAUCAUGCUCAAGAGUCAAUUAACUAUAGUUAUGUAUUGAUGCAUUAAGUGUUAGGUGCUGAUAUGACACCCUUUGAUGAGGACAUCACCACGCUGGAUACGUUGACACCAUCGUCUUUUCCAAGUUGCAAUUCAUCUCCAAUUCAGCUACCACGUCACUCUCGGAUUCAGCGAACACGUCGUCAGUGUUUUGGUCAUAACUUCUUCAUACUACAUCAAAAUAGGGUGAUCUUGGACUCGUUGGAAAGGGGACGACGAUGCCGUCAUUUUGGAUCUAGUCCCAGCUCCAGAUCUUUCAUGGAUUAAUCUUUAUGUCCACGACAAGGUGUUGCGUCACCUAUUUUGGGCCAACUUGGUCAUGUAUCAAAUUUGGGUCUUAAGGCCAUGUUGUGGGUGCCUCCCCCUAGUUGCCUCCAACCCUAGGUCACUUCUCCUUUAUAUUCCAUGCAGCCGCCGCUGUUUAGACUUGGGUUUUGUUUAGAGUUUAGUUUUCCAUCAAGAAACUGAAUGGUUCAUUGUAACUGUGGUGACAAAUCCUUUUACAGUGAUCCAGAGCUCCCGUUCUUGAUCUCCUCCACUGUGUCGAUCAGUCCUUUGGAACCGAGUUCUUGAACCCUCAUUUGAAUAUUCGCGUCAUUCAUAUCUACAAUUUCAGAUUGCAUGUUUAUACUUUCUUGCUUGUUUGAUAACCAACGUGGCGAGGUCAAUCAAGUUGUGCUUGGUUGAUAACCAACGGAGCAGUGGUGUGAUGGUUGCAGGGUUCGAAUCGUGCUGAUUUGAAGACGGAUCGCCAACGUCGAGUUCUCCACAAUCGAAUUUACCAAUUACCUCUCAGUAGAUCGGGCUUGACCCUCAUCAAUAGGUAUCAGAUAUCUAUCUCAGGUUUACUAUGAGGUAUAAUCUCAUUUUCCCUAGAUUCAUAUUUGUUCAUUACCUACAAUCCAUAAAUAGCCCAAAAAAAUAGUUUAAUUUUCCACUGUCCUAUCACCCAUUGUGCCUUGCAAUUUCAUUUUCAGAUUUGCUUUGUUGAGUUUGUGUCCGUGGUUGAGUCUAGUUGCUGGUUUUGAUUGUGUUUGUCGUCGUAUUUCAUUUGCACCGAUGUUGUUCUUAGUAUUCGCUGCUAUCGUAUCCACUAUUUCCAAACAACAAGUCGAAGCCACCACAUUACUCGACUUGCCUCCGCUAGCCGCCUUGUGUGAUCUCUCGCCGCUGCUCUAACCCUAUAUAGGUUGCCAGCCGUUGUUAUUUUGCCUGCUUCACAGCCCUCCUUACAUCAUCAGGCGAAUACCUACUGCUAUUAGUGAAAGGAUCAAGAUGUCCAAGAGGGGGGUGAAUUGGGCUUCUCUAAAAAUUUAAGCAACCUCUAAGCUCCAAUUCAACCCCUUGUGCCUAGUGUGAUCUAGAGAGCUACCGGAUAAAGAGUUUUGCAACCUAGUUUCAAUCCUAUUCUAGCAUGGCAAUUCUAAGAAUGUAAAAGCUCAAAAUAAUUGCACAAAGUAAAUGAUAGAAAGUAACGGAGGAGAGCAAGAAAGGCGCGGCGAUGUUUUGCCGAGGUAUCGGAGAGUCGCCACUCCCCACUAGUCCUCGUUGGAGCACCCGCGCAAGGGUCUUGCUCCCCCUUGGUCCGCGCAAGGACCAAGUGCUCUCUAUGGGCUGAUUCUUCGACACUCCGUCGUGGUGAAUCGCCCACAGCCGCUCAUAAGUUUGACACGAGCCACCCACAAGAACUCUAGGCAAUCUUCGUGCCUCCAAUCACCACCGAACCGUCUAGGUGAUGGCGAUCACCAAGAGUAACAAGCAAUGAACUCUCACUUGACCCAAUCAAGGCACUAGAGAGUGGUGGAUGCACACUUGACUCUUGAAACUCAACUAGAGAAGGAUUCAAUCAAGAAAUCUCUCAAUUCUCAAUCCUCUCUAGGCUCUUGCUUCUCUCUUGCACCACAAGGUGAUUCUCAACUGAUCAAAUGGGCAAGAGACCUCCCAUGGACGAGGUGGAGGGGUAUAAAUACUCCCCAUCAAGACCAAGGGCUGGCCAACUAUUUUACACUGAAAACGGAAGCACCGGACACUGGUGAUGUUGCACUGGACGCACUAUACCGAGCGUCCGGUGACCCAUUAACAUCUAACUGUACUCUCUCUGACAGAGCACCGGACGCACCCUCAUUGGGUCCGGUGGCACCGUCCGGUGUGAGGGUGAAUUUACACCCUCCUGGGUAUGGGACCGGACGCUCCCCGGCGAGUCCGGUGCUAGCGUCCGGUGCCCUGGUCUACUGUAGACCUCCCUGGGUAUGGGACCGGACGCUCUCAGGUGAGUCCGGUGCGAGCGUCCGGUGCAUAACCCUAGGCACCCAGUUGUUGACGGUCCUUAAGUAUCAAAUUUAAUUAUCAAAUAAACAAAGAAAAGGAUCCAAAUGAAAUCAACAUCUAGACUUAGGGUUUUAUUUGACAGAAUUCCACGAGUUUUGGUGUUUGUCUAUUUCUGCAGGGGGUUAUCAGGAAAUACGGAAGAAAGGCCCACAUGUCGGGAUUACAUAGAGAUAUCAACGCACCGCGUAAUUUUCUAUCAUCUAGAAGACUCCAGAAGUCACGGGAACGAACGAGAAGGCAAACGGGCCCGGGGGCAGGGCGCCCGCCCACCCCCCUUGGGCGCCCGCCCAGGUGUUUCCACCAAUCACAGAAUGGAGUCCGCCAUUGCAAAGAUCUCGUCGAGGUGAUCGAAAUGCAUAUAUUAUUUGCUAUAUUUGGAGUUCGGAAUCAAGAGAUAUUAAUAAAAGAAGGACUCCACAUAAAAGAGCUGCGGGAUUAAUUGGGCCCAGAUCGGAUUUUGGUCGAUUAAGGCCUAUGUGCAUUUUAAUGAGAUAGGGUGCAAAGUUUAGUACCACAUCGUCUGCUGAACCAAAAAUGCACAGAGGAGGAGGACUAUAUAAGGUAGAAAUAGAUCUUCUAGUUUCUACUAGAUUGAGAGAGAUAGAGUGGAGGUGUAGAUUGGACGAAGCUCGGCCUGUCGGUGUCUACUCCAAGCUUGUACCUGCGGGAUCAAGUUCUCCUAACCCGAAGCUUGCUCCUAGGAUUCUUCAGUAAUUCGACUUCUAAAUUCUAGUAAGUUCUUGUUUUAUUGUUCUUAUGGUUUGUGAGUUUACUUUAAUCUCUUCGCGUAGAGUUUAGAGUAAUCAUUGCUGGUGUAAACGUGGUGUUUAGGCUGGGGUACUCAUAGAUAUUCCCUGACUAGCUGGACCGUGGUAGUAGUGAGGAACGUGACAAUUCCGAGUUACCUUUGCAGAUCACAUCUCGUUAGCAGAAAGGAUAGGGUUUAUAGGUGCGGGUUGAACAUCCUUUGUAGUGUCUAGAUUCCGUUAGCCUCCCCAUUAGAACAGUAGAUCAUCCUUACCAAGGUUAGAAGGAGACUACGAUUGCAGUCUUCUCUAUUUAUCACUCACAUCGAAAGACAUUCUUUGUGCCUAAAGGGAUAGUAGCAAUAGAUUUGGUUAGUCAGAUGCACCCUUUCUCCCAGUGGUAAAAAUAUAAAUACAAUACUCUGGAAAACCUCCCGGGUGAAAUGCUCACCGAUAUCCGUGCGCUUGCGGAUCAUUUCCUUCUUGCGUUACCAAAUAUCAACAAGCAUUUCUGGCGCCGUUGCCGGGGAGAAAGACGGUUUGCUGAGAUAACUUUGAGUCUUGCUAUUAUCUUGUAUUAUACUUUUAUACUUUUAUUCUUUUAUCUUUUUAUUUUUAUCUUUAUGGAUAACUCAAAUUCCAUACCUAUUAUUGAAUUCUUUGCACCUUCGGAGACCAGCCAUAGACCAUGGGAGUCAACACGUCCUACCCCUAAUUAUGAUCUGUGUCCGAAGUUGAUUGCAAUAGGUCAAAACCAACCCUUUUCUAUAGCCGAGGUCCUAUCUUUUAAUCAAGAAGAUAAUGCACUUUUAGCUACACCUAGGGAAUCUUUUAAUCUUUCUAUAAAUUAUGGUUUAGACCUAGCCCUACAAGACCAUGUUUUUCCUAAAUAUUUUCACAUUGGUCUUAAUCAUAUAACCUUUGGUAGAGUCUUUCUUUCUUUAUCUAUUAGUAAAGGAAGGUAUGUCUUCAAUCGUAGACAUCCUUCUUGCACUAGUCUUCAUAGAAAAAUCUUAGAGAUAGAGAAGGAAUCAUCUCCCAUACAAGGAGAGGAAGUUUUAAUAGCCAAUUUCCAAACAUUUCAAUCCCAUAAUUCGGCUAUCCAACCCAUCCUUGAGUUUAAUAAUUUCUACUAUGCCCUUUCUCUUGAACCUCCCGAUAAUCCUAUGAAUCUCUCUAGACAUCCCAUGCAAAAGAAGGAGGAUCGAGAAGAGCAACAUCAAUGGCUAGAGGGCAUUAAAAAUCCAUGUGCUAUCACCAUUGAAUGGAUAGAUAAAACAAACUUAAGAGACAAUCCUAGAGGAAUUUUAAGCAUUCAUGAAGAAUCAUCCUUGGAGUUUGAGAAUGAGAGAAACAACAGUGAACAUGGAAGUUAUUUCAUAAAUACCGUACCAAGUCCUUGCUCAUAUAAAACAUCUCCCCAAUCAAUUUGUCUCUCCAUCCUUACCACAUUUGAGAUCUCCAACCCCCUCUUCCUCUUCAUUUAUAAAAACUUUAAAAGGGCGGUUGUCGAUGCAUAUGUCUAUAAUAAAUAUUACAGAUCUCGUUGAGUUGAUCUUGAUAUAGGUAGGUGUUGGAGGGGAAACCACUUCACCAACAUAAAUUGAUGGUUUCCCAAAGCUUAGCGUCCUUAAACAAGCACUUAUCAGAUCGUAACAUGAACUUCUAAUUAUUUGCAACAUUGCCUUGUGUAUUGAGCAUAUAAAGAUAAUUGUAGAAAUAUUCCUUCAGGUAUUCUUGCCACUAACCUUUCCAGGAUUGGAGCAAGAAGAUCGGAUGAAUGACAAGCACAAGGUAUGUCCAACCAACCAUCACACAACAUUGAAUUAAAUUCAUCCAAACUUGAAAUUCCAAAAUUCAAGCUUGGGGGAGUACUUUACAAAAACACAAUUUGCCAUGUUGCUACGUUGGCUGUCCUUACCUUUGAGACAUGCUCAAUUUGUUAAAUACUAAUUACACUACUUCAUCUCCACUUAAGUAGAUCUCUAUAAAUGCUCUCAUGCUACCUUUAUUUGCUUUAGUAUAUGUCUAGGUUUGGAAUAGUUUCAUUUAUCUCUUAAUUAAGCAUGGUGCUUAGUUUAGGAAUGAUGAUCUUACUUCCAAGGGAUUUUAAAUUAAGCAUGGUGCUUAGGUUAAAAUGCCCUUCUAAAUCAAAUUAGACAUGGUGUCUAGGUUGAUUUUUAAGCCGAUAGUAUGCUAUAGUAGAUAUGGGAUAUUUUGUUGGACUAACCCCUGCAGGAAAACUUUCAAUAUCAACCUGGGAAGUCCUGAGAUAAACUCGCAUUGGAGAUGAAGAAGGUGACACAUGAAGUUUAACAAUUUGCACAAGAAAGACGUGGCUCAUAAAAGAUGAUUCAUGGAGGGUGCCACAAACACGAUGCACAACCGCUAAGAAAGGAAAGCUUCCACAAGGUGAUACUGUACCGUCACUCUUCAAGUAAGGUAACACCUUAAGGUACUUGACUAUCGCUUUUAUAAGCUUCUCCUUGGUUCUAGCAUUCACAUAAAUGAAGAGACAAACUUGUAUGAUUUAUAACUCUAGAUUGACCAACUCAAUUAAUUCAACAUGUUUAGUCCUUUAAUCUUUGUUCUUAGUACUACCUUCGUGAUCCCACGCUCCUAAACAUAUAAGCUAAUAUGUUGCACAUUCAAUAUUUGGAAGAUAUAAACAAAACAUAAAUAUAGAUAGAUUAUCUUUCCAUUAGGUUGAGCCAUCUGAUCUGACAAAUGUUUCAAAUACUACACUCAUGAUCUUAUUAUCCAUCAACUUUGUCUUGCUCACUAUGCUUAAGGUUAGAGAAGAACAAAUACACUUUUGGUUCUGUUGGUAUUUUCCACCAACAGAGCCCAUGCACUUGAUCUCUGCCUUGUCUCUAUGAACAGGUACACUUCAAGCAAAACAUGGAGGAGUUUUACAACUCCCGGACUCCACCAAGUGAAGGACCUGGAUCUAUGAGCACAAACACACUGAGCAGGAUAUUGCCAACACCAUACUUCAAACUGCUGGGCAAAGAAGAACAUGAGUGACACCAUAUCAAGAGGUGCAGACGUCAAGGUCCACACCUAAUCAAUUGAUGCACCUAAAGGAUGAACAUGGUGGAAAGUCUUGUCCAGAAGACUUAAAACAUUGGAUCCUUGUCGGGAGAGGUCAAAAUUGUCGACUCAAGUCACCUUUCUUGAUCAAGAAGGACGACCCUGGUGUUCUAAGCAUCAAGUGCGCAAUCAAUGGAUACUCUUUUCAGAAGACACUCUACGACACCGGAUCUGACGACAACAUAAUGACCGCAGUCACUUAUCAGCUCCUGCAUGGAACCAUGCCCCUACAACCAAUAUACAUUCAGCUCCAGAUGAUUUUCAGGUCAUUAACAUGGGAGAAGACGAGUAUGAUCCACCCACCAUAUUUGGAAGACCGUUCCUCAAACACUAUCAAAGCCAUCAUCUAUAGUGGAACCGGAGAAGUCCACAUGCACUUCCCCUCUGAGAAGGUACGCCACUACUUUAAUGAUUAUAACUAUAUAGUUGAAGACUCUAAGCAGGUCAGGACAAGAAGACGACGCAACCGCAACCAGAGGAGGCAAAUCAACAAGAACGGAUGGGUAGACUACGAAGGAGAAGUGAUAAGGUCUGAAGACAUACAAUUUAACAGAACCGUCCUGAGGAGACCGUAGCACCGAGUCAGAAAGAGAAGAUAGUUAUACACGAAGAGAGGCGCCGCCGAAAUCACCGACUACGCCACCUAGCGAAUCCCAGGACGACUGAGAAAACAGAGAGUCCCGUUCGGAGGACAUAAAAAUACCGAACGCCUUGCCAAGAGGUAAACUUGGUAGUUACCCUUUCCUUUCAAUUAUUCAAUUAUAUUUUGCUUAUUUAAUCAGGUUCAUGCUAUCUUGAAAAGAAAAUAAAAAUGUUAAAUAGUAAGCCCCAUGUGAGUAUGCUCAUGGCAUAAAACUCAUAAGUACAUUCACUGUGGUGGCAUAAACAUAAAAUAAAUAUGUUUUCAUCUUACAAUAAAAAUAUAAAAAUAAUAAGUGUAUGAUCCUGCUAAAUAAAUAACAUUUAUUAAGGAAGCUCAACAUGAUGAAGGCCAGAUAUUUAUGCUAACACUUAAUUAGUUCCACAAGCUUUGUUGUCUAUUUGAGAUCUACAGAAUUUAAGAAUCAAGAAGACUAGCAGACGGAGGACAUUCUAAUCGCUGUCAGAAUGCUGCUGACUUUCAAAUACACCUCUGCCACCUGCUAGCUACAUCAAGAGAAAUUACGUCAAAAUUCAGCUUGGGGGAGAGCACCCCCAUUUAUCUCACUAAGUAUUUCUACCUAUCUUUAUACUUAUAUUAUGUUAGAAUAUUAAAAUACAUAAACUAUGAAAAACUAAAUAAAGAUUUUGUGCUUAUAUAUAUCUUUUGCUUAGUAUGUUUAAUAAAUAAAUAAAGUGGCUAUGCUAGUCUGAAUCUUAAUAAUAAAACUCUAGCAUGGAUAUGAUGAAUAGUUGCUCUGCCUAAUUUGCAAUUUUGAAGUUCUCUCUCAAGUUUAGACAUAACUGUUAUAAUUUAAAGCUUGCUCUAGAUCUAAACUUGUGGGAUGAAAACUUGAUCUGAAAUCUAAGUUGUUAACGGAUAUGAUAUGGGAAGGUUGAGCUGCUGUUUAUCUGUUCCUAGAGAUGCUAGAAUUCUGGAAAAUUUUAUCUUGAAAAAUCUUUAAAAUAUUGCAUGAUGAGUUCCUGUAUGAUGAGAGUUUAAAUUCCUACCACAGCCAUAUAUACAUGCUUGCUAGACUUUGAGCCACACAUUUACUAUUUACUGCUUAUGAGCGUUGAGUGUGGUCAAGCUGUGUGGACCCUUAGGAGCUUGUCAUGUGGUUAAAUCAAGAUUCACUUGCACGUUCACUCAUAUAUGCUACUUCUACUCUGAAAGUACCAUCCACAUAUAUCCAUCCAUUUCCGUCUCCAGAAUCACCCAAAAAUAUUCUACUCUUAAUCCGGGAGAGAAUAGUCAAAAACAUUUUCCUAUCCCUGUUAUUCCCUGUGAAAUAAAUGCUCCAAAUAUUUUGGUUACUACCACUUGCUAUUUUAUCUCAAGAGAUGAGUGCUCUGAAAAAAAAGAGAGAAAGAAAAGAGAAGAAAAAAAUAUAUAAACGAGGAAAUAAAAAGGGGCAAGUGCCCGGAACCUCAAAAGAAAGAAAAAGUGAGACGAGAGGUAAAAAUGGAUAAGUGUCCGACAGUAGAAUUAGGGGUACAAGAUACCCACCUGAGAGGAAAGAAAAAGAAGAGCAUCUCAUUCUCCUCAUAAAGUUUCAAAAAGCAAGGAAGGUAUGUAUCCCCUCAAAAGAGCAAAAGUAGAAUUAGACUUUCACCAUUGUUAUUACCAUCAUCACCAUACACCAUUCAUUCGCCACACAUGCACAUCUUGAUUUGACUUAUUGAUUUGUUUCUCUGGAUCCAUGGCUUGACUAUGCAAUAAAUGUCUUGUAAGUAUGUAUUAGCUGUCCCCCACCUAUGAGCUCCAGAUAUCAAGCCUUAUUAGAGUAGGGUGAGAGAGAAGGCAAUGUCCCUAUGCCUUAUACCAUAAAUACCACAUAUCUUGAGAGAAGGCAUAUACCAUCAAUGCCUUGGUAAGGAUCCAGAAAUACCACAAAAGAGAGAUAUGAGAGAGUCAUACAAGGAAUCUCUGAGUUUUAUUUGAAAAUCUGCAAAAAAAAAACUCCAGAGCUAUAGCUGAUCAAGAAUAAGAGACAUGGCACUUGGCUAGACUGUUCUAUCUUUUAACUACUCAAGACAGAAGUGACGGUUACAAGUCCCAUGGUGGAAGGUAAAGUAAGUAAGUUUUAGUUCUUGACAGUUUACUCUAACUCAGAGAUGAGAUUUUAUUUAAAAGCAUGUGUACUGUCAAAUUUUUAAGAUAAUGCAACAACUUCUAAUCCAUUGCUGAGUCUAUCCUUGCUUAGGGACGAGCAAGAGGUAAGCUUGGGGGAGUUUGUUGAUGGUCCUUAAGUAUCAAAUUUAAUUAUCAAAUAAACAAAGAAAAGGAUCCAAAUGAAAUCAAUAUCUAGACUUAGGGUUUUAUUUGACAGAUUUCCACGAGUUUUGGUGUUUGUCUAUUUCUGCAGGGGGUUAUCAGGAAAUACGGAAGAAAGGCCCACAUGUCGGGAUUACAUAGAGAUAUCAACGCACCGCGUAAUUUUCUAUCAUCUAGAAGACACCAGAAGCCACGGGAACGAACGAGAAGGCAAACGGGCCCGGGGGCAGGGCGCCCGCCCACCCCCCUUGGGCGCCCGCCCAGGUGUUUCCACCAAUCACAGAAUGGAGUCCGCCAUUGCAAAGAUCUCGUCGAGAUGAUCGAAAUGCAUAUAUUAUUUGCUAUAUUUGGAGUUCGGAAUCAAGAGAUAUUAAUAAAAGAAGGACUCCACAUAAAAGAGCUGCGGGAUUAAUUGGGCCCAAAUCAGAUUUUGGUCCAUUAAGGCCUCUGUGCUUUUUAAUGAGAUAGGGUGCAAAGUUUAGUACCACAUCGCCUACUGAACCAAAAACGCACAGAGGAGGAGGACUAUAUAAACAAGGCCCCUGGCCCCUGGAGAAGACAAGAAGAAAUUAUCAUAGAGACUGAGGGGUGCCCUCGAAGGAAAACCUCUUCUCUAAUUAAUAUUUCUUUUAGGUUUAGCAAUCAAUGUAAGGUAUUAAUAGAUCUUCUAGUUUCUACUAGAUUGAGAGAGAUAGAGUGGAGGUGUAGAUUGGAGGAAGCCCGGCCUGUCGGUGUCUACUCCAAGCUUGUACCUGCGGGAUCAAGUUCUCCUAACCCGAAGCUUGCUCCUAGGAUUCUUCAGUAAUUCGACUUCUAAAUUCUAGUAAGUUUUUGUUUUAUUGUUCUUAUGGUUUAUGAGUUUACUUUAAUCUCUUCGCGUAGAGUUUAGAGUAAUCAUUGCUGACAUAAACGUGGUGUUUAGGCUGGGGUACUCAUAGAUAUUCCCUAACUAGCUGGACCGUGGUAGUAGUGAGGAACGUGACAAUUCCGAGUUACCUUUGCAGAUCACAUCUCGUUAGCAGGAAGGAUAGGGUUUAUAGGUGCAGGUUGAACAUCCUUUGUGGUGUCUAGAUUCCGUUAGCCUCCCCAUUAGAACAGUAGAUCAUCCUUACCAAGGUUAGAAGGAGACUACGGUUGCAGUCUUCUCUAUUUAUCACUCACAUCGAAAGACAUUCUUUGUGCCUAAAGGGAUAGUAGCAAUAGAUUUGGUUAGUCAGAUGCACCCUUUCUCCCAGUGGUAAAAAUAUAAAUACGAUACUCUAGAAAACCUCCCGGGUGAAAUGCUCACCGAUAUCCGUGCGCUUGCGGAUCAUUUCCUUAUUGCGUUACCAAAUAUCAACACCAGUCACUCUAACUCGAGUCAACCUCACCGGACGCACUCACAUAGUGUCCGGUGCCUACUUAGGCACCCAAACUUCAUCGAAACACGAUCUUUCCAAAAGAAAGUUUGUUCCUCUCAAUCUAAGGACUUUUUCAGAGCUGCCUAGUGCUAGGUUUACCAAGUGUGCACCACACCGAAACCUAAAGCCUUGCCUAGGUCAAGGUACCCAUUCAAUGCCACUCUUAAUAGUAUGGUCAAAGGAAAAAUAAAGUCCUAACCUACUCUAAGUGCCCUUCUUCACUAUAUGGCACUUAGACCUAGUCUAGUCCCGACGAUGUCCAACCAUCCUUUGAAAACCAAAACGAUUUCCACUAUUAAGUAGGCAUGAACCUUCUAGUCCAUUGAUCUCCAUUACCAUGACCUAACACUAAUGACUUUGCCUCUGCAAAACACACGUAGUCAUAGUAAUCAACAUUGUCAUUAAUCACCAAAACACAUUAGGGGCCUAGAUGCUUUUCAAUCUCCCCCUUUUUGGUGAUUGAUGACAAUGACCUCGAGUAUGAAAGAAGUGAGGUUUUCAAAUGACUUUGUUUCUAUAAUCAUGAGACAAUAAGAACACAAAGAGCUUAAGCAUGCUUAUAUCAACCAAGUCUAACAUCCUACAUCCAAAUAUGUGUAUACGACAGGAUAUAACAACAGAUGGUUCAUAACAAAUCAGAGUAAAAGGUGGAAUCAAAGUAAUAUGAGCCAAGAACAUGACAUAAAUAUAUCACAAUCAAGCACAUGUCAUGUCUCACAACCAAAAAAGUGUAUCUCACAAAGUAUCUCACAAACAUGCAUGAAAAGUAAAAAUGAUGCAUGAUGAAGCACACAAAAUAAUCAAAGCGCACUCACUAGCUACCCCUAUCUCUAUCAUACUCUACUCUCUCUCCCCCUUUGGCAUCAAGCGCCAAAAACCUAAGACGAAGAAGGUGGAGGAAAAGCAGAGGAGUCCCAAGGCACUGCCUGAAACUAGGUUGCAUCAUCAUCCGUGCCAUAUGCCGUAGACUCUGAGGAGGUGGAUUGACCCUCUGAAGCUGGACGUGCUGGAGUAGCAGUCUGGGUCUGCUCUGUGGGCUCUGUGACUAUCUAAGUUUGUGCUGGAGUCUCAAGACAAGCUAGAGAUGCUGACACUGACUCGGUAGCAGUCACUGAGCUCUCUAGAACAGUAGACGAUGGCGCUAGCUACUCAGACGAUGCUACGGACGACAACAAGCACUCGGUAGUGGUGACCGGCAAAGUGAAAGCUAUAGGAGCCUGUAGUGGAGGAGGAGUCGGCUGACCAGUUAGAGCACUAUACAAGAAUGAGAUGUCCUGUUCAGCUGAGGAAUCCAACACAAGCUGUGAGGCUGUUGCUGACUGAGGUGUGAAAUGUGACCGUAGAGGGGUGAACUGAAGCGUCUGCUCAAAGCUAGAAGAGAUCGCACCCUAGGAAACCUAGUGCUGCGGAGUCGAGAAUGGUUGGCUCUAAGCGGAAAGCUGGAGUGGAGGCUAAGACAGACUCUAAAGCCCACUAGGCUGUAGCACUGGAGUCGGUGGGCGGACAGUGGACGUGCCUAGAAGGUGCACCUGUGGAAGCUGGAUCCCUGUCGCUGCCAGGAGAGCGGCCAUCAUAGCUGUCUGCUGAGCUUGGAAGGCUAACUGCUGCUCCUAAAAGGAUAGAAGCUAUCUUUGGAUCUCAUCCUACCUGGCCUACAUGGCUGCAUUAACUGCAGCCUGCUCUCGGUCUCUCCUUGCCUGCUCCUCAGCUGCCCUCUGUUGAUCUGCCCUCAUCUCCUCAAGAAUAGCAAGCAAAGCAGUGUCUGUGGCACUAGAGGAACCUCCUGCCUCGUGGUCGUGCUGCCUCGGAGGAAGAUCUGGAAUGGGAAGAAGAUAGUCAUCAUCUGAGCUGUCACAAGCAAACUCAAUCUUCUCCUCGGCCUCUGCAUCUACAACUGCCGCUAUAGCAAUGUCCUACUCCUCCUCUAUCUCUAGGACUCCCCCUGAACUGCGGGUAGCCAUAGGUGAAGGCGGUGGCGCCCUGCCAUGUGGUGCUAGAGGAGGUGCUCGAGCUCGAAGAUCCACAUGUGCUCUCAGCAUCUGGCGGGGGUCAUAGUGGGGGAAGACGGUGACUGUGUAUGUCAGCUCCCUCCAGAUAAGAGGUGGGAGAGGGUCUGCCCUAGCAUGAAGAAUAAGCAUGGUGUUCCAAUGUGCGUAGGGUAGCUGACAACGAUCCCUGAAGCCCACAGCAACAGUGUCCUCUAUCUCUGACACAAUCAAAUCCCACAGAUCAAACGGCCUCUGAGCAAUCAGUUGUGCGAUGAGCCACUAUUGAAUCUUGGUAAAGCCUUCACAGUAACCAGGCCUCGGUAGUAGAGUCUUCCUCAUCACAAAGUCAAGAAUGUGAGAUGGACGGGUAAGACCUCCUACUGACAUGCUGGAACCCUCAUUGAACGGCAGACGAAAACGCGAUGAGAUAAAGUCUACUGGGGCAGCUCACCACCAUGUGGUCGUCGUGGGGGCUCAAAACUGCCAUAGCAAAGCUCAUGUAUCUUGGUGUCAUAUGCUGUCAGCCCUCAAGUCUCUCUAGCCCUCUGUGCUGACACUCUGUAAUAUCUGCCUGCCUGGGUGUAGUGAAUAUAGCUGUGGUUAGGAGCAAUCCAUACUGAAGCAAAGAACUCCCUCACCCACUCCUCGACAUAUGUGUCUAGCAAAGCAAGAAGACCUGGGAGACCUACUAGGUACGUGAAGUACUGCCUGAUGUCCACACCUACCACGUUCCCUAGCACCUUAAGGUCAAGUACCCUAUGCUCCCUGAACUGAGUCUAAAUGUGCACAAAUGCCAUAUACAUAUCCUCCUGAACAACAAUGUAAAACCUGGCAUGUGCCCUUUGAUCUCUCGCUACUGGAAACCAAGUGGAGAAAGGAGAAAACCUCAGCUCCUGGAUCUCACGAGUAGGUGCACGAGUGUAAUCCUUGUGGAUCCUGACUGGAGCUGGGCGUACAGCUGGAGUGCCUUGAGCUUGAGUGGAGCGAGCCAUCGAGGAAGACUGGUGCUGCGUACCAGUCCUAGAAGCUGCCUGAGUACGAGCUCGAGUCGACCUACAGAGGGGCUGCUCCUCCUGCUGUCCCUCUAACUGACCCUCUGCCUGGGCUUCUGCCUCUAUCUCUGGCUGUCCCUCUGUCUCAGUCUCCUCCUGUCCUGGCACUCCGACCACUAGCCUGACUGGACGUCAUCCCAGCAUGAUAGUGCCAGGUGGAGUCUCGUGUCACUGCUCUACCUGAAACACUGCACGCCUCUGGGCUGGCAUGAGGUCAGAUCCAAUCUGCAGAGCACAUGAGUGACCACCUCUCUCUGCUGCCUCUACUGCUACUGCAACUGCUUCAGCAAUCUCUGCCUCAUGAUCAUUGGUCUUCCUCUUCUUAGUCAUCACCUUCUUUCCCUUUCCCUUCUCAGCAGCCAUCAACCGACGGGGUUUGUCAUCUCCCCCAUCACCUCUUGGAGUGCCUGCUGAACCACCGACGUUCUUGCAAUGUGCCACUGCAAGAAACCUCAAACACAAGCAAGCAACUAACACUCAGGAGGCUUGGCCUCAAUCCGUACUCGUGGGCUUGGCCCCGAGUUCAACUGUCACUGACAACUGACAAUCUGAGACCCACGUGAUGCAAGAGAUAGAAUAGGUAGGGUAUAUAAGCACACAAAAUAGCUAGAGACAAGAAAACCCUAAAGAUCGCAUGAAUAAAUGAGAUAAGAUGAAAAACUGCUCACAAUCCUGUGAUGAUACGCGCUCUGGAUGAAGGAUCGAGAUCGAAGUCUGCCGGAGAACACGAAUCAAAUCCUUAAGGUGCUACAAGGGUGGAACGAAUAAGAACGUCGUCAGAAACAACAAUCUAAUCCAUUGAAGCAUAAGAUCAAACACCUUGUGGGCAGGGUAUAAGAUGCUUACUCAAAACCCUAGAACCUGAGCGAGAGAACCAAUCCAGGGGCUCGAGGAGGGAGAGGAUGGCUUGGGGAAGAGCUCGGAGAGAUCCUUGGAGAAGCCGCUGGACAGGAGAUCAGAUCGCGGCGCCUCAGAAGAAAAUUGGCGACUAGGGUUAGGGUCUCUGCGGUGGCGAGUCGUGGGAGAGGACAAAAACAAAACUGCCGAACAGACCGAGGGCUCGGGGUUAUAUGCGCUGAUUGCGGGGGCACCAGACGCACUUAAGUGGUCAUCGGACGCGUCCGGUGCCUACCGGACUAAAACAUAGAGAGGUCUGAAAUCUGCGCGAGCAUCAAACGAUGGUCACCGGAUGCUCGCCUAGCGUCCGGUGCCUCAAGGCAUGCCUCGGGGAACACCGGGCGCACCUCACUAGACGCGCUCAGUGCACUGUGCGCAGGUCCGGUGAGUGCAGACCGGGAGACCCACCACACCAGACGCACUAGGGUGCGUUCUGUGCACUUUUACGUAGAUUUUCAACAGGGAACUUUACCCGACUUUCACCCAACAAAGUUCCAACUUCAAAAAGAGUCAAAUAAACACAAAUUGGAACUGGUAUGAGUGUUCUCUCUCAAACCCUCAAAUUUUCAUAAAUAUUUAGCCUUAGGCAUAGUAGUUUUUAUGAAAAUAGUCAAAUGAAAGCACCAAGGAGCAUCAUGUGGCCAUAAAGCUAGGGGUCUAAAUCAUGAUGAGUUUUGAAUGCUCCCCCUAUCAAUGGACGAACACACUGGAUGCUCAAAGCAUAAUAAAAAUGAAAUGGUAAAACAAACAAGCAUGCAUAUGAUAUGAAGUGCAAUGCAUUACUUGAAAGUAAACUAAUGCUUGUCAAGUUUGAUCCAAGGUUAAGCUUUUUCACACACACAUGGGGGUUAUCUCAACCAUGUUAGACAAGCCCUACUCAUAAGCUUUUUGUAUUUUCAUUUUUGGUAUGCAUGACAUGCAAAGCAAAAGCUAUUUACAAGGACAUCUCUUGACACUUGGUAACACCAUUUGAAUACUAGGUUGUCAUCCUCAGCAUGGCGCUAGAGUGUACUAAGGUAUUUAUGAAUAUAAAGGCUCUCUAGAAAAUAAUCUAUUCUAUCCGCAAGCGCACAGAUAAAAUACCUCAUUGUAGCAUUUCACCAGGAAAGUAUUCCGGGUAUUGUUAUUUAUAUUUUGCUUAAGAGAACGGCGAAAGUGGAAACAGGGGUAAAUCCAUCCAGCCAUAGACUAGAGAUAAACUUGCAAGAACAUGAUUACUAAUGAGAAACUCAUCUCACAGUCACUUGCUUCGACAGGGGGUAAGCCAUAAUAAUAAAGAUAAUGAAAUAUAGCUCAUGGGUAAAUAACACAGCGAUUAGAAAUAGACUACUCCAUAUAAAUGUAAGGUGACAUCGGAUUAGCUAGAGAAUGGAUUCUAAGUAUCUACUAUCUACUAAGUCACAAUCUACUCUUCAUUCAUGUAUAAGGAACAUUGCUAAAGUGAAUCAGAACAUAGCAAGACUUACUCCGCAAUACAAAUUCUGCCUGUCCUACUAACGGAUGGUGGACUAUAUAAGAAUCAACGAAGCUGUCACCAUUGCGAACUACCACACAACCCGGCCAAUAGGAUACAUUUGCACGUAAAUAGUAUCUAAGUACCACGCCCACAUAUGAUCUACCACUUAGCUCCCACAUGUCAAGAGCUAAGCGCUUUGCAAACUUAUGCAUAAACUCAUUAUCAAUUAUAACUAUAUCAAAUAUAGAACUAGAGAAAACUAAGAACAUAAUAAAUAGAGACAUAAUGCAAUUAGAAUAAAGUCGUAGAGAAAGAUAUGAAAUAAUACCAAUCUUUAUUGAUGCAGAUCCAAAAUCCAAAGCGCUAGGCUCUACUUCUCUAAUUCUAUCUAAUCAAUCCUAUAGAACUUGAAAGAAUUGGGUGUAGCUAAUUCUAGUUCUCUACGGGAGAAAAGUUCCUAAACCCUAACUUUGAUGGCUUCCUCUAAUAAUGAUUUCUCCUCUCCCCCUGGGGUGGAGAGGCCUUGCUUAUAUAGCCCCCUCAAAUGAACGUGGGUUGUCGGAUCAAACCGACCUUAAUCGCACGGUUUUGCUUGAAGAUUAGAGGUGGUGGAGCAUGAUCCAGGAGACAGAGCCUGAUUGGCCCCUGUAGCUGGGCGGGCGCCCAAGGGGGUUGGGCGGGCGCCCUGGCCCCGGACCCGUCUGGCCUCCCGUUCGCUCCCGUGGCUUCUAGACUGUUCUAGGUUGAGGAAAAUUGCCGCACACAUAAUUAUCUCGUUGUAAACCCGACGUGUGGGCCAUCCUUCCAUAUUUUUUGAUAACCCCCUGCAGAAAUAGACAAACACCAAAACUCGUGGAAUUCUAUCAGAUAAAACCCUAAUUCUAGGUGUUUGGUGCAUAUUGAUCCUUUUCCAUGUUUAGUUGACGGUUGAAUUUGGCACUUAAGGACCAUCAACAAACUCCCCCAAGCUUACCCUUUGCUCGUCCCUGAGCAAACAGCUAAACUCAAAUGGAUCAGGAGUUUCUUUGAUGUUUUCUUUCCUGACAGGCACACAUGCUUUCAUAUAGAAUUCUCCCAAAUUAGAGUAAAGUGUCAUGGAGCUUAGUACCUGCACUUAAGUCUUGGGUGGUUGAAAGACAAAAUAAUUAAGUCAAGCACUAUUCCUCCUAUCUAUACUUCACCUUUGUUCUAGAGUUUUGCAUAAGUUUUCAAAAAUAAAGCUCAGAGUUCCUAGACAUGACUCUCUCUCAAGUCUCUUUAUAUGUGGUAUUUGUGGAUCCUUACCAAGGUGUCACUUACCUAUAGCUAAUGGAAAGUUUAGGUGGAGCUUAUAGGUGUGAAAAAUAGCUCAUACAUAUGUUGUUUAAUCGAACCAUGGAUCCAAAGUAAUUCAACAUAUAAUUAAAUCAAAAUGUGCAUGUGUGGUGGAGUAAAUGAUAGUAAUGGUGAAAAUGUAUAAGUGAUGAUAAAACUUAGUUCUCAUUGCUCCUCAUGUUGCUAUCUCUCCACCUCUCUUGAUCUUUGCUUUGGGAGAACAUGGGCUAUCUUUUCUUCUCUUUUUUUUUCAGGUGGGUAGUAAAUACCCCUAAUUCUAUUGUCGGACACUUGUCCAUUUUUCCGCUCAGGUGGGCAUCUUUGUACCCCUAAUUCUACUCCAGACACUUGUCCAUUUUUACCUCUCGUCUCACUCUUUUUCUUUCUUUUUUUAGGUUUUGGGCACUUGCCCCUUUUUAUUUCCUCGUAUUUUUUUGCAUAACCCAUGCCUCUUCUGCAUUGAAUCUUUUUGGGGAGAGAGAAUAACAACACUUGGGACAGUGAGUGAUAACAAUAUUUUUAGCAGAUUUUUGAUGAAUGGUGGUGGAUAGUGUAAUAGACGUGUGCAAGUGAGUAUCUUGAUUUAACUACAUGAAAAGCUCCUAAGGGUCUACACAGCUCGAUCAAACUCAAUGCGAAUAUAAGUAGCAAAAGAUAUAGAAAUUAUAGCAAGUAUGGCAGUGGUAGGAAUUUUUUCAUGCUAGGAACUCAUCAUAUGAUUUGCAAGUUUUCAAAAAUGAAUCUCCAGAACUUAGUGUAGUAAGAACAAGAUAAAUAGUAGCUCAAACUUUAUAUCAUGUCUAUCUCUUACCUAGACUUUAGUUUUUGGUUCAUGCUCCCAUAGAUAUUAAAUUUCAAGUUUUAGCAAUUCCUAGGAGAACUCUGAUUUGAAAGCUAGGUACUUGAAAGUAAGUAAACAGAGCAAUUGUUCAUCAUUUCCAUCAUGCAUCUUUUUGGUUUUUUCAUUUUUUCUAGAGGUUAAACUUAGGAGGAAAAAUAAAGCACACUUAUGUACACACUCUUUUUUAUGUGGUUUUUCAUUUUUAAGGAAUGCAGUAAAUUAAGCAAGAAAGUAUUUAUUGGGUUUUCUAAGCUUCUCAUUUUUUUUGAAAUACUAAAACAGAAAAAUAAAUAAGAAAAACAAAUAAAAACUUACUCAGUAAAACAGGGAGGAACUCCCCGUUGUUGGAUGUGGUUGUGUCGGUCUUACUCAAUGUUCCAGAACCGCAUCAUGGUGGUGAUGUUGUCGUUCAUCGUCAUGGUGUCUCGCCUCAGGUCUUGUACUGCAGCGGCGUGGUCCUAGUUCCACUUUUGUUGCUGUUCCAGGAGUCGUCCAUGCUCAAUUUGCCUAUCUUGGAUGGCGAGAAGGGUGUUGUCGGUGCGGUUGAAGAAGGCGCCGACCUCUUGGUAGUAGUCCCCGGAGAACACAUAGGAGGCAUCAGAGUACCAUCCUGCAUCAAAUUGGGGCUAGGGCCUAGACCCUGAAGCUCCAAACGGAUUAGUGGAGUACCUUCCUGAACGGAAAGGCAGUUCGCCCACUGGUGAUCUUGGCCCUCCGGCCACGUCUCCCGUGCUAGCUCCUGUGGCUGAGCGUGUUGAACCCACGGGUCCCGAAUAACUCGAGGGUUGUAGUCGCGAUAAUGUAGGUGUGCUGCUUCUUCUGGCCCGGGAUCAGCUCCAUACCAGGUGCGUUCUUGAUUGGUGUCCAUCCUUUCGGAUGCCACGCACUGUGGAGCUCUCUGGUUCACCGGUGACACUGCAAUCUCAAUCAAAUAAUUUUGAACGACAUAGAGGCCAAGGUUCGGGUUAGGUAACUGAAUCUUGCCUUUAUUAUCGUACAACAUAUACAUUACAUUCCCUUCCUUUUUCAGCAUCCGAGCUUGUCUAAAUGUGUCAUAGCCAUGAUACAUUCGUAACUCGUCAAUGAAUUCCAAUGACAAGUUUUCUAGCAAAUUGAGACUAGAGGCUAGACGAGUGAUGAGUGAAGUACAACCGAUAGGUCCCUGAAGACUAGGUAUACUGAGCCAAUGAGCAACCAAAAGAGUAACAGGUGAAGUAAGUACUUUAUUUAUAGCAGCAUAAAGAAGUUGCAAAUCUCCUACUCUUACUUUUCUAAUAUCAUCGUGAUGGAAAAGAUUGUACCCGAUCCAUUUGUGGAACAUCCGGAGAGUAGGAUGUUCCAUGUCACUGGUUUGGGCCUGAACAUAAUAUUCAUCCCUUGAAAUCUCUCUUUAGAACUGGUGCCUCUCAAAAUUAGGCAAAUCGGUGUCAAUGUCUAAGAUGCAUCUUGAAGAGAAACCGAGAUGGUCGCUCAGUUCUCUCCAAGAUAACAUGAUGUCUUGUUUGAACAUCCGAAAAGCGAUACCCCCUCAUAAUAUUGCAAAGUGUAGAGACAUUCAAUGGUGAGAAGACGGGAACCUAGCUCAGUUAUAUCCCGAAAGUUUGUCCAUCCCAUCAUCUGGAAAAUCAAGUCAAAUUUGGUAUCCAUACCUGUCUCUUGCAAUAGGACAGGAUCAAGAGUGGGGGUGUGAAUGAAUUCCUUGUUCUUCAGUUGCCAGAAGAUUUCCUUCUCCCUACGGGUCUUCAGACCAAGGUCUCCUAUCUUGAGGGGAACCUUGACUCUUGUACCUGACGAAGACGAUGGAGCUUGCUGGGGCGUCGGGUCGACGCUCAUCUCCGAUUGGUGCGAGGAGAGUCAGGAUGAACUCCUCGUCCCAAUGUUCUUGAUGGCCUUGGCCACGUUCUUCGCCUUCCUAAACAUCCUGCAAAAAUUGACACAAACAAAAACUCAUGGAGGAUGUGAGAGAUAAAAGUUAGUGGUCAGCCGUCCAAAAAGUCAGUCGUCUAAGGGUUAGUCGUCCGAGACAAUUUUAAGCACUUCUGCUUUGGACAGCAGGACCACUACUUAUUCAAUGAACCUUGCUCUCUCUCUCUCUUCUAUCAAAAACUACCAAACUCUCUUGCACUCUUCUCUUCCCCUCUAUUCCCCUCACUUCACUACUAGAGCUCCUCCUCUGGAAACCGAGAACUGAAGUUUGCGUGGUUUUCUAGAAUGCUUGUGUGAUGGAGAUGGAGGCAGGAGGUGGAAAUUUAUAGGAGGAUGGGGGGAUAGGGCAGACGCCCUGAACAGUAGGGCGGGCGCCCCACCCAGGUGGCCUUCCUGGCUGCAACUUCUCCACUCCCUCCUUUGCUUAGCUCUAACACCAAAAAAUGCUGAGUGGGUGGUGGUUGGACGGUGGAAAAAUGUCUAGUGAGUGGAGAGGUGUUGGUGGAUGAAAUAAUGUGAUGAGAUGUGUGUGAGGUAUGGUGUAUGACAUGUGGGACCCAAUGGGUGUGGGUCAUGCUUCUAGUAAAUAUAAUGCAGGAAAAACUAUGAGAAUUGGAACUUAUUAAGAAGAAUCGUGGAAAAAUAUUCUUGUGCCUCCACUAUAAUUAAUAAAUAUGGGUUGUCACACACCAUAAAUAUUAUUUAUAUGGGGCUUUUGAUUAUUAUAAUAAUGCUAUGAAUAAAUAUAACUAAUGCAAGAAUUAAUUAUGCAAAAAUUUAAACAAUGUGGAUAAAUACCGAUUUACCUUCCAGAGAGGGUUUGGGGUUUUUAGGUCCCCCAAGCUGGACCUCCAAACCUUUUAAUCUUUUGAAUUUCCUUCCUCCGGAGUUGGUGUCUCUAGUGGUUCUUCUUCAUGAACUUCCUUCACUGUAGAGUCUCUCUCUGAUCUGGGCUUGAAUGUAAAAUGUUCUUCUUGUCCAUUUAUGCUGAACUUGAUUUCUCCCUUUCCAACAUCAAUGUGGGCAUUGGCGGUGCUCAUAAAUGGCCUUCCAAGGAUGAUGGACACUUUUGAGUCGGGACUCUUGUCCAGUACCACAAAGUCUACUGGAUCAAGAAAAUCUCUUAUCUUGACUGGGAUGUUUUCAGCGAUGCCCAUCGGGUGUCGAACUGAUUGAUCUGCUAGCUGUAGGCACAUUGAUGUUGGUUCUAGGGUUGUAUGUUCGAGCUUCUUGUAGACUAAUGCUGGAAUCACACUGACACUUGAUCCGAGAUCACAAAGUGCAUUGUUCAAGUGUUGGUUUCCGAUCGAGCAAUCAAUGGUGGGACAUCCUGGAUCUUUCUUCUUCUUCGGUGGUUUGUUGAGGAUGACCGCACUACAUUCUUCUGUCAGCUUGAUUACCUCAGUGGUGGGCAGUGGUCUCUUCUUGUUAAGAAUAUCUCUAAUGUACUUUGCAUAUAUGGGUACCUGUAUGGCAUCAAGUAGAGGUAUGUUGACAUAUAAUUUUUGAAUGACCUCUACAAACUUACCGAACUGCUCAUCCGACCGCAGACCUCUGUUUCUUCUGGGAAAUGGCAAAUAGUUGGUGUCGUGAAAAUCUUUCCUCAUUUCUCCAGUACUAGGUGGUUGUAGCAGCUCUUCUGCGUCAGCAGGGCUCUCAUCUUCUAUCACUACUGGUUGCACUGGUGCUGGUGUUCUUUGCUUCUCUCUUGGAUGUGGGGGAUCCUUGGUAGCUUUCCCCCCUCUAGUAGUUAUGUUCUUUACCUUUGCUAUUGGGUUGACUUGAAGUGGGUUGAUAUUUGUAUGUUGUCUCAAUGGCCCUUUGAUCUUCUUUGAACUUGGCCCUCUGGUCAAUCCAAUGGAGCAAAUUCUCCAUCUUGGUUGAUAGUGCAUUUACUUCUUUGGGUAUUUCUUCAGUUUGAUGACAUUGUUGAGCUUUGUCUUGGAACCAGCUUUGGUUUUCUGCUAUCUUAUCCAAAAGUGUUUCUACUUUUCCAAUUGUAAGCCCCAAAAAUGAUCCUUUAGCAGAUGCAUCUAGGCACUCACAUGCCUUUCGGGUUAAUCCAUGAUAAAAGGUCUGCAUAAGUAACCAUCUGGCAUUUCUAUGGUGAGGACAAUCUGAUAUGUAUCCUUGAAAAUGCUCCCAUGCUUCUGGAAUGGUUUCUGUCUUCUGCUGUUGGAAACUAACAAUAUUUCCUCUUAAGGCAGCUAUUUUGCCUAUAGGGAAAAAACUUUGCUAGAAAGGCAUCUGACAAGUUCGUCCAAGUGUUGAUGUUUUCUUGAUUGGUGUAGAACCACUUCCUUGCUCUUCCUUCUAGUGAGAGUGGAAAGAGGCGAAGCAGUAUGACUUCUUUGUCAACUCCGUUGACGCUGAUUGUGCUUCCAAUCUCUAAGAAAUUUUGCAAGUGUGUACUAGCAUCUUCAUGUGCCUUUCCACUAAAUUGCGUAGCUUUCACCAAAUUGAUGAGGCUUGACUUGAGCUUGAACUCGGGUGCUCCUUCUUCUACUUCAAAUCUUGGACCAGUUGGAAUAUUCUCAAGGCUUGGAGCAGAGAAUUCUUGUAGGGUCUUCUGUGCCAUAGCUUCAACAAUUGGUGGCUAGCUUCUUCUUUCUUGAUUGCUUUGGUUCUGAUGAUGAAGAGUUGAAUGUACCAAAGUCAAUCCUGAUAUAACCUGUAUAAAAAUAUAAACAUAGAAAAACAACAGGGUGAACCUGCCAAAGUAGAGGUGCCUUGUUAUGAAUUCUCAUUUUUACAGUAGCUGUUCAUGCAAUUAUUUCUCCAUAGUCUAGUCUAAUAUUUUAUGUGCGUAUCCUUGACCGACUUCCUGACUUUCCUUACCAUUCCCUGGCAACGGCGCCAGAAAUUGUUGUUGACACUUGCUAACACCACUUGAAUGCUAGGUUGUCAUCCCCAGCAUGGCGCUAGAGUGUACUAAGGUAUUUAUGAAUAUGAAGGCUCUCUAGAAAAUAAUCUAUUCUGUCCGCAAGCGCAUAGAUAAAAUACCUCAUUGUAGCAUUUCACCACGAAAGUAUUCUGGGUAUCGUUAUUUAUAUUUUGCUUAAGAGAACAGCGAAAGUGAAAACAGGGGUAAAAUCUAUCAAGGCAUAGACUAGAGCUAAACUUGCAAGAAUAUGAUUACUAAUGAGAAACUCGUCACACAGUCACUUGCUUUGGCAGGGGGUAAGCCAUAAUAAUAAAGAUAAUGAAAUAUAGCUCAUGGGUAAAUAACACAGGGAUUAGAAAUAGACUACUCCAUAUAAAUGUAAGGUGACGUCGAAUUAGCUAGAGAAUGGAUUCUAAGUAUCUACUAUCUACCAAGUCACAAUCUACUCUAGGCAUCUACAAGAUCAUAUAUAGCACAAGAGACUCUUCAUUCAUGUAUAAGGAACAUUGCUAAAGUAAAUCAAAACAUAGGAAGACUUACUCUGCAAUACAAAUUUUGUCUGUCCUACUAACGGAGGGUGGACUAUCACUACUAGAAAUGUGUUAAUCAAUGACGAAUCACUAAUGACGCUAACUAUUUUCGUCACAGAACUAGUUCAUUCGAUGACGAAAUUAGUAGCUUCGUCAUGUUUGAUAAGUGACAGAGCUUUGGCACGAAGAACAGUGACGAAAAUAGAAUCAACGUCACUGAACAACGAAACUAAAUCGUCAUAGAUGGUCUGGCCAGUGUACCGGAGGGGUUGGGGUCCCACUAGUGGGUCCGAUGUUCAUGACAUGGCACCAUGGUCCCACCUAUGGCACUACGGUCCCACCAGCAGGUCUCACCGUAGUGACGUGGCACUAUGGUCCUACCGGCGGGUCCCACGUCCUGAGGUGGGGCAUGGUCCCACUAGCGGGUCAAACAGGUAUGACGUGGCGCCAUGGUGGAACCUGUGGAUCCAACGUCUUUGACGUGGCACUGUGGUCCCACAAGUGGGUCCCGCCGGAGGGUCCCACCGUCAUGACACCGCGCCCUUGUCCCACCGAUGGGUCCAGCAGUCCUGGCAUUGUGGUCGCACUGGUGGGCCCGUUGACAUUUGAAAGACCAAGUUUGGUUUUGGUAAUUAAUGACACCAAGUUGCUAUGCCUUGUGUUUAAGUGAUUUGAGUUAGGCAUAGCAACACAUGUGAUGAAGGUGCAUGGUGGCAUGGAGAGGUGGCCACAUGAUCACAAAGGGAUGAAGCAUGAAGUGGAGAUCAUGGUGAUAGACAAGGAGCAAAGUUAUCAAGGCAAAGGUAUAAACAUAGGGUUUUACUUUUGCCGGUCUAAGAUGAGUAGAGAAGUGAUUGACCGGGUUUAGGAUAGAUAGCCGACUAUCAAGAGGGGUAAUCACGGUCAUCUCUCGAAUCAAGUGCUACUAGGUCCAUAUCUUGAGCAUAUGCAUUAGGAUCUAGUAAAGUGCUAACUGAACUCCUUUGGAUAAAAAUGUUUUUGAAAAGCUAACACACAUGCACUUUGGUGGUGGACACUUGUUGGUGUAAGCACAUUUGCAAAGGAGGUGGUUUUCCUAGGAUUCGGCUCUUUUGAGAAAAUUAAGUGUAUAUUUUCUGUUGCGCCGGUGGGAAAUUUGGAGAAGUCACGGGAGUGUUUUCUCACUGAGAAGCACUCACCGGACGCUGGCCUCAGAGUCCGGUGUGCUUGACCCUGCUAGGGUUGAGCACCGGACGCUCUCUGAGUGCGCCCGGUGGUUAGCGUCCGGCGUGAAGGCGUUUUGCAACCCUCUCUGUACAUGGGUCCGGUGAGCACCAGACGCUACCGGUGCUUAGCGUCCGGUGACCCUGCAAGUUUGCAACCCUCUCUGCGCAUGGGUCCGGUGUGCACCGGACACGUCCGGUGUGUACCUACAGAGCGUCUGGUGGUGCGCAGGUGACCGUUAGAAUCUGACACGCGGGAUUCAAGUAGGACACGUGGCCUAUCCCUGAGCACCGGACGUUGGGGGUUGAGCGUCCGGUGAUCACUUGGUAGCGUCCGGUGCCCCCGUUUUCUGCCCAGUGAAAGUAGCCAACGGCUAGUUUCUUUGAGGGGCUUAUAAAUAGUUGGUGGCCGGCUUUGAGAGGUUUGCUCUUGCACUUUUGAUUACUUGAGACAUACAUUGAGCUAGAGAACACUCCCUCCACUCAUCUCCUUGCUUGAUUGCUAAUCCUAGUGAGAUUCAAGUGCAUUGCUUUGAGAGUUGCAUUUAGUGGCACUUGAUUCUUGAGUUUGCUGCGGAUUUCUUGUUACUCUUGGGUGUUUCCCGACGCCCUAGACGGCUUGUAGCAGCGGUGGUGUUGAGCUCGUGAUUGGAGAUUGUUUCGAGCCUCACCAAGUGAUUUGUGAGGGGUUCUUGAGCCUUCCCCGCGGGAGAUCGCAAUUGGCUACUCUAGUGGAUUGCUCGUGGCUUGGGAUCCCCAUCUUGUGAGUGGAUGUGCGACACCCGCUGAGGGUUUGGCUUUGGAUUGCCAAUUAGAUCGUGAUCCAUCAAGUGGGUGUAUCGCCACAACGAGGAGUAGCUUGCCGGGAAGCAAGUGAACCUCGGUAAAAAAUCUUGUGUCAUCUCUUGCCGAGGUCUCUCUUGUGAUUGUGCAUGUGAUUGAUUGGAUAUAUUUCUACUCUACAACAUUGGUAUAACAAUCACACCCCUCUCUUUUACCUUUGUGCAUACUUAGCUAGUUGUGUAGCGUGUUUAGCUUAGCUUUCUUGUUGAGGAGUGUAGCAAGCUUGAGGAGUGUAUCAAGCUUCUAGUUCUGCUUUCUUGUUGUAACUAGUGUUUAGCUUUCUUGCUAGACUUGUAUAGGUGGCUUGCAUAGCUUAGUUGUGCUAGUGCUAGAAUAGUUUCGCCUUUUGUUUUACUAAUCAACUUGUCUAGUUGAAGUUUGUAGAAAUUUUAAAUUGGCUAUUCACCCCCCUCUAGCCAUUUGGACCUUUCAACAUGGCGACCGGGUCCCACCGGCGUGGUCCUGCUAGCGGGCCCCAUGUCGCUAACGUGGCCAUGCAGGGGCCGAAGCUACUGCGAGCGCCCUCAGAUUUCCAUAGGAGCUUUGAUCCUGCGACUUGCUGUGCAGGGAGAGGCAAGUUACCACUAGACCACUCAGUCGGUUGUGUUGUUGUUUUUUUUUUGUUGUUUUAUUUGAUUAGUUAUUGAACCCACUAUUUCCAAAAAGAUUAAAAACCCUCCGCGAGGGGGUUUGAACCUUGAACCUACUGGUUCACAGGGUGGUGCCUUUACCACGAGAAUACUAAAGCUUUUGUGUUUGUAUGUUACAUGUUUGUUUAUUUGAACCGACAUUUUUUAAUAUUUGUCCAUCCAACUUAAUGGGCCGUAUACUCAUGAUUCCAUGUCCGUGACACACAGAACGCAGACGCGAGGUGCAGAGGAACCCUCGCGCGAGGGCGUUCGUGGCGGCUACGUAUGGUGCAGCCUUGCGUCCCCUGGUGAUCAACGUCGGGCGUCCCCAGGUGAUUGACGCGUCUCCAGGUGCUCGUCAAUCGACACCGUGCAUCCGAGCUAGCUGAUCGGCGGCGACGCUUCCCAGGUGAUCGACGUGUGUCCCCAGGUGAUCCUCUUGCUCUUCUUCUUUAUUUUUUUCUUCUUUUUCCUUUGUCCUCCUUUUUGUUAUUAUUAUUAUUAUUAUUCAGAUUUAGCAGCAUUAAUUUCAUGAGUGCGUGAUUUGACCUGAGUUUAGUACUAUUUGGCAAAUGUAUGUACUGUUUUUUUGGACUUUGUACGUUCUAAAUAAGCUGUUCUAAUCUGCAUAAUCAUUAAAAUUAAUUGACUAAAUAGUGAAUACAUAUCUAUCUAAUCGAGUAAAAGUAAAUAGUGAACAUAUAUCUAUGUAAUCAUUAAAAUUAAUUUACUAAAUAGUGAAUCUUUCCUUCUUUGUAUGACAUCUUAAAGUGAAUGUGGAUGUAGCUGAUAUUAGAAUUUAUUAGCUUUUCAAAUUUGAUGAUAGUAAUUGUUAGAAAAAAGAACAGUAUACAUACCGAGUAGAAGCUUUCAUUUAUUUAUCAUUUUUUACAUGUAUGCAUGUCUUUGAUGUGCGUUUGAAUAUUUUUUAAUUUAUUAAUGUAAUUUAUGGACUGCGUACAACAUUUAUUCUAUUAUCAGAACACAUGGAUAGAAGCUAGAUUUUUGGGGCACCAUUCACAUCUACAUAUGUGAAAGCACUACAAGAAAUCAGUCAUCUUAUGACUUUUUUCCCAUGACAUUGGACAAAAUAGUCAUAACUUUGACCAAUUUAUGACUUUUUUUGUGGAGACAGCUAGACUUAGUGACUUUGGUUAAUUUUUGUCAUAAAAAAUGUCUUAGUGCUAGUAGAAUAACAUUUUGUGACUUUAUUUCUCAUGUCAUAACAAUCAAUUUGCUAUUGUCAUAUAGAAAAUGGUAUAUUGUGACAAAUAUGAUAAGUCAUAAAAUAUUAUAUUGAAUUUUUUUAUGCAUUACAAUCCGAGGUGGCAAUAUGGGUCCACUUGGCAAACUACCACCUAAUCUUUUUUUAAGAAAAACUGCCACCUAAUCAAGUGGGUGCCAUGGUUCAUCUAGUUGUUUUUCUGUUUGUUUUUCCUAUAUGUAUUAAGCCCAGUUUUUUUAGAAGAACUUCAGCCUAGCUGUACGCUGGCCCAAUUUAGAACCAGCCCGUCCAAUUCGAAAUAAGUCAGAAAAAGAAAAAAAUGGUGCAGUGUGAGGGUUCGAACCUAGGACGCCAGCGGUUUGAGUUGUGUCCUUGCCAACUGAGCUACAAUGUUGUUUUGGUUUAAUGUGGUAGUUUUUACUAAUUUAUUCUUAUAUUUGUAUAAUUUCCAAGGAACAAAAUCGCCAAUGGUGGAAUAGAACAUGUCUGAGUGGUGCCCAAGGUCAGCAGUUGCGCCACUCUUUAAAAUCAUUCUGGUUCUUAAAUUUAAAUUUCAGUUCAAACUUGUCCUUUUUCAAAAUUUCAAAUUUCAAAUAUUUGAAUUUUGUCAAAUGAAGAAAUGGUCAAAAUCAAAUUUGUAGAUCUUGAUGAGUUGAACAACUUUGGUAUUCAUCACUUUUUAUGUUGAAAUCAUUUUGUGUCUCAAAUUUUGGUUCAAACUUGUCAUUUUUGAAAAAUUUCAAACUUCAAACAUUCAAAUUUUGUCAAAUUAAGAAAUGGUCAACAACAAAUUUGUAGAUCUUGAUGAUUUGAGCAACUUUGGUUUUCAUCACUUUUUAUGUUGAAGUCAUUUUGGGUCUCUAAUUUUGGUUUAAACUCAUCAUUUUUAAAAAAUUUCAUAUUUCAAAGCCUCAAAUUUUGUCAAAUGACAAUAUGGCCUAAAUAAAAGUUGUAGAUUUUGAUGAGUUGAACAACUUUGGUAUUCAUCACGUUCUGUGUUGAAAUAAUUUUGAGCCUCAAAUUUUGGUUUGACCUCAUCGUUUUUGAAAGAUUUCAAAUUUCGAAGGUUCAUAUUUUGUCAAAUUAAGAAAUGGUCAACAUCAAAGUUGUAGAUCUUGAUUAGUUGAACAACUUUGGUAUUCAUCACUUUUUUAGUUGAAAUCAUUUUGGGUUUCAAAUUUUGGUUUGAAAUCGUCGUUUUUGAAAAAAUUCAAAUUUUAAAUGUUCAAAUUUUGUCAAAUGAAGAAAUGAUCAACAUUAAAGUUGUAGAUCCUGAUUUUAGAAAAUUUUAGAGAAAAAUAUCAUCACAUUUGGAGUUAGUAUGAGGGAGAAAAACUAGUUACAAAAUUUACCUGCAGAUUAAAAAGAAAAAUCACACUAUUCUAGAUGAUCAGUGCAUGAUCAUAGUGAAUAGUGUGAUUUAUCUUUUUAAUCUGCGGAUAAAAUUUGUAACUAGUUUUUCUCGCUCAUACUAACUCCAAAUGAGAUGAUUUUUUUUGUAAAAUUUUCUAAAAUCAUUCUCUAUCAAUUUAUUGAGUUGUUUUUGUCAAUCUUUACAUAUUCCAAUAUUGAGCAAUUCAAAAUUUGAAUUUUAAAAAAAAGAGACAACUUCGAACACGAUUUUGAUACCCCAAAUUAUCGAAUGAGGAAAAGUUAUGAAUACUAAAGUUGAAUAACUCGUCAAGAUCUACAACUUUUGUAUUGGUCAUUUCUUCAUAUGAUAAAGUGGUAAUAACAUUGUUCACAAAUGUGACACAUCACUUAUGUGGUUUAAUAAACUAUGAGACAUGUGUAAGAUUAGUGAACAAUGUAUACUAAGAUUUUGUCAAAUGAAGAAAUGGUCAAAAUAAAAGUUGUAGAUCUUGAUGAGUUGAGCAACUUUGGUAUUCAUCACUUUUCAUGUUGAAGUCAUUUUGCAUCUCAAAUUUUGGUUCGAACUCGUUGUUUUUGAUAAAUUUCAAAUUUCAAAGGUUUAAAUUUUGUCAAAUGACAAUAUGGCCUAAAUAAAAGUUGUAGAUAUUGAUGAGUUGAAAAACUUUGGUAUUCAUGACUUUUUAUAUUAAAAUCAUUUUGGGUCUCAAAUUUUUGUUCGAACUCGUUGUUUUUGAAAAAAUUUAAAUUUGAAAGGUUCAAAUUUUCUCAAAUGAAGAAAUGGUCAACAUCAAAGUUGUAGAUCAUGAUGAGUUGAACAACUUUGGUAUUUAUCACUUUUUAUGUUAAAACCAUAAAAUUAGCCUAAAACCAAAUUUGUUCAUGAAUUAAAAUUAAAAAGCAUCACUAUUUUGCGCAAAUAAGAAAUAUGCGCUGCCCAUCUUAAAUGGGCCGCUUGGGCCAAAAUCAUCCUUCAUGGGCUGAACUGAUCGGCCCAAUCAACCGUAGCCAUCCAUCACGAUGGACGGCUCAGAUUCGCCCAAAGAACAUAUAAAUAGAAAGGGUAAACCCUAACCCCAUCCAUUUUCCUUUCCCUUUUUCUCUCUCUUCCUUAUCCUCUUCUUCUUCAGGAAACCAGAAAAAGGAGAAGAUGUACCACCAGGGAGGUGGCCAUGGGGAGAGCACGGGAACUGCUUGCAUCCGGCCCAGGGCACAGGGGCGGCGACGCCCGCGGCCUAGCGCGCGGCCCGCCCGCGGCCGGCCUGGCUCGCGGCGGCGCCUGCGGCUUGGCGCGUGGUCUGCCCCCCCGGCGGCCUGGCUGUGCCAGGGUGGGUGCGUGUGGCAUCCGAGGCCGGCCUGGGGCGCGGGGCUCCUCCGGUGGCGCGGCGGGCCGGCCUGGGCGAGGCCUCGGCAAGCGGCGACGGCCUGGCCGGCCAAGGGUGUGGGCGGCGCGGCCCGGCCAGGGAGGAGCGCGCAGCCCCUGGCGGGCGCGUCCAGGCGGCGCGGCUCCCGGCGGUCCGGUCUGCCGGACGCGCGGGCGGCGCGGCCCCCGGCGGUGGCUAGGCCAUGCGCAGCAGCUGUCGCCGACGUUCUACGACGCGAGCUGCCCCAACCUGCAGAGCAUCGUGCGCUCCGGCAUGGCCGCCGCCGUGCAGCAGGAGCCCCGCAUGGGGGCCUCCAUCCUCCGCCUCUUCUUCCACGACUGCUUCGUCCAGGUAAAAAGCUUAGCUUUUUGCUUGCUAGUUGCUAUAGUAUUCAAUAAUUCGCACGGUUAAUUAGCUGCGGCAUUUCCUGUGGUCUAGAAGGUCCCUACUCACUUGCUCUUCUGAAUGUGCUAUGUAUUUCAGUUGACAGUUCAAAGUCCUGUGUUUGGGUUUUUCUGUAACCAUAAAUACAACUAUGUAGAAGAUUACCUCAGUGAUGGAGAUGCCAAUUAGGGUGAUCAUCAGAAUGAUGCAGCCUGCUUAAUUGAGGUGCACUGUUUGGUACUCUGUAGAGAUGGGUGAAUGGUUAGACUGAAAUAGGUAUAGCCUGAUGCACUCUGCUAAUGCUAGAUGUAACUAACUGAUUCAGUCUCAAACGAACCUAUCUGACUCUGCAGCAGACCUUUAGAAUUUGGUUUCAAGCAGACUAAAAAUUACAGAGAGUACCAAAGCUAUCUUUUAUUGUUCAUUUUUUGUCAAAUAGAGUAAAUAUGAGCAUUUUCUGCUUGUCAACAGUGGGCAAGAGGCGCACAUGCUUGCGUGCAGCACUGAGUUGUACUGAUUUUCACAUAUCCCUAAUGACAUCGCUCUUAUACAGUUUGGUUCGAACACACCUCUAGAUGAGAUCAGGGAGGUAUUUGCGAUACUGCCUCAUGGUUCUAUUUUAUUGAUUUGAUUAAUCAACUAUUUCCCAGUUGUCUGAAAUGGUAGCAGCCAUAAGUAGAGCACCUGUGGGAUACAAAUGGCCAUCAAGUGAGAAGGCAAGAACCACUCUUCUAGAUGCAGGCAAGAGAAACGUGGAGCAGGAGAACCACUCUUCUUUUCAUUUCAAGUAAAUAAUUGUUGAAGCUAAAAACUAUUUUGCUUUCAAUCUUUAAAAUUUUGGAUUAUGUUUUCCUAGGUCCAAAAACAUAUCUUUAUACUCUGAUAGUGUUUGGGAUGCCUAAAUGGUCCACAAGCUUGGGAUGUCUGGACAUCACCUGAAGCAAGAAGACAACAUUGGUCAAUCGAUAGUGGUAGCAAGAAUUGAGAAUUUAUGUUUUAUACCUAGCUAAAUGUUUUUGAUGUAUUUUUUUUGUUAAUUUUAGCUGUAUAAUACACAUUUUUUGAAAUCUAAAAUCUGCAUGGCAAAUGUUAUUAAAUUUAGCUGUAUAAUACACAUUCUUUGAAUGGUGAAUGUACAUGACAAGUUUCUAUAAUAUACUGAAAAUGAUAGAAUGAAUUGGAUUUUCUCUUAAUUAUCUUAUUGUACUUUAUUUUUGUGAUAAAAUACCACCACAGUUUAGUAGUUUUCAUGUGCUGAAAUGAAGCCGUAGCGUUAGCACGGGCACUAUACUAGUUUUGCUAGGUAGCAAGUCAUUGUCCUGUAUAGACGAUCUGCUCAUAUGAGUUUUUGCUUUUAUGCCUAAGUGCAAUAAGUCUUUACAAUAUCAUCCAUUGGCCUGUCAUAUGAGGUGAUUUCUUUAACUUCUCUUGGAUUUUUCUUUAAACAUGUUAUUAUUAAAGUAGUAAUUUGUUUUUACAUAAUUCUAUUAAAAAUACCUGCAUGUUUUGAAGCACUGAUGUGUGUGACUUUAUUUGUAGAAACACUCAGAUAGCCUGUUCAAGUACUUUAUUUGUAGAAACACUCAUAUUUUACACCAGAUUUUAGUCCUCAAGUUGUCUUUAAGACAUCAGCAAGGUAGUGAAAACUAUGUGAUGAACAAUGCAUUUUUUUAUUGACAUUGACACUCCAGUAUUUGCUUUUGUUUUCCAGGUUGCAAUGGCUGUCAGAGAGUAGCACACAAAGGCAAAAGAAAGAGUUGUGACAGGAACUGAUUAUGCAGCAAUCUACAAGAAAGAGUUGUGACAGAACUGAUUAUGCAGCAACCUACACUUGAUGCGUUUGAUUAAAUGCAUGUUUUUUUUACAAUUUAGUUCUGAUGUGCUUGUAGCCGAGUGAUGUAACUAGGACGACCUGCACAUCAUGCUCUAUAGUGAUAUUCUAUGAACUUAUUAUAUUUAUAUUUGUGGCAAUGUUGUGGGUAUGUAACUUUAAUAAUUGUAUUAAUUAAUUAUCUCGAUGGUAAUGAGAUACAGCAUGUAGGCUGACUAUAUUGAUUGUAUGUGCAUGGGCUUAAAAAAGUGAUGUGGGCUGGACUGAAAAAAAAUCCUUCCUAAAAAAAUUUCAUGGGCCAAAAUUUAUACAAUUGUAAAUAGGCCAAUAAAGCGCUAAAACAUGUAACGUGCCUAGCCCAAAUAAUAGGAAGGACCCAUUAUAAGCCUGUGUGUUAUGUGGGCUUAAACUUGCCAAAUUGUGCUUUAGGUCCAAGAAAUCUAUGACUUUAAAUCAGUUGUCAUAAGUGUUUGUGACUUUCUAAAUCAAAGUCAUAAUGCUAUGACUUUACCCCCUAAAAGUCAUAAGUGGUCAUUAAAGACAGCCAUCUUUUGACAUUUCAUUUUUUGUCAACUUGGAGUCACAAAUGAUAACUUAUGACUUAUUUUCAAGGUAUUAUGACUAAUGUCAAAUGUCAAAAGAUGACUGAUUUCUUGUAGUGAAGGAGUUGAAGAGUUCAUGAAAUUUGUGAGCGAAAGAUAUCACAAAGACAGCCAGAUACUUUGCCCAUGUACGCGAUGUCUUAAUCAAAAAUUGUGGUCUCAGCCUGAUGUAAGCGACCAUCUACACAUUUAUAGAAUGUCACCUACAUAUACCAGGUGGAUUGGCAUGGGGAGUCGGCAGAUGUUGAAGUCGUUGAAAAUUUGGACCACCAGGAGGUCGAAGGAAGGGAUCAUGACUUUGGGAUACAUGUGGAUAUGGCCGAUGAUGACUAUGAUGAGGAUCACGGAGUACCAGAGAUGAUAGGAGAGAUGUAUGCUGCGGCAGAGGCUCAGGGAGAACAACCAAGGUUUACAAGAGUCCUUGAAGAUGCGAAGAAGUCUCUUAGCCCAGGAUCUAGGCAUUCUAAAUUCUCUUUUCUGUUGAGGAUGUUGUAUAUCAAGUCUCGUUAUCCAAUUAGCAAUGGAGCAUUUUUCGUAAUUAUGAAGCUGUUGUCAGAAGGUUACCCUAACAGUGAUUUGCCAAAAUCAUAUGAUGAGGCAAAGAAAUAUCUUAAAGAGUUGGGCCUUGGAUUUCAAAGCAUUGAUGUGUGCGAGAAUAAUUGUGUGUUGUUUCGGAAGGAGUAUAAAAAGGAUGAUGUGUGCCCAGUAUGCAAGGCGUCUAGAUGGAAAGAUGGAACUGGGGCCAAGCGUAUUCCACACUAGGUAUUGAGGUAUUUUCCACUUGUGCCAAGGUUGAAAAGAGUUUUUGCUUUGAAGCGAACUUCUAAAGAAACACAAUGGCACAAGAAUAUGAGGAAGCCAGUCGAUAAUGUAAUGAGCCAUCCAGCUGAUGGGGAAGCAUGGAAGCACUUUGACAGGAGGGAAGCCACAUUUGCAGCUGAUUCGAGGAACCUCAGACUUGCCUUAGCUACUGAUGGAUUCAAUCCAUUUGGCUACAUGAGUACGCAGUACAGUAUGUGGCCAGUGCUUGUGACUCCACUCAAUCUCCCACCAUGGGAAUGCGUGAAUCCAGUAAACUGCUUUAUGUGUUUACUCAUCCUCGGUCCAAAAUCCCUAGGAAAGGAUUUUGAUUUGUUCCUUGAGCCCCUUAUUGUGGACUUGCUUGAGCUAUGGAAGGGCGUCAGUACCUUUGAUGCAUGUAUUGGUCGGAAGUUUCACCUUCGUGCUGCCGUGCUGUGGUGUAUACAUGAUUUUCCAGCGUUGAGCACGUUAUCAGGGCGAACAACAAAGGGGUAUUAUGCAUGAAUUCAUUGUGACAAGGAUCCAUUGUUUCGGGCUAUUAGGAAUAAGCUAUGUUACAUUGGACAUCGUCGUUACCUUCCAAUGAAACAUGAAUGGAGGAGAAGCUUGGCUUUCGAUGGUAAGCCUAAAAAGAAAGAUCAACCAGACAAGUUCACUUUGGAGGAAGUCAUAGAGGAGCUAGAGAAGGUGAAAGACGUCAGGCCAGGGAAGCAUUCUGAAAUAAUUGGAAAAAAGGAAGCACAAUGAGGGUCCAAAGAUCUAUAGCCGCAAAGUUGGGUUGUGGAGGUUGCCAUACUGGAAACAUUUGUUACUGCCACAUAAUCUCGAUGUGAUGCACAUAGAGAAAAACAUUUGUGAAAAUAUUCUUGGGACAUUACUCAAUGUACCGGGCAAGAGCAAGGACACAACAAAUGCUAGGUUGGAUUUGCAUGAUAUGAAGAUAAGACCAGAAUUGCACUUACAGCAGCGUGGCAACUCAGUUGUUGCUCCACCUGCUCCAUAUGUCUUGGGGAAGGAACAAAAAAAGGAGUUCUACAAGUUUCUCAGAGGUAUCAAGUUUCCUGAUGGAUACGCAGCUAACCCAGCAAGAUACAUAAGUGAAGAUGGUUGAAAGGUUACUGGAAAGCUGAAAACACAUUCUUACCACAUACUGCUGCAAAGAAUCAUACCUGCUGGGCUAAGAGGCCUGGUGAGGAAGGAUGUAUACCAAGCAAUUGCAGAGCUCGGGAACUUCUUCAGGGAACUAUGCAGCAGAAAUUUAAGGAUUGAUGUUGUCAAACGGCUGAAACAAGACAUCCCAUUGAUCCUAUGCAAGCUUGAUAAAAUCAUUCCACCUGCCUUCUUUGAUGUCAUGGUGCACUUGGUUGUCCAUCUUCCUAAUGAGGCAUUGCUUAGGGGACCUAUUCAGUACGGAUGGAUGUACCCAAUAGAAAGGCGGCUAGGCACUUUGAAAAAUUUUGUGAGCAACAUGGGUAAGCCAGAAGGAUCAAUUGCUAAUGCAUAUAUGGCUAGUGACACCUUGACUUUUUGUUCAAGGUAUAUGGAGGAUAUAGACACUAGAUUUAACCAUGAUGAUGAUAGUGAUGGAGAGAGGCCAUUGCCUAAUGACAUAUCUAUUUUUAAGCAUGGUGUUGCUCUUGUUGGAUCUGAUAGGAGGCAGUACAAUGAUGAUGCCAUCCUGAAUAAGUUAGUUUGGUAUGUGCUAAAUAACUGUGAUGAACUUGACGAAUAUAAGGAGUAAGUAUCCUUUAGAUGUUUGUUUUUAUUUUAAAUAAUUUUAAAUUAUUCUUAUGACUACUUCAACUUUGACCUGCAGCUUGUUUUAAAUUAUUCUUAUGGGAUGGUCUACUGCAGCAAGGUGCACGACAACAUGAAGUUGAUAGAAUGGUUGAAGAAGGCUUUCCAAAGUGGUUUGAGCACCAUGUAAGUCACUACACAUUGUGUUUGUAGGUUCAUUAAUUAUUAAGUGCAUUAGUACCCAUAUGUAUUAAGUGAACUGAAUACUUAUGUUAUAACAGAUCGCGAACAAACGCAAGGAGAAUCCAGGUUCGGUUAGCGAAGGACUAUGGGCACUGUCAUGUGGCCCAGAUCUGCGAGUUAGGACAUGUGCAGCGUGCAAGGUUAAUGGAGUGCAGUAUAGCACUGUGGAUCAUGAGCGGUUCCUACACACGCAAAAUAGCGGUGUAAUGACUAACGGUUCACGUGAUGGGAAUGACAUAGAUUUUUAUGGAGUCCUAAAAGAGGUAAUUGAGUUGGAAUAUAACUCAAAUUUUCAAUUCCGUCGGACGGUGGUUCUAUUUCGAUGCGAUUGGUUCAAUCUACAUGGGAAGACAAUAGGCCUCCGAGACGAUGGAUAUUUCAAAUCCAUCAAUGUGAUGUCAUUAUGGUACAAGACUGAUCCUUUCAUCUUAGCAACUCAAUCGAAAAAGAUAUUUUACCUGCAAGACACAGCUUUAGGUAAAGACUGGCGAGUUGUGCUGAAAUUUCAACAUAGGAAUAUUUUUGAUGUGUCUGAAAAAGAUGAUGAGGCCAGUCAUGAGGUGCAUCAAGAUGAUUAUUGUUCUGAUAAUGAACAUGUAGUGCAAGAAGGUGCUGAUGAUGAGGUUAGGCAGAAUAAUCAAGGUGGCGAAGCCAGUAUACUUGAUGGAAAUUUAGAACUUAUAAGAAGCAAAAAACAACCUAUUAUUCAUGAUGAUACUGAGGAUGAGGAGGAAGAUGAGACAGUGGAGCAGUAUUGUAGUGAUGCUGGCAAUGAUCAAAUUGAUGACAUGUCCCUAGACGAUGAAGAUGAAGAAUUCUAGUAUGUACAUAGGGUGCACUAGAUGUGUGUGAUGACAUUCAUCUUUGCUCGAUCAUUAUGCUAUUGGGUCAGUUCUCAUUAUUAUUACUUUUCAGUUGUUUUUAAUGUCAUGUGUCACCAGUUCUGUUGUAUAAGUCAUCGAAGAUGGAGCAGCCACGGUCGCUGGUAGCUUCGAUCCGUCCUGCUUAGUUUCCAUUUAAGUAGUAAAACACUUGAGACAUACCUAACAAACUUCAGUAGUGCAGUGGUAAGCCAUAGCAACCUUGUCCCUCAGCUCCUAGGUUCGAAACCGCUGGAAACUUGUUUUUUAAUGUUUUCGCAACUUUUGUUUUAUUUUUUGUGUAUGAUAUAAUUAUAAAGCUACAAUGCCUUAAUAAUUACUAGAUAUUAUUUAACUUAGUUUAGUACUAUAUUACUGCUUGAUAAUUAGCCUCGUUCAUCAGCAUACAUCUUUUAACUUUUUUAGCUAUUAUUAUACUUAUGGGAGUUCUGUUGUAUAAGCCAUUGAAGAUGGAGCAGCCACGGUCGCUGGUAGCUUCGAUCCAUCCUGCUUAGGCUCCAUUUAAGUAGUAAAACACUUGAGACAUCCCAGACAGACUUCAGUAGCGCAGUGGUAGCAACAGCAACCUUGUCCCUCAGCUCCUAGGUUCGAUUUUCUGGACAAGGCAAUCCCUGUCCACCUGCUGGUUUUCAGAUUCCUAAGCCUUAGAUGGUUUUCAGAAAAGCUCAAUGGAAAAAGAUUUUUGCUGAAUUAUUUACACAACAAGAUGUAGCAAGAAUGUUAGACUGAAUGUUUAUCAAUGGAUUGAUUAUAAUGUCUGAGUUGCUAUCUGGAUGCCAAUCUAAAUAGAAGGUUAUCAUUAUAAAAUCAAGGAAUUGUUAACAAAAAUUAGAUGGAAAGGAGAAACACCUGCUUAUCAAACCACCUCUGCUUUUCCAUUUUUUUAUGUGAUUUUAAAUUUCAAUAUUCUGAGAAGAUGUAAAAGUUACUUGCAACUUGCGAAGCCUGAAAACAGUUUAAAUGUUCAAGGUUUGGUUUCAUUGUAAAGAAAUUUUAUUUAUGAACUUGGGUCAAUAGUUCACCCUAAAUUGGAACUAUGUAUGGCGGGCGCUAUCAAAUAAUGUACUCCUUGCUGAUCAAAGAUCUAAUAUUACUAAUAAUUUGAACCAAACAAAAAUGCUAAACAAAGUUGUUUGAUAUAUCUCUGCAACUUAGCUCUGAACUAUGAAGUUCAUAUCUAAAAAUAAAUUUUAGCAAGUAACCUUUGAGCUCCUUGAUCUACCAGUUCAAAGACUAAUUCAUAUAUUUGCUUUAACAAGUAAGGUAAAGAUACAGAUCAGGAAUAGAGCAGUUUUGCUUAAGGUUGUACGGACCACAUGCAUAUAGGAUUGGAAGAAAUUUUAUAUGGCAGAGUUAAAGUUUGACCGACAAACUACAACUAUGAACCCUAUACUUGGGACUCUAAACACAAAUUUGACAUUCAGUUUUGGAAGCUAAGUCUGAAAGCAGUUUUAGGAAUAACAUUUCUGGAAAUUUUGUUUCUUGCUUUCCAGCAGAGGUAGUAUCUAAUUUUCACUUCACAUGGGUUAGUCUCACAUAACGUACAGAUUUGCAAAGCUGCUUUUUUUCUUGCUUGCUAUGGCAAAAUAUAUAAGUACCUUCUGAAAAUAGUUAUGAGAUUACAUCAGUGUACUUAAGCAAUAUGAAGCAUUACUUCACCUUACUGGCACAGAACCAGAAGAGGAUGGACUUAGAUAUUUCUGGCUUGAGUUAAGCAUUUAAAAUCGAAUUGUUUUUUGUCAUUGCUUUCUUAGUCAAGUCAGCAUUAGAUAUAUACAUUUCUAAGUUGAUUAUCAAUCACCUAGUUGUUGCAUAAGUGUUACCAAAUAAUCUGUGGGUGCUUGUUUUUCAAAAUGCUGUUCACAGACCUGUUAGUGUCUAUGCAGAUUCCACAAUGGCUGGUAAUUGCAUUGCUAAUGGCUGCUAAUGGCUUGCAGUGUGCACCAUUGGUCUGUUUUCUCUAAUUUUGGAGUUUUGAUUGUUUUUAGCACCAGGUCACUUAGACAGUGUCUAAUUAUGGAGUUUGAUGGUUUUCAGCUCUCUGUUAGUGUCUAAUCUUGUUAAACUGUCUUUUCGAUAUGUAUUAACUUACUACUACUACCACACUACUGCUAUGCAGUGGAUGUUCCUAAUACUAGGACUACUUUAACUACUAUUUCCCCUCUCUUAUCUCUUCUCCUCCCUAGUCUACUUCUGCUGCAACUAUCUAUGGCCACCAACUCUUCCCUCUCUACUCUUGUACUGCUCUCCUCUUUACUCUUCAACUACUCUACUCUCUCUUAUCAUCUCUACUUUAUACUCAUCUCUACUAUUAGUACUAGUACUUCAAAGUAAUGUACAGAAUCACUAUUUUCUCCUCUCUUCUCUCUUCUCCUCCCUACUCUGCUUGUGCUAGUACUCUCUAUGGUAGCCAAAUCUCCCUCUGUACUUGUUGACACUGUUUUUGGACACGUAUCUUUGGAUACGCACCUGGAGUUAAUGAAGUGUACAUCGGCAGGUGUGGAAGUCUACAGGGGAGUUGCCGAUGAAGGUUGGUGCCGAUGAGAAAACGACAUGGUAUGGCCAAGUACAAGAGUGGUGAAGCGUUCGUGCCGAUGACUAGUGCUGAUGGUUGCCGAUGGCUGUGAGAGGCGGUCUGCCGAUGCUUAUGGAGAAAAGAGCAGGGGAUGCCGAUUGACUUGUUGCAGUGUACCGAUCGGUUGCGGAGGAUAAUUUAAUGUUUUCCUUAGUUAUUAGAAUUCGUUUUGUAUACGGAUUCCAUUUAAUUUGGAAUUCGAGUUCUAGUCGUGUCUGGUUGUAGUUCUUUUGAACAGGGUAUAAACAUAGACCCCGUGGUAAUGUAAUGAGAUAUCUAUCAAUCAAUCAAACACAAGUUUUUACACAUAUUCUAGCAUCUACUUUUCGACGACUUCGUCAUAUUUUCCUUUUACUACGAGUUCUUAGGAAUUCAUCGAGUCAAACUCGGCGUGUUCUCAAGUUCCGCGUGAGCACCUCUUGGCCGUGACAUCUGGGCGCAUCGCUGUUGUCAGGACCAAAGUGUUCGAGUUACCACCUUUAUCGAUUGUAAGGUCAAAUCGGCUGGCACGCCUUAACGUUUAAAUCGGGUAUUAGACCUUUGUGUUUGCAGAUCAGCUUUUGCAUCAACACAUCUUUUGGCACGCCCAGUGGGACCAAGAUUCAAGAUCAAGAUCAACAUGUCGAGCACCGAUUUUGACUUGGAGAACGUCAUCCCCGUGACGAAAGCCAAUCUCAGAGAUGAGCAGAAGCAAGCUAUGGCAAAAUCCAUGGAGGAUUACAAGCAGCUAUGCUUGAAAUCCUUCAGUGUCAACAGGAGUGGCGAGGUGAUCCAAAAGGAGGCAUUGCCGGCACCUCGGCAAAUAACUUUUGAAGCCAAUCCUGGUAAAUUGCAAGAGAUGGUUGAUAGUGUUGUCAACCAUGCUCUGAUCAAUCAAUCUGGUGUACUAUCCAAUACGGUUUUCAAUGCUGUGGCUAGAACUUUCAAAGAAGGACAAGUACCACCAUCUUACGUGGGUCCUGCCUAUCAUCAGCAAGGGUCAUCAGUGGUUACAGCUCCAUCGGCUACUACAGCCGUUGCAGGUGUAGAAGUUACUUCCCCUCCAAGCACGUUAGGGAUGACUAAUGCGCAGUCUACACCGAUGACAACUAAUCCAUCAACGUCGGACGGGCAAAUCAAACUUGCUACGUAUUUAUUGGCAACGGCAAUGUCAGGGUCUGUUCCUCCCAACUGGUGGGGUUAUGGUAUGCCCCCAGAAUUGAUGGCAAAAGGUCCUGGAACAUCUCAAAUGGCUGACGUGACAGGCAAGGCUCCUAUGGCAUCGACACCUCCAAAUUCGCCGAUGACUCAGAAUCCCCAGUAUUCUACAACUACUACUGCAAGACCUUUCACCGGGAAUUCUCAAGCGCCAAUGUUCCAGAUGCCUAACGCAUCGGCAGAUCCAAUGCCGAUGCAGCAGAGGUUUGUGACACAACUAGGGUAUGUCAAUUCAAUGAUGAUGCCCAACUAUCAAUCAUCGGCAGGACCUACGCCGAUGAAUGUUAAUAGUGGAUGGACAGGGCAGUUUGUUUUUCCACAGAUGCCUCAGCAGAAUCAUCAGGCUGUAGGGUUUCAACAGGGAGCAGUCCAACCCGGGUUUCAGAAUCAAGGGUUGAUCAACCAGCCGACGAAUUUUGGCCAGCAACUUGGUGGUCAGUAGGCGAUGGUUAAUCCAAUAUUCCAUGGAGAUCGUACACCGUAUCCUCCUGCAUAUGACUUAAUUCCACUUCCAAAUCGGUACAAGGUAUCGGAUUUCACCAACUUUUCUGGGCAGGAUGAUACAUCGACUAUGGAGCAUGUUAACAGGUUAAUCAUUCAGUGUGGAGAAGCUGCUAACAGAGAUGAGUUAAGGGUUCGCUUAUUCUCAUCAUCCUUGUCUGGAUCGUCUUUUACUUGGUUUAUUUCGCUACCUCCCAACUCAGUUAUUACUUGGGCCGAUCUAGAGAAACAAUUUCAUAAAUACUUCUUUUCUGGAGUUCAUGAGAAGAAGAUUACUGAUUUAGUCAGGCUGAAGCAACACAACGAUGAAUCGGCUGAAAGUUUUGUGCAAAGGUUGCGAGAGGUUAAGAAUAAGUGCUAUAGUCCGGUUUUGGACGAUCGGCAACUAGCCGAUUUGGCUUUCCAGGGGUUGUUGCCACAUAUGAGAGACAAAUAUGCUUCUCAAGAGUUCGAGAGUCUAAGUCAUUUGGUGCAGAGAAUUUCUGACCAAGAUAUUAAACCUUUUAAACCUAAGAGAGCAUGGAAUAAAAAGGUGUCAUUUGUCGAUGAAGUAGCAAGCUCAGAUUCUGAUGAAGAACCAGUUAUCGGCUUGGCAGAAUGGGUGAAGAAUAAGAAAUCGAUGUCUUGUCCUUUUGGGCAUAAGGAACCGGAGAAGUUUGCAUUUGAUAUCACCAAAGCCGAUAGGAUAUUUGACUUUUUACUUCAGGAAGGGCAAAUCAAGUUGUCACCCAAUCAUGUGAUUCCAUCGGCAGAAGAGUUAAAGAAGAUGAAAUAUUGCAAGUGGCAUAAUGCAACAUCUCACAGCACAAAUGAGUGCAAGGUUUUUAGACAACAGCUGCAAUCGGCUAUAGAAUCUGGGAGAAUUAAGUUUGAUAAUUCCAAAGCUCAGAAGCCGAUGAAAAUCGAUCAACAUCCUUUCCCUACAAAUAUGUUGGACGCUAAGGGAAAAACUAAGGUCUUGACAUCAGAGGCAGCUGAAAGAAGUGCAUCGGUUUGUCUUGCGUCGAUCAACAUCCUUUCCCCAGGUGUUUGUCUUGUGUUUUGGCACUUACAUUUCAUGAGCAUAAGCAUCAUUUGUUCAUAUAUGAUAGUAUGAAACAUACUUUGAUGUUGUGACAAGUGAAUGCUUGAUGAUCCUGCAUAAUAGAGCUUGUAGGUGUUGAUGGUGCUUCUUUCACAUGUAUCACCUCCAUAUCUACCUAGGUUGAUCACUGAAAAAGUUUCAUGAAGUUUGGAUUCAAAAGGUCAAAUGAAAGGAUAAGUUACAUGCUUGUUGGAAUGACCUUAUCAAGUGAACGGAACCUUAGGUUACUAACCUAACCUUGCAAUCUUGACCAAAUGACUCUAGAUGAACUCUACAACAAAAGUCAUGAAGGGUUCAUGUUGAACUUGUGCCAAGAAAAUGCUUUAUUUGCUCUAAAAUCCUAGUUUGAGCUUUAUCAAGUUGAUACUUUGACCAAAGUGAAAGUUUAACUUUGGUACAACUGUACAAGUUAUGAGGUUUGACCUUAAAUAAAAGUUGUAGUUUUGCUUCUGUAGAACAAACUUUAUUUAAUGGUCAAGAGCUAGUUUGGUGCCUAUCCUAGUCAAAUUAAGAUCACAAGAUUCAAUGCAGUGCUGUUUUGGAUCUCAGAAAAUUUGGCUAAGUCAUCUGUGAUUCAGUUUCGGGUAUCCUAGUUGGGAGCUUUGUAGGUUCCUAACCAAGCUGAAACAGUCUUUAAGCCUUUAACAAUAGUUGUAGAUCAGUUCAUUUUCUACAAACUUUAUUUAAGGCCUCAUAUCUGAAUCAUCUUCUAAGAAUGUCAAAUAAUGGUCACAAGUUUGAAUCUGCUAUAGUUUCCAGCACUUAGAAUUUCUAAGUCUAGGAUUGCAGUCCAUCGCGUUGGCAUUCCGCGUUCUCCAAAUUUUGUUAAACAACUUGAGUUGAUCCCUUAAUAAAAUUUAGAGUAUAUAUUGUGGACAAGAGUAUACAAAAAGAUAACACCAGUUUGACUUUGUUUGGGUCAUCAAUUUUUGAGUUUUGCUAAUCACUAUCAAUACGUUGACACUCGUGGCUUGGCAUCUAAUUAUCUCCUAAUCUGUUGCUCUAAUAGCUUCGCACCCUGAGUCAAUGUUGGAGAGUAUCAAGAGUAGAGUAAACUUCGUUUUGGGUCCAUGUCCAAAUUCGGUCUAGAUCUGUCCCAAAUCGGCUUCCCACGUCGGCCACACGGUCACCCGCCACGUGCUCGACGAAAUGCGUCAAAGAGCAACCCGUGUUCUGGACGUGUCCUCCAUGCAGUGACCGCGCCCCCACCAUUGCUGCACAUGUGCUAGUGCUCCAUCUCGCGUUGGGACAGCCAGAAGGGCUCUCCACUCCGUCACUCACUCGCCUCCACAUCCUCCUCCACUCCCUGCUCGCCAUCCUCGCCCUCACAGCAAGUUUUUGAGUAUGCUCCGCCAUGGCCAUGGCCAACGAGCAGAGCUCGAGCUCCUCCUGCUGCUGGCUGCAUCCGGCCAAGGCCAGGGCCGGGCGUGGCCAUGGCUAGCCUAGCCUAGGCCAGGCCGCCGGCCGCCUCCCUGCUGCCACCGGCAGCUCUCCAGCAGGAUCCGAUGCCGGCCAUGUCUUUGCCUCCUCUGUGUCCUCUGUUCCUUGAAGAGAGAAGAGAAGGGACCUGGGCUUAGAAUAAAAAACAACUCAGGGUUCCAGAUGCGAAGCCAAGACUCAUAUGAAUAGUGGUUGUGGGCUGUGGCGAGAUUCUUGAAAACUCUAGGGUUCCCGGUGCAAGAUCUGUUUUCCUUUUUGUUUUGUUUUAGCAGAUUUCUGGGUGAACUUUGUUAAUGCAUAGAAAUUCAUAGAAAAAUCGUAAAAUAGCAAAUGGGGAAUUUUUGGAAUCCUUGUGAAAUUCUCUAUGCAGUAGAUCUAUAAUAUACCAUGUUUAGAUUUCUGGGUGAACUUCUCCAGGUUCUUCAAUUCAUAAUCCUGAGUUCUUUAAUUACUUUUAUUUACAUUCAAGUUAUUUAUUGGAUUCCCGCUUGCAUCAAGUGCUCUAGUCUUUAUAACGCUAGAGUAGUAAUUAAUAGAUUAGACGUGGUGUUUAGUCUUGCAAUUACCUGGAAUUGCACCCAAUCCUUCGGAUUGUUGUGGUAGCCUUAGGGUAGUGACAGCCCUAACGGUCGACGUAUUCCACCUCGUUCGGAUCGGUGUUUGUAGGACCGUAGUCAGACCUUCCUAGCCCCCUUCUCAUCUCUUUCUGUGGUUAGUGCUUUGAUGUCCCGAUAUAGAUAAUCUUGAAGUAAUUCUUGAUUCUAAGAUCAACUAGAGAACUCUCAGGAAACUUCCUCUGUUCCCACCAAAAAUAUUCAUAUAGUUAUCCUUGGGCGAUCUUGAUUCUUAAUUAGUACACUCACAUUCUCUGUGGAAAAUCGAUACUCUGGAAUACUCCUGGGUGAAAGCUACAUCGGUAUCCGUGCGCUUGCGGAUUUUUCUGUUUGCGUUUAAAAUACCCAACAAGCUUUCUGGCGCCGUUGCCGGGGAACGGUAGCUGUGCUAGUUUCGAACCAAGUCGUCCGUGUAUCCUUUUUUCUUUUCCUUUUUUACCACACUCACCUUAUCAUUUUCACCAUACCACAUGGAUUUACUCUAAGCAUAAAUGAGCAUGGAAUAUAUUUCAUAGCCACUUCAUUUACUCCAUGCUCAUAUGCAACAUCUUCACAAUCCAUUGGUCUCUCCAACAUCACCACAUUCGAGAUCUCCAACCCCCUCUUCCUUUCUAUUCAUAAAACUUUACAAGGGCGGUUGUCGAUGCAUAUGUCUAUAUUAAAUAUUGCAGAUCUCGUUGAGUUGAUCUUGAUAUAGGUCAGCGUUGGAGGGGAAACCACUUCGCCGACAUAAAUCGAUGGUUUCCCAAGGACAAGCUUAGUGUCCUAAAAUAAGCACUGAUCAGAUCAUAACAUGAGCUUUUAAUUAUUUGCAAUAUUACCUUGUGUAUUGAGCAUAUAAGGAUAAUUGUAAAAAAAUUCCUUCGGGUAUUCUUGUCACUAACCUUUCCAGGAUUGGAGCAAGAAGAUCGGAUGAAUGACAAGCACAAGGUAUGUCCAACCAAUCAUCAUACAACAUUGAAUUAAAUUCAUCCAAACUUGAAUUUUGCAAAAUUCAAGCUUGGGGGAGUACUUUACAUAAAAACAUCCUUUGCCAUGUUGCUAUGUUGGUUGUCCCUACCUUUGAGACAUGCUCAAUUUGUUAAAUACUAAUCACACUACUUCAUAUCCACUUGAGUAGAUCUCUAUAAAUACUCUCAUGCUACCUUUAUUUGCUUUAGUAUAUGUCUAGGUUUGGAGUAGUUUCAUUUAUCUCUUAAUUAAGCUUGGUGCUUAGUUUAGGAAUGAUGAUCUUACUUCCAAGGAGUUUUAAAUUAAGCAUGGUGCUCAGGUUAAAAUGCCCUCCUGAAUCAAAUUAGACAUGGUGUCUAGGUUGAUUUUUGAGCCGAUAGUAUGCUAUAGUAGAUAUUGGAUAUUUUGUUGGACUAACCCCUACAGGAAAACUUUCACUAUCGACCUGGGAAGUCCUGGGAUAAACUCACAUUGGAGACAAAGAGAGAGACACAUGAAGUUUAACAAUUUGCACGAGGAAGGCAUAGCUCACAAGAGAUGAUCCAUGGAGGGUGCCACAAACACGAUGCACAACCGCAAAGAAAGGAAAGCUUCCACAAGGAGAUACUGUACCAUCACUCUUCAAGUAAGGUAACAUCUUAAGGUACUUGACUAUCACUUUUAUAAGCUUCUCCUUGGUUCUGGCGUUCACAUGAAUAAAAGAGACAAACAUGUAUGAUUUACAACUCUAAAAUAACCAACCCAAUUAAUUCAACAUGUUUAGUCCUUUAAUCUUUGUUUAUAGUACUACCUUCGUGAUCCCACACUCGUAAUCAUAUAAGCUAAAAUGUUGCACAUUCAAUCUCUGGAAGAUAUAAUCAAAACAUAAGUAUACAUAGAUUAUCUUUCCAUUAGGUUGAGCGAUGUGAUGUGAAAAAUGUUUUAAAUAUUACACUCAUGAUCUUAUUAUCCAUCAACUUGGUCUUGCUCAUUAUGCUUAAGGAUAGAGAAGAAUAAAUACACUUUUAGUUCUGUUGGUGUUUUCCACCAACAGGGCCCAUGCACUUGAUCUCUGCCUUGUCUCUAUGAGCAGGUACACUUUAAGCAAAACAUGGAAGAGUUUUACAACUCCCAGACUCCACCAAGUGAAGAACCUAGAUCUACGAGCUCAAACACACUGGAGAUACUGGACACUCAGGCAAUCACUGCCCUAAGAUGCUUAAGGACGUAACUUUUGGAGUAACCCUGUUGUGGAAGUAAUUACUGACCUUCUGCCAGUCAAGAGAGGCGACCCACGAUGCCCCGUCAUCCCGAUCUCCAUCGGCAUGGUGGACUUCCUAGAAGCAUUCUACGACUUUGGCUCCAGCGUUAACAUUAUGCUCAGGGUACUCUAUGAAAAAUUCUUUACACAUCCUUUCCUAGAAACAACCAUGUGUUUGCAGCUUGCAGAUCAGACACUAAGUUUCCCAAAGGGAAUAUUGAAGAACCUCUACGUCCGAGUUGGUACCUUGUACGCCCCAGCAGACUUCGUGGUGAUAGAGACUGGUACUGAUGAGAGGGCACCCAUCAUCUUAGGGAGGCCAUUCCUGAACACCUCGGGAGCUAUCAUCUACGCUAGUGCUGCCAUUAUCAGUUUCUACAUCAAAGGGAGGAAGGAGACGUUUUCCUUCACGAGCAAGACUACACAAAUCUCAGAGCAAUCCCGACAUGAACCAAGGAAGAGGACCAACAAGAGGAACAUGAACAAGCAAAUGUGGACCAAGUCAGCAAAGAUGGUCACUGCAGUUCAAGGAGGUCAAGAUCGUCGACUUAAGUCACCGUUCGUAACCAAAAAGGACGAUCCAAGUAUGCCAAGCAUCCAGUGCUCCAUUGAUGGAUACAACUUCCAGAAGAUGCUUUGCGAUACCGGGUCAGGCGUCAAUAUAAUGGCCGCCAGUCACCUAUCAGCUCCUAUUCGGAACCAUGCCCCUAAAACCGACAUACAUUCAGCUUCAGAUGGCAGAUCAGACAUUCCGAAAGGUUAUAGUCAUGGGAGAAGACGAAUUCAAUCCACUCGUCAUCAUUGGGAGACUGUUCCUCAGCACCGUUAAAGCAAUCUUCUACAUUGGAACUAGAGAAGUCCACAUGCACUUCCCCUCUGAGAAGGUACGCCGCUAUUUUACUGAACCUAACUACAGAGUUGAAGACUCUAAGCAGAUCAGGGCAAGAAGAAGACGACGCAACCGCAACCAGAGGAGGCAAAUCAUCAAGGACGGACGGGCAGACUAUGAAGGAGAAGUCGUAAGGUCUGAAGACAUACAGCUUGAACAGAACUGUCGUGAGGAGACCGUAGCACCAAGUUAGGUGUGGAGAGAGAAGAUAGUUAUACACGAAGAAGAAGCGUCGCCGGAACCACCGACUACGCCAUUCAACGAAUCCUAGGACGACUGAGAAAACGGAGAGUCCCGUUCGGAGGACUUAAAAACACCGAACGCCUUGCCAAGAGGUAAACUUAGUAGUUAUCUAUUUCCUUUCAAUUAUUUAAAAUAGUUUGCUUAGUUAAUCAUAUUCAUACUAUCUUGAAAAGAAAAUAAAAAUGUUAAAAAAUAGUAAGCCCCAUGUGAGUAUGCUCAUGGCAUAAAACCCAUAAGUACAUUCACUGUGGUGGCAUAAAAAUAAAAUAAAUAUAUUUAUGUUCUAUAAAAAUGAAAAUAUAAAAAUAAAUUUAUGAUCCUACCAAAGAGUGUAAUAUUUAUUGAGGAGGCUCAACAUGAUAAAGGCUAGAUAUUUAUGCUAACACUUAACCAGUUCCACAGAGCUUUGUUGUCUAUUUGAGCUCCACAGAAUUCAAGGAUCAAAGAAGACUAGCAGACAGAGGACAUCCUAAUCACUGUCAGUGUGCUGCCGACAUGCAAAUACACCUCCGCCACCUGCUACAUCAGAAGAAAUUACGUCAAAAUCCAGCUUGGGGGAGAGUACCCCUAUUUAUCCAGCUAAGUGUUUCUACUCACGUUUAUAUUUUACUCAAAUAAUAAAACGAUGCAUAAUCAUAAAAACCCAAAUAAAGAUUUUGUGCUUAUAUAUAUAUCGUUGCUUAGUUUGCUAAAUAAAUAAAAAAUAAAAUUUGCUAUGAACCCUCGUGAUAAGCUCUCACAUAGAAAUGAUGAAUAGUUGCUCUGCCAUGUACCUAGUUUUCAAGUUUAAGCUUUCUCUCAAGUUUAGGCAUAACUGUUAUAAUUUAAACCUGCUCUAAACCUGAACUUAUGGGGAGAGUACUUGAUCUAAAGUCUAAGUCGUUAACGGAUACGAUAUGGGAAGGUUGAGCUGUUGUUUAUCUGUUCCUAGAGAUGCUAGAAUUGUGGAGAAUUUUAUCUUUGAAAAUCUUUAAAAUAACACAUGAUGAGUUCCUGUAUGAUGAGAGUUUAAAUUCCUACCACAGCCAUAUAUACAUGCUUGUUAGACUAUGAACCAUACAUUACUUUUUACUGCUUAUGAGCAUUGAGUGUGGUCAAGCUGUGUAGACCCUUAGGAGAUUGUCAUGUGGUUAAAUCAAGAUUCACUUGCACGUUCACUCACACAUGCUGCUUCUACUCCGGAAGUAUGCAUCCACAUAUAUCCAUCCAUUUCCAUCUCCAGAACCACCCAAAUAUAAUCUACUCCUAAUCCGGGAGAGAAUAGCCAAAAACAUUCGCCUAUUCUUGUUUUCUCUGUGAAAUAAAUGCUCAAGUUAUCUUGGUUACUACCACUUGCUAUAUUAUUUCAGGAGAUGAGUGCUCUAAUAAAAAAAAGAAAAGAGAAAAAAAAGAGAUGCGAGGAAAUAAAAAGGGGCAAGUGCCCGGAACCUUGAAAGAAAAAAAAAGUGAGACGAGAGGUAAAAAUGGACAAGUGUCCGACAGUAGAAUUAGGGCUACAAGAUACCCACCUGAGAGAAAAGAAAAAGAAAAUAUAGAGCAUCUCAUUCUCUCCAAAAGUUUCAAAAGAGCAAGAAAGGUAUGUAUCCCCUCAAAAGAGCACAAGUGGAAUUAGACUUUCACCAUUGUUAUCACCAUCAUACACCAUUCAUUCGCCACACAUGCACAUCUUGAUUUGACUUAUUGACUUGUUCUUCUGGAUCCAUGGUUUGACUAUGCAAUAAAUGUCUUGUAAGUAUGUAUUAGCUGUUUCCCACCUAUGAGCUCCAGAUAUCAAAAGCCUUAUUAGAGUAGGGUGAGAGAGAAGGCAAUGCCACUAUGCCUUAUACCACAAAUACCACAUACUUUGAGAGAAGGCAUACACCAUUACUGCCUUGGUAAGGAUCCAAAAAUACCACAAAAGAGAGACUAGAGAGAGUCAUACAAGGAAUCUCUGAGUUUUAUUUAAAAAUCUGCAAAAACUCCAGAGCUAUAGUUAAUCGAAGAACAAGAGACAUGGUGCUUGACUAGACCGUUCUAUCUUUUAACUGCUCAAGACACAAGUGACGGAUACAAGCCCCAUGGUGGAAGGUAAAAUGAGUAAAUUUAAAUCUUAAAAGUUUACCCUAACCCAGAGAUGAGAUAUUGUUUGAACGCAUGUGUAUCUUUAAGGCAUGGAACCACUGCAGAAACUCUUGAGUUCAUCUUUGCUCAGGGACGAGCAAAGGUUAAGCUUGGGGGAGCUUGUUGACGGUCCUUAAUGCUCAAAUUUAACCAUAAACUAAUCAGGGAAAAAGACUUAUAUAUAGACAACACUUAGACUUAGGGUUUUAUCUGACAGAAUUCCAUGAGUUUUGGAGUUUGUCUAUUUCUGCAGGGGGUUAUCAGGAAAUAUGAAAGAAAGGCCCACACGUCAGGUUUACAUAGAGAUAUUAACGUGCCGCGCAAUUUUCUACCAUCUAGAAGACUCCAGAAGCCACGGGAACGAACAGGAGGCCGUUCGGGCCCGGGGGCAGGGUGCCCGCCCAGCUACAGUAACCAAUCAGCUUCAACUUCGCGGAUCGUGCUCCACCAACCUAAGGGACCAAGGAAAACCGUGUGAUUAAUGUCGGUUUGAUCCGAUGGCCCAGAUUCAUCUGAAAAGACUAUAUAAGCAAGGCCCCCUGGCCCCUGGAGAGCAUACCUCUUCUACAGAAUCAAAGCUAGGGUUUCAAUUCUUCAUCCAAGUAGAGAGGAUCCCUCUAGUUCUUCUAGUUCUACCUCUAGUUCAUCUAGAUCUAGUUCUAGUUCAUCUAGUUCUAGUUCUAGUUCCUCUAGUUCUAGUUCUAGUUAGUUCUAGUUGUAAUCUAGAAAAUAGGGAGAGAGAAGAGGAGAGAGGAGGAGGAGCCAGAUCUGUCGGAUCUUCCUCAACAUUAUACUUUUGCAGCAUCUGGUUCAUUCUUCAUCGUUCUCCAGGUUCUUCAAUUCAUAAUCCUGAGUUCUUUAAUUACUUUUAUUUACAUUCAAGUUAUUUAUUGGAUUCCCGCUUGCAUCAAGUGCUCUAGUCUUUAUAACGCUAGAGUAGUAAUUAACAGAUUAGACGUGGUGUUUAGUCUUGCAAUUACCUGGAAUUGCACCCAAUCCUUCGGAUUGUUGUGGUAGCCUUAGGGUAGUGACAGCCCUAACGGUCGACGUAUUCCACCUCGUUCGGAUCGGUGUUUGUAGGACCGUAGUCAGACAUUCCUAGCCCCC